UGUUUUUGUUUUUUUUUUUGGGUGGAAAAUGAAGCUUCAUUAAGAUACAAUUUGUGUUAGAAGGUCUAAGCCUAAAUAGAGCACAAAGCCUUAUACAACAAAGCAAACAUAAGAUAGAGGACAAACUCAGACAAAGAGAGCUACAACUCCAGCUACAAAGAGAGGGCCACACUGAUUUAGGCCCGUAGGCUACAAAAGAAACAAUAAACAGUAAAACCCUCAAAUCCUGAAGCCAAAAAUUGGUCACCACCGCCACAUCCGCCGUUACCUCCACGAAGAAAGACAUCGCACCAAACAAAAAAAUGCACCCGAACCAAAACUGCAACGCCCCGCCCCUAAAAUACUUAUUUUCGGGAAAUAAUUUUGAUGAUAGACCCAAUUUAAACUCUUGUUUAAUUUACUACCAUUACAACUUCAAUCCCUUAAUUCCUCACAAAACUAUAUCCAUAUUUUAAUUAUCAAAACAUACGAUUAAAUUAUCAAUUUAAUCCCUAAAUUUCUUCUAUUUCUAAAACUUCUCAAAUUUUAUAGAAAUGUAGAGCAUGUCAAGAGGAACAACUUUUAUACCUAUGUCGAAGUCUAAUUCGGCCGGGAAAAGCCCCAAUUUUACUCAAACCCACCGGAACCCUAGAAUUUGGGUGUUCUUCAAUUCGACCAAUCCGCAAGACCACCGCCCUAAAAAUGGUUGGGCUUUGUUCCUGACCUCAGGAGAAGUCGUUUGAUGGUGAUGGUGGUUAACAUUACUCUCACGAUUGCUGGAUUUCGACUUGGCACCCUCGGAACCCACGGGUUUCGUUUUACUCGAAUUCAAGCUCAAACCCAAUAAAAUUUGGGUGAAAAUGGAAGAGGGAAGGUUGGGGAUUUGUUUCCAAGUGAUAAUUUGGUGCAAUUUGCACCCAUUUGGCUAGAAAUUGCAUCGGAACCCCUUCUUUCCGUCGGAUCGGGCACGAAAAGGGAACGGGUCGAAGGGAUCCAGUGUCCCACACCUCUCUCCCUUCUCUUGUUUUUUAUUAGGUCCCUUUCUUUUCUUUUCCCCCUGAUUGGGCAGUCCCCCCUUCUUCUCCCUUCUCUUUUCCCUUUUUUCUUUCUUUUUUUUUCUUUCUUCCCUCCUCUUGUUGGUUCCUCCUUUCUUCCUCCUCUAACCACAACCACCACGUGGCUUUUCUACACCCAAACAAAACUCCAGCAAAUCUGGAGCAUUCCAGAUUCAUGGCAAAAUGAUCAUUUUGCCCCUAUCUUCGUUUGUUUCUAUUUUAUUCGUUAUAACUUCGUUUGACAAAUGGUUUUCGCCUACACACUUGUAGGGUCGUUCUCUAUUCAAUUAUGUCAAGAAAUAUGAUAAAAUAUAUGAGGAUAAAGUACAUCCUCGUAUAAUUCAAUUUAGCCAACUAGAGGCAUGCAUUUUCAUCCUUUCACUUUUCGAUAAAUUUUACGACAUAAUUUAUAAUAAUUUCCAUAAACAAAACUUUAACAGUUCUCAAUUCAAUUUUUCUAAGUCAAUUUAUUUUCGAUUUUUCUCCACAUUUUCAUAUAUUUAAAAUUUCAGGGUAUUACAAAAACCCAAAUCUAAGAGUAUUGCACAUAAUCAAUCCACCGAAAGCCAAAGCCAUCAUAGGCACACCUGUAAGAAAAGUCACCAAACGUAAUAGGGGAAGGGGGGCGAAGGGGGUGUGUAAAACACCCUUGUUCUGACGUGAAUCAUUCCACACUUUACCCAAUUUUUCCGGUAAGCCGAAUCGACAGUGAGCUGUACGGGUUGGGUCUCGAUUUAAGAUAGAGCCCAAUACUAAUAAAUUUAAAUCAUGGUUCAUUGUUGGGAAAGAUGAAGGGCAUCAUGAGGGAUGUAGGAGAACAUGGUGUGAUAUGGAGAUAUUGGGGGGGGGGGAUGACAGUGAGCGACCGAUGAUUGAGGAGAGGGAACAAAAAUGAGACCAAAGCUCAGAUAUGUGACAAAGCUAAAAAAAAACAUAAAAAAGACAAGGAAUGGAAGAGAGGAAAGAAAAGUAGAAGGAAACGUGAGAGAUUUUCAGGGUUGCCACUGACCCUAAAGCCAAAGGCUAAGGCCGGUGGCUGAGUAAGGGUUUCUCUUGGGGCUUUUCACAGAGAGAGAGAAAGAGAGAGCAAGGGUUGGGGCAAAUUGAAGCAAAAUUGUUAAUUGGUCUUUUCUCUGGAGACUAAAUUCUUAAACUAAAUUUUGUAAACUAAUGCUAUGUUUGGAUAAGAGAAAUAAACUUGGAAUUUGGAUAAAAGUUAGAAUUUAUAAAUUCACUGCACCAAUUCUCUUAUUUGGAUUCAUAAACAUAGAAAUUUAAAAUUUCCGCGUGGAAUUUUAUUUUUUUAUUUUUUUUGAAUUUAGAGUGUCACAGCCCGUUCCGGAAUUUUAUAUUCAUGGGUGUGAAAUGACAGAAUUGCCCUUAGCAGUUGCAAAGGUAUGUGUGUCAUAUUAUUUGAAUAGUGCAUACUUUUCUAAGUUUUGGAAAUUUAAUGGGAUUAAAAUUGUAUGCAUUUUUUAUGUGGUUAGGGACUUAGGUGGACCACCUACCCUCACCAUCAAACUCCUCUCUCUCUCCUAUCCCGUGCCCUCUCUCUCUUCCCUCUCAGUUUCUCUCUCUCUCUCUCUCGAACCGAACGGACAAGAACCCAAAAUCCCUCAAAACAUCACGGAUCGACGUCAAUAAGGUGAGUUUCUUCAUCCUUGCAACCUCCUGAGUUGAAUGGUACUAUUUUUGGAACUUAGAACCUUUGAAAUCACGUGAAAUCCGAACCCCAGUUUGAUGUCACUGUUCAUGCACACGUGAAUUGUUGAUUUUCAGGGAAUUCUAAGCUUAUAGGGAGCUUAGUGAGGUCCCAAGGAAGCUCGGAGUACUUAGUUUGAAGGUUUUGGACGUCGGGAUCGUAGGGUUCGAAGUUGGCCGGUUUUCUUGGAUUUUCUCCGAUGAGAUUUCAUAAUUUUUAGAGCCUUAAACUAGUACAAUGUGAUUCUACAUGCUUAGGGCUUCAUUUUAAUAUAAAAUGCGUAGAAAAUGGUGGAGAAAUGACGGAGAACAAAAAGAUUGAAAAAUCUCCAGUUUUCCGGCGCCGGCGAAACUAGUCCGGCGACUGGAGGAAGAAGAUGUCGCGUGUGGGGGCGCGUGGGUCCGUGCCCUUCCCGAUGCGUGGGGGCGUGUGGCAAGUCCAAUUUUUUUUCUAAAAAUACCUCGACAUCCGUGACGUCGAGUAGAUCACCGUGGUAUAUUCGUAUACCCAAAUUGAGCAUCGUAUGAGAAGUUAUUAUGCAUUGUCGGUUAUGUGCUUUAAUUAACGUUUUUAUAGUUGUUUCGCAUAUAGGUGAUACCUAUCCCGAGGACGAGCGCAUUCAAGGACGUUACGGGUGUCACAUCUCGGCCUGGGGCGGACCACUUCCGGGGCCCAUUCCACCACCGUAGCACGAUAUUGUCUGUUUUGGGCCCCGACUACGCCCUCACGGUUUUGUUUCCGGGAACUCACACGAGAACUUCCUAGUGGGUCACCCAUCAUGGGAUUGCUCUCGCGUGCUACUCGCUUAACUUCGGAGUUCCGAUGGAACCCGAAGCCAGUGAACUCCCAAAGGCCUCGUGCUAGGUAGGGAUGAGAAUAUACAUUUAAGGAUCACUCUCCUGGGUGAUGUGGGAUGUCACAAUCCACCCUCCUUAGGGGCUCGACGUCCUCGUCGGCACACCACGGCCAGGGUUAGGCUCUGAUACCAAACUGACACACCCCGAUCCUAGAAUCAAGGCGUGAUGGCCAUCACGUGAGCGUGACGUAACCAAAAGUGCGAUGCGGAAGCAAAAGAUAAGAGAAAUACGAAGGAAUAAAACCCAACUACUAGCAAUAAUCCAACUAGCAUGCUACAAUAAGUUUAAGUGUGAAACACACAAAUUCAGAGCAUAAGUACUAGGUGCAGUCAAGUAGGACCAUAACUAAAUUACAACACCCGCAGGUGAGUCCUACAUUUAUGUAGUCUGUCAGUACGCCGUGGGAAUCCUCGUGGGCCACCAACGCUGCUAACUAUAACCUGGAGGGGUGCAAAACAAAAUUGAGUGGGUCAGUAAAACCAAAGUUUUUCAAAAACAGUUCAUUUAAAACAUUUCUAACCCCUCGCUGUAAAACCUGUAUACUUUCCCAGAAAAUAACAUAAUAUGCAUAUAAUCUUCGUAUAUCUCAAAUCACAAUUCUUUAUCAAAACCCAUAAAAUAUGCCAUGCCAUAAUGUCAAUAACAGAUUAAGAAUGCAUUAAUAUAACAGGUGACAUAAUGAAUUAACCGGAGACCCUGCAGUUGGUCCUGUAUGGUUAAUUCCACAGCUCAAUAUCCAAACCAACCGAAGUCACCACGGUGACCUGUACGGCACUACUCUGCACAUAAGUCGGAACUACUUGAAGUAGUCUGUACAACAAGGAUGGUGUAAUAAUACGCUCUAGUGUUUCUCUCAUCAAUCAUCUGUGCACAUAAUCUAAGGUCACCUACUAGUCGGAACCACCUCUAGUGAUCUGUACGACUAGCAUGUCGGAACCCUCUCAUGGUCUGUACGACAUGCACCUACUUGGAUCCAAGGUGAGCGUGCGGUGCGGGUGAAUAAUAUAAGCACUAACAUCAGGGGUACAGGUUAUGAGCUCUCAAAUCUGCAAGAAGAGGAACACGACAAGCAUACAAAGCAUUGAGUCGACCUUGAGGUUUCCUACUCAGUGCAUCAGCUACCACAUUUGCACGACCCGGAUGAUACUCAAUAGUGCAGUCAUAAUCACUUAGUAACUCCAUCCACCUUCAUUGACGAAGAUUAAGAUCAUGCUGAGUGAAAAAAUAUUGAAGACUCUUAUGAUCUGUGAAACAAUGGAGAUAAUGCCUCCAAAUUUUCAAAGCAAAAACAAUGGUUGCCAACUCAAGAUCGUGAGUAGGAUAAUUCCUUUCAUGAAUCUUCAACUGUCGAGAAGCAUAGGCAAUCACUCUAUUAUGCUGCAUCAAAACACAUCCCAAACCAUUUAAAUAAGCAUCACUGUAAAUCUUAAAGUUACCGUUAUCAUCAGGAAGUACCAAUAUCGGAGCAUGAGUGAGGCAAUAUUUCAACUGCUGAAACUUUGCUCACAAUUCUCGUCCCACUCAAACUUAACAUCCUUUCUGGUUAACUUCAUUAGUGGUAAGGCAAUCAUAGAAAAAUCUUGAACAAACCAUCGAUAAUAACCUGCUAGACCCAGAAAACUCUGUACCUCAGUGACGGUUCGUGGUUGUUCCCAAUUCUCCACUGCUGCUAUCUUUUGAGGAUCUACUUGAAUUCCUUGUGCCGAUACUACUUGCCCCAAAAAUGCCACUUCAUUCAACCAAAACUUACAUUUACUGAACUUGGCAUACAACUGAUGCUCCCUCAAUUUCUUUAAUAUUAAAUUAAGAUGUCGAAUAUGAUCUGCUUUUGACUUAGAGUAUACCAGAAUAUCAUCGAUAAAGACAAUGACAAACCUGUCAAGAUAUUGCUGGAAUACCUCAUUCAUUAGCCUCAUGAAAGCUACAGGUGCAUUAGUCAAUCCAAAUGGCAUCACCAAAAACUCAUAAUGCCCAUAACGGGUCCUGAAAGCCGUCUUAGGUACAUCAUCAUCUUUAAUCUUCAACUGAUAAGAGCCAGAUCUCAAAUCAAUCUUAGAGAACACACACGUACCUUUGAGUUGAUCAAACAAAUCAUCGAUACGAGACAAUGGAUAACGGUUUUUAAUCGUUACCUGAUUCAAUUGCCUGUAAUCGAUACAUAAUCUCAAAGUUCCAUCUCACCCUAUUUCUUUCACCCACGAAAGUAACCUCUGGUAAUCUAGGACGAUGAAAAGUAACUGACUUCCUGUAACAAUCUAUAUGGGCAUGAUUACAAUGCAACCAAUCUGCCCCUAAAAUCACAUCAAAAUCCACAAUAUCUAACGGGAUAAGAUUAGUUGGCAUAACCACACCAUCCACCAUCAAUGGACACCCAGGAUAAACACUAUCAACAUAACAUUUGUCACCUCUAGGCAUAGCAAAUUCUAAAUCAAAUCUUAGAGGUGUAGGGUGAGGUUGAGUCAUUUGAGCAAACGUAUGAUAAAUCACAGAAUGUGUAGCACUACAAUCAAUCAAGACUCUUGCAAAAUGACCAAGAAUAAUUAACGUACCCAUAAUUAAAUCUGGAUGGUUCUGAGCAUCUUGCAGUGAGAUGUGAUUAACACGUCCCUGAGCUUGCUGUCGUCCACCACGACCUCUGUUGCCUUGGUUACCUCGCCCCUGAGAAGUACGUCUAUGUCCUGGCUGAUUAGACUGCCUAGAUGGUCCUGCACCACUAGCAGUAACCUUUCCUUGUCGGGGCUGACCUCCCUGAUGCCACUGAGAUCCACUAGUUGGCAUGGAAGAAUAAGAAGUAUAACCUCCAAGGUCUUGGGAAUACCCAGUCUGAGAAUAUGGAUCCUGGGAAUACUGAUACUGUCCGGAAGCAUAUGGAGCAGCAUCACCCUGGUAAUGGUAAGCACCACCACGACCCGUCUGACCAUAAUUGCCUGAUCCAAAAUUUUGCUGAAUCGGCGCUGGAGGUGGCAUAACAGACUGCUGAGACCUCUACUGACUCUGGGAACACUGAGCAGCCCUAUGUCCCAUCUGUCCACAAGUGUAACAAGCACCAUCACUUCUCAUACACUCUCCAUGAUGUCUGAAAUUACAACGGCGGCACAACGGAGCACCAGAACCACCAGCACCACCAAAAUCUCUCUGUCUCUGAAACCUAGGUCCACCAGCAAAUCUUCCACCUCUCAUCGGGCCUGUGACACUAAAUCCUCCACUGGAAGAACUCGAGCGAGCUCCACUUUUCUUGAAAUUCUGCGUCUUACGGGUUCCCUGAGUGGAGAUACCUUUACCCCUAUCCUCUUUCUUCUGAUUAUCAUUCUUAUCUUCAUCAUCCUCACUGUUACUAGGAAGGUUGUCAGAAUCCUCCAUCCUAACCAAAAUCUCAGAAAACUCAUGAUAAUUGGUGCAAGGAAGCGCACUAGCAAAAGUCCACCAUUUCCUCUUAGUUCCCAGCUUAAAACGGCGAAGCAUCUCUGCCUGAUUACCAGCUGUAUCAGGGUCAUAACGAGACAAGUCUGUAAACUUCCUGUAAUACUCAUGUGCCGACAUAUUCUUUUGCUUCAAUUGAGUGAACUCCUGCUUCUUACGAUCAAUGUACUCCAGAGAAACAAAUCUUUUCAUAAAAUUCUCUUUGAAUACUUCCCAGUCAGCUGCCAUCUCAGGUGACAUAAACUUAGUCUGAUUUACCCACCAAGCUGCUGGCUCUCGCCCCAAAAACCAAGUAAUGGUCUCAACCCAUCUAUUAGCAAGAAGAUUCCCCUGACUCUGCAUCACCUGAAAAGUCUUCUCAAUAUGGUCUAACCAUUUUUCUGCUCCUUCAUGACCUUCAUUACCCAUGAAACGGUCCAAUUUCAGAUUAUACAUAGUCUUCAGGGGUGUUCUCUGAGGAGGAGGAGGAUGACGGAUUGCAUUUUGAAAGGCAUGGGCCAUCGCUUCCCCUAAUUGAGUUAUAUCAGGAAAAUUAGACUCAGUAGCACGGCGUGAUUCCCUACGAGGCGGCAUAGUUCUGACAGAAGACACCAAAAGAUCAUUAGAGCAUUAACAAUUUAUACAGGACUGCAACCUAGGCUCUGAUACCAAACUGACACAUCCCGGGCCCAUUCCACCACUGUAGCACAAUAUUGUUUGCUUUGGGCCCUGACUACGCCUUCACGGUUUUAUUUCUGGGAACUCACACGAGAACUUCCCAGUGGGUCACCCAUCAUGGGAUUGCUCUCGCGCGCUACUCGCUUAACUUCGGAGUUCCGAUGGAACCCGAAGCCAGUGAGCUCCCAAAAGGCCUCGUGCUAGGUAGGGAUGAGAAUAUACAUUUAAGGAUCACUCUCUUGGGUGAUGUGGGAUGUCACAACGGGGGCUACGACCCUUCGACUUACCAGUGAGUGGGCAAUAUUUUCUGUAUUUACCUAUAUACUAUUAAUUUUUCCCAGAAAUUGAAUUUAAAUGAAAGUGUGUUUUAAAAUGCCAUGCAUGCAUAUUAUGAAAUAUGUGAAUUAGUAUUUGAUGCAUAUAUAUAUGUGAAUUGUGUCGGGGCCGCACAUGUGAGUUUUAUGUUAAUCAUUGUGAUGUGAAUUGUAUUGAAAGCUCAAACAUGCACCCCUGGUGUUAGUGCUUAUAUUAUUCACCCCGCACCACACGCUCACCUUGGAUCCAAGAAGGUGCAUGUCGUACAGACCAUUAGAGGGUUCCGACAUGUCGUACAUACCAUGAGGUGGUUCCGACUUGUAGGUGAUUUUAGAUUAUUAUACAACUGUUGAUGAGAGAAGCACUAAAGCGUAUUCUUAUACCUUUCUUAUCGUACAGACUACUUCAAGUAGUUUCGAUUUAUGUGCAGAGUAGCGCCGUACAGGACCAAUUGCAGAGUCUCCGGUUAAUUCCUUAUUUCACCUGUUAUAAUGUUGCAUUCUUAUUCUGUUGUUGACGUUAUGGCAUGGCAUACUUUCUGGUUUUUGAUAAAGAUUUGUGAAUUGAAAUAUUUGAAGAAUUAUAUGCAUAUUAUGUCAUUUUCUGGGAAUGUAUACAGGUUUUACAGCGAGGGGUUAGAAAUGUUAUUAAAUGAAAUGUUUUCAAAAAACUUUGUUUUACUGACCCACUCAAUCUUAUUUUGCGCCCCUCCAGUUUCUAGUUAGCGGUGUGGUGGCUCACGAGGAUUUCCACGGAGUUCUGACAGACUACAUAAAUGUAGGACUCACCUUCAGGUGUUGUAAUUUAGUUAUUCCUACUUGACUGCACCUAAUAUUUAUGCUCUGAAUAUGUGUGUUUCACACUUAAACUCACUCUAGCAUGUUAGUUGGAUAUUAUUGUUAGUAUUAGGUUUUUAUUUCUUCAUAUUGCUCUUAUCUAUUGCUUCCGCGUCACACUUUUGGUUACGUCACGCCCACGUGACGGCCAGCACGCCUUGAUUUUAGGAUCGGGGUGUGUCAUGGAGCCUUCAACUCCCAAGUUUAAAUUCCAUGUAAAUAGAUGUCAUUUUCCAAUUUCUAUGAUUGAGAGUUUAAAAAUAAGAAAUUUCGUAUUCAAUUCCAUUGUUGUUUUAGGUUAACCAAACAAAAAAAUUCACAAUUUCUAGAAAAUAAAAUCCCGUCAUUUUAAAAUUUCUUAGUAAUCUUAAACUUCUUUAUCCAAACAUAGUGUAAAUGAUGUGGUUCUUGAUAAUUGAAUUAUAAUUUAAGUGUUGAUUAACGUGCUUAUUUUUUUUAUUAGUGAUACAUUAUUUGAUUUGCAAACAUGUUGUGCAAAAAUCAAAUCAACGUUAAAAGAAAUUUAGUAAAAGUGGCGCUUUCUCAAUGUUUCCUCUAUUCAAAAGACAAGACGUGUUGCACAUAAAAUUUCUCUCUAAUAAAUUGGCCAUAGAAUUUCUCAACGCUUUUCGGUUUGACUCCCCUUCUCCAAUGAAUAAAUCAUUUUUCCUUGGAAAGCAAUACUUGCAUUAAGAAUUUUACUUUAGAUAAUAUUUUAAAUCAAUCACGCAGUUCAUGUAUUUUAAUUUUCUCGCAAAACAUUACGUUAUUGCUAUGAAAUUACACCUCCUUCACAAUCAUAAUAUAAUUGUCAACCAUAACAUAUCAUUCAAAUCUCCUCCACAAUCAAAAGCUGUCCUCACUAGUAAGAUCUGCAGCACCUCCUCAUGCAUACAUAUAUAAUGGCACUUAACAAAACUACACCUCUUGCCAUCUACUCCUGGAGUCCUCCUUUUACAAAACCAGUUUGGAACUUCACAGAGACACUAACCCUAGCUUAAGAGAGUUGUUAACGCCACCCCUUCUUAACUUUCCACCAACAAUCCAGCUUCUUUUACAAUCUCUGCACAAACGUUUUUCUUUACGUAGAUUGGAAUAUUUGAACUGUUCAAAUCUUGUGUUCAAGCUUUCGCAGCGAGGGCAGGGAAGUAUCUUCUUGCGUGCCUCCGCUUUAGCUCGGGCUAAUUCAUCAGCACUAGGCUGCAAUGCUGCACGCAUUUACCAAACGUCAAAGCAAAUGUUCAUCCAGAAGAAGAUUCAAAUAUCUCAAACGCGUGAUGUGUCAAGUUAAUUACCUGGUUUAGAGAUGCAUGCUUCCACUCUCAUAUCCUUCUUCUGAAUUUCCGGCUUCUUCUCAGCAACCCUCCGCUGCAUGUCCUGUCAAUGAACAGAUGUACAAUUCUAAUCAUGCGUACAGAAUUGGUUAAUUCAUGCCAUUUAAACGUAGGAAUUACACAGCGAAGGACUUCAUCGGUUGAACUUACCCUGUCCCUAACAAGCACCUUGUUCCCCUCUUUGAUUCUUUCCAACUCUACAAGGUUUCCCACACAUUUACUUGCAAAGUGAAUUAAGAAAAACCCCGAAAAUGCCAAUGUGAUGGAUGAACAAAAACAUAAACGAUCAAAUAUAUCACAAAGGAUACGUCCCGUCUUCCAAAAGUUUGAGCAGGUUCUUAGUAUUCUGUGAACACAUUCAGAACAUAUCAAGGUAAAUUAGACGAAAUGAAUCAUCAAAAAUGAAUUAGAUUAGCCAAUUCAGAUCGAUAAAGUUACAACCUUUACAUCCUGACAACUUAUGUAUUCAGAUCAAUCAAGUCACACCAACUUGCUUAUAGCAAAUCAGAGAUUAAAUUACGAGGGCGGAGAAAAGAAGAAGUACCAUUUCGGCAAAGGAAUCAGUUUGGUCCCCAAUCUCAUGCCUCUUCUUGCCAUCUGCUAUCCACACCAAAAAUCUCAGUCACUUAUUGGCAAAGCAUUAUCUUGCAAAAAGCCCAAAAUUUCUUAGGGCCCAUUUGGGAUUUGCUUCUGUUUAGACAACCAAAAGUGCUUCUAAUUACCUUAAUGCGUUUGGAACAAAAACAUUAUAGUUCUUAUGGUUGUAGAGGUGCUUCCACUUGGAACUUUUUUUAUAAAAAUUUCUACUUGUUUAUAAUACUACAAGCGUUUCUAGCAUAAGUGCUUCCUACAGAAGCAGUCCCAAACAAACCCUACGUCACUUUACCUCAAAUUUCUACACAAAGAAAAAAAAGAAAAACGACAAAAGCAUUUUCCAGCAGAAAUUCGGAGAAAAAAUUGCAAAGAAACCAUGGUUGUAGCAAUGUAUGACUAACAUAUGUGAACCUUAAACACGCAACGAGAAAGAAAUGCAGGCGAAAGAAAGAAAUAUCAAGGAAAGCAGAAAUGGGAGAAACUGACCUCGAGCAUUGUCAUCUUCUACGUCCAUUGCUUUAAUUUCGUCGCCAAUUUCUCCCAGAGGGCUUGUUUGCUCUCUCUUUGCACCUCCCCGCAGACGAACCAUCUCUCUCUCUCUCUCUCUCUAGCUGGUUCUUACUUCUUACUGGUCUGAAUUCAGAAAUUACAAAACGACUGGAAAAGUUCUUGACUUGGAAGGAAAUGGUGAGCUGCAUAAAUUUUUAGUUGAGACGGAAACACGGAUGGUACAUCACGUGUUUUUAUGUAAAUGGUGAAAAAUUUUAAUUUUUAAAUUAUUAACCUUUUAACACAUAUAACCUACCAUUUAUAUAGGAACACGUAGUGUACCAUCUCGUGUGACGGUCACAUUGAAAAAUCUCUCGGUGAGCUGGUCGUUGAUUCUGAGAAAUUUUUAAUUGUGACGGGAACACAAGUGGUAGACCACGUGCUUUAAUUGAAGUGGUGAGAAAUUUUAUUUUUUAAGUCAUUAACAUUUUAGCACACAUUUCCAAUCAUUUGUAUAAUAACACGUGAUAUACUAUCUCAUGUAUCAGUCAUACUGAAAAAUCACUCUCGUGGAUUCUUUCGUGGAAGUGUUCCCUAUUUGGGCCUUUUUGUUGUUUUUGUUUUUUUCCCAAACUUUGGGCUCUCUUUUGGUUCAAUUCGGCUUCUUGCCGUGGGACUGUCGUGUUUAUAAAUGGAAUUUAAAAGAAAUAACAAACGGUGGAACCAUCUGAUAGAUGGUGAACAAUAUCGAAAGUAUUUUGUUAAAAAAAAUUUUUUUUCUAAUUCACUACGUCGAGUUUAAACUCUUCCCUUCAUUUUAGUUAGUUUACAAUAAUAAUGUCGCUUGCAGUUAAAACAAAUUGAUGAUAAUUGUGUAUAAGUGAAGUUUUUUUAUCAGAGCGAAAAAAGUGAAGCUUUUUCAACGCAUUUGUUUCUCAAAUAUAAUAUUUCAUCUUUUAUUUCAUGAUGUUCCUUUAUUUUCUUCUUUUGACGAGCUUAAGAAUUAUACUUUCAUCUUCGUAUCAAAAUUGAAAGAAAUUGAGUAACGCAAGAUAUCUUAUGAAAUGUCAUCCACAAUUGAUUUGGCUUUUAGAUGUGUAUUUUGUUCUUAAAGUCUCUGACUCCGUCUCUACAAAUGAAGCCUUUUUCCUUAGGAACUAAUGAUUUCCUUAAGAAUUUUACUUUGAUGUUAGGUUAUGGAUACCACUUUAGCAAGCCAAAUUAACAUACCCCGUAUGCGUUUUAGUUUUUUCACGUAGCAAUGCAUGAUUGCUCCAAACGUCGGAGGAAUAAAGAAUGUAUUCUCUAAAACCAGGAGACUGCUGGUUACAAUUGCUCCUAAUGGUUCAAGUAGUUUUUCCUAUACAACUAUCAUUGUAGUUUGUCUGCAACAUAGCCUCUACAUAUUGUGCAUCAAAUGACCAUGAAAUUCUCAAAUUACAAAUCUUAUACCUUGCCGCUCGACUCUUAUUUUCGGCCACAAACUCGAUCGCGGCAAAUUGCCAAGAUAGAACAUACAAACUAGCUCCGAGCUUCAGCAAAGCUGGAGGCAAGCUAAUUAAGACUUGCCCAGCAAGCUUCCUAACUAAAGCUAUCGAUUUGGUGACACUUAUGAUGUCGUCAACAAUGUGAUCAGCAAUCCAGACAAAUAAGGUAUGUUAAUGUGGGCUUCAUCAAUAUGUAAACCUUUCAAAAUUUUGAUAACAAAAAUGGAAAGUUUUACACUUACAAUUCACGGUUUUCAGUCGGUUAUGCAAAUUCGUAUAUAAAUCACCAUUCAAUUUUUUUUAUUUUCACCAUCGCCUCAUUGUGAAGUUUUGAAAAUUAAGAUGAGACUUUCCGUUGAGAUUCUUGAGUGUAGAACUCUAUUUGACAAUGAGAUUAUCAACAUGCAGAAUGAGGCGAACUUCCGGGGUGCUCAGAUAGCAUAGUUAAUGAGAUUAUCAACAGCAUCAAAAGCUCAUACAUUCAUUCUGCUUGAUCAAGUUAAUACUCUUCAUAAUCAUUGUACAUAUAUAUUUGCAUUAAUCCAUGAUUUCAUUUCACCUAAUGCAUCUAGUUCCUACAUUCCUACUCCGUCUAAACCCUAAUAUUAAUAAACUUAAAUGACUGAUAUAGAAACAAAAAUCUCUUUUCCAAUAGUUCGAUACAGUACAUUGUAAGCCUUAAAACCAAUAGUUCCAACAGAAUCCUAGCAACCAGUGCAUCUUCCAAACUACGGUUUCGGGGUGUGGCGGUUGUUGGCGCCUGAUCCCGGGUAGUCAUUUAGCUCCACACCCAUCCUUUCACUGAUAGCUCUCUCAUUAUAGAUCUUCUCUGUGGUUACCUGUUUUGAAAAAUGAAAAUUAAGUGAUGGAAGGCUAGUAACUCAACACAUCUUUUCCCGGAGCGCUUCUCGUGAUACUUGUACUAUGAAUACAUGUCUAUUAAGAUCCCUAGAGGAUCCUCGCGAGUCGCGAAGAACUAUAAUAUCGAAAAUAUGGAGUAAUACCAGUUUGUUACUUCCUGCAAUUUGAUGAAGUUGAGGUCCAAGCUUUAGACUUCCAAUUCCUGCAUGUUGUAAAAAGCAAAUGAGAACUAGAUGGAGAAGAAUAAGAGAAGCAGAAAGCUGUUACAGGUUUUACUUGUAGCUGGGAUGGCAUUCAAGAAGAUAAGUUGAGAAAACCCUAGCAAGAUCACAAGCACAUGAAGGAGACUGCUUGCCAUUUUCUCUAUGAAGUUGGAUGUUAAUUGUCUUAAAGCUAUCACUACUCAAUUUAUACAACUCAAAAAAGCUGCCUUUCUAGACCUUUGUUUGAGUUGUUGGGAUUUGGAAAAAAUCAAAAGGGUGAAAGAGAAGAGGAGUGUAAAACUGGUGGAAAUUUACCCCAAAAUGCAGUGAGGUGGUUUGGAAAUUGUUAAGUGGGGCAGUUGAUUUUUAAGUGAAUGUGGUAGUGGAGGUGUCACAAAGGAUGAUGUCGUGGCAAAAUUUGAGCUCAAGGGUCUCAUGCACUAAAUUGUAGGUUAAGGUUUAGUGGGAGUCAUCAUCAUUGGACACAGCUGCACAAGGAUAUUCAAUGAAAUGGAAGAAGAAAUCACUAAAAAAGCAAAGCAAUAUGGACUUAGAUCUUUUGGGAUUCAUUUUAGUGGCAUGUCAACUAAGGGGUAGGGAAAACAAACAAGAACCACCAAAUGCGAUAGCAUGUAGUAUUGCAGUACAAGUACGACUUGUUUGAAAAAGAAAAAAAAAGUUGAAGAUGAUGACAUGUUUACUUGGAACAUACUUGUAUUCAAAUUUUCGAUUUUUGAUUUUCUCUAUGUUUGCUAACGCAUGGAUAUUAAAGUUAGUAUGAUUCAUGAUUUCACAUGGGUUUGCUCUUGAUUGAUGCUUUCACAUGCAUUUGCUAAUACUGUGACACUAACGGACUAAAAAAUUAUGUGACUCAUACAUUACAAUUUGUAACUCAAAAUCUGAAAAACAAAAAUUAAAUUAAUUAAGGAGUAGUUAAUCUCAUUUACAUUUCUUAUCUUCUUUAUUUAUGACUUUUUCAGUUCAUGACCUCUUUGUUGAGAGUGAAUUCCACAUAAAGGAGAGAGACAUUACAUAUGCUUAUAAUAGUUGGGUUACUUCGUAUAUUGUCAAAUGAUUUUAUGGUGAAGGCUCAACCUUCUCUAUGGUAUCAGAGAGCAGGUUGUUUUGUGUGUCAAGCCUAACUGCCACCGUGCUCCACGCCACCCGAUUUGUGUUAUUCACGUGUUAGACUUUAAAAUUCAUCACACAUGAGGGAGCACGUUGAGAGUGAAUCCCACAUCAGAAAUAAGAGGGAUGUUUUGUGUACUUAUAAUUAUGUAGUUGGAUUCAUGUUAUCAAUUGGUUAUACGGUGAAAGCUCAAAACUUUCUUUGCUCUUCUUAUUAUGAUUUAUUCUUCUUUCCAAGAAUAAGACACACAAUGAUCUGGUUGGAUGGUAAGUGCAGAACACAAUUAGAGUUGGCAACACAAUCAGUUUAACCAUUCAACUUCGUUCCGACUUCAGUGGACAUAUUGGGAUCAAGUUAUCAUGCUUUUAGUUUAAAUUGUUUGACUUUAUGAAUCACCAAUCAAACUUUACAAUGUGUUUGGUGGUGGGUCACUGCCCUUACAUGGUGGCAUGGUUACAGAUUUAUUAGGUUGUAAUUAAAGUAGUUAUUGACAAUGAAACAAACAUGGCUCAUGUAUUAGCCAAUUCCAAAAGGCAAUUAACAAAAUUAAUUAACUAAUUACAAUGUAAAGCUAAAAGCCUAAAGAUCCGAAAUGGGGCUGAGAAAGUAGAAAAGAUAUAUAAAGCAAGAAAGGCCUAAGGAUCCAUCCAGAAUAAUCACACCAUGCUUUCUGCUGCUUUUGCAUGCUUCAAAAUUUAUCAUGCUACAUUUUACUCAAACUUAGUCAAUCCUUUCAGAUGGGAUGCUGUCCGUUGAUGAUGUUUGUUUGAUCUCACCCAAUUCAGUCAGUCCUUUCAUGCCCAUGGGAGCAAUAUGUCACACACUUCACAUUGAGUUUAUGUGCUUAACAACUUACAUGGAGAGUUCACAUAAUCUUCUAUUUUUAUCAUUAGGGUGGAUCUUUCUUCUGGUUUAGUGUGUUACAUGAUGAAAGGGUUAAUCUGAUUUAAUCAUUGAGGUACAGGUUACACAAACUCAUGAUAUCUAAGAUUUCCUAUAGAUGAUGAUUGAUGUCUAGCAAAUAAUCAUUUUACAUCGAGAGAUCAAAUGGGGUCGUGUUAUACACGUCUUUUAAAUGAAAAGUCAUUUGUUAAAUUGAUAAGAAUUUUCACAUUUAGUUGUUAAAUACCUCAAUGACCUACUUUAAGAUUUUUCAGGAUCAUAUAAACUCAUGAUAGGUAAGUUUUUCUUCAGAAGAUGAGCAAUGAUUGGCGAGAUUUUUUCAUUUUAAUUUCGCGCCUUAAGUCAAUAUUUUUGCAAUUGUAUAAUGAUAAUGAUGUUUCGUUCCGUGUUUCAAGUACACUGAAAAAUCUCUUCAAAUAAAAUAACAAUCAACAAGCAAAAAGCUACAUGUAUCUGAAACAUAAAAAAAAAUUGAAAAGAAAGAAGGGGACUAAGAGAUUGGAGAAAUUUCUUCAAACCUUCCAUCCUAAUUUCAUCUUAAUCCUGUCCAAAUCAAAUGUGUGGUAUGUGCCUCCUAAUUGAAAAACAUGUUAGCGGAAAUCCAAACCGCCCACUGGGUAAUCCGACAUUAAACAAAUCAACUUUAACUACCUAAUUACACUUGUUUAAUUCUGAUUAAAAGAAAAAGUUGACUUGUUUAAUCAAUAGAUGAAGCAUGUGAUUAAAGUAAUCAAAACCAUUUGACCUUUAACACCGAAAGACCAAACCUUAGAGCAUUUUAAAGGAUUUAACAAAAAAUAUUUCUUUGAAGGUGUCUUUGUUAACCCAUUUGAAUUGUGACUUGGCACAUGUCCUCUUAACAAGAUAAAACGUAAACAAAAUGAUAAAAUAAAAAAAAAAAAACUAAUGAAAAUGGUUUGAAAACUUUGAGUUUUAAUGAUAAUGACAAAAUAAAAGGGAAAUGAAUAAUACAAAGAUUGAUUUUUAGUGUAAAAAUGUAAAUUUUUAUUAAAGUACCGAGAACUUUUCUUUAAAAUUUUUAAUAAAAAAAUGGGCAGCCUUCGCAUUCCUGGUCUGGUUGGGGGCCAGAUGGCUAUGUUUGGCCCCAGCUUGGUGAAUCGUAUCCAUGCGCAAACCCAUUGUGCGCCCUUUAUCGUUCUCCCACUCUUUCAACCAACUUUUUAGAUUUUAUUUUAAAAUAUUAAUAUCUUAACUUUAUUUAUUUUAUGAGAUCCAAUUUGUAUUAUCAAACACUUUAUUAAUAAUAUUUUAAAUAAAAUAGGUUGCGAGAUCUAAUUUGCUAACUUAAACAAAGUAACAACUGACCUUAUAAGCAUGUAAGAUCAAUUAUUAAUUCUUUAAUUUGCUAACUAAGUUGUUAUCUCCAUUAAAAAUUUAUUUUUACUACACAACAUAACAAAACUAACGUCGUCAAAUGCUGCUUUAUUUGGAGAUACUCUUAUCUUUUAACUUUUUAUACCUAGGAGGAUCAUCGCCAAAUCCUAUUUAUGAGGAUCCUAGAGAUCCUCCAAUCACAUAUGUUCAUCUUUCAUCGUACGGUUAGAAAUCAUUGUAAUUUUUUUAACUUAAAAUUGAAUAUAAACAGUAAUUGACAAAAACUGACCGCACGAUGUAUGAUGAACGUAUAUAAUUAGAGGAUUCGGCAAGGAUCAUCUCUCCUUUAUCCCGGAAAGAACUUUUCUCCAUAUCUCUUCCACCAGGUCACCAAAUCAAAUGAUCCGGGCUUUGAAUUUUCAUCCAACGGCCCAUAUGUUUUGAUCCCUUAAAAGCUAUAAUAAUUUUUUACCGUUGAAUGAAAUUUCAAAAGCCCGAAUCAUUUGAUCUAAUGAUCUUGGUAGGAGAGAUCUGAAGAUGAUAUCUUUCCCUUUAUCCCUACAUUAAGAUUGUACUAAAUCAUAUUUUUUUUUACUUUUAUAUUGCUUAAUUUUUUGGAAUAUUAAAAAAAUUAAAAUGUCCACUAAUUGGAUUUGGUGUCAUCCUUUGAGAGCUCUGCUUAGGUAAAUUUUUAGUUGUGACGGAAAUACGAAUGGUACACGAUGCGUUUUUAUGUUAGUGGUGAAAAUUUUUAAUCUUUAAGUUAUUAAUCUUUUAAUACACGUAACCACUCAUUUAUAUAGGAACACGUGGAGUACCAUAUUAUGUGAUGAUCAUACUAAAAAAAAUUUCCUCUGCUUACGUACAAGUUGGUCAAUGGUAUACGCGUGUCAUGAGCUAGGAUACGUGUUGGUCAUCUACGGGAGAUUGUGGAGAAAUUCUGCAGGCUUUCAACUUUGAGCUUUUUGGGGUGGGACCCAUUGAAAAGUUUCUGCAGCUGGUGUGGCGACAAACCUGGUUCUAAUCUGAGAUUAAAUAUUUAGUCAGCAAGAUAAAUGAAAUAGAAAAUAUAUUGAGUUGCCUUAGAGUCUUCAUACACAAGUAAUUAAAGAGAUUAAAUUACAUUAUCGCUUAGAGUAUUCAUAUAUUUAGUUUACUUUUCACACGUUUCUUAUAAUUUAGGUUAUUUGAUCUUCUUCAACUCGUUCAAUCCGACGGUCAAAAUUUAAGAAGGGAGGGUGGGAUGUGUUAUUCAUACACCCCAAAAAAUAAUUGUACUAAGUAUGUUUGCAAUCCUGUGUUUUUUUUAUGGAAAGGUACAAUUUAUUAAGAUGCCAAUAAAAUACGUAUAAGAGGAUAAGACAUAAAAAGUAAGCGAAUCUCUGAAGAAUAAAAAACUUUGUCGGGAUUUUCAAACCGGAAACAUAAAAAAAAGGCCAUCAUUAUAGAAUAAAAGAGAACAUUGUAAUCACUGAGUAAAACUAUUUUGAAUCAAGAUGUUUGCUACAUGUCCGGUGGUCCUUCAAAUUAAGCCACCUCAUGUUGCUCUCCAGUUCCUGCUCUUUCAAGCCUAUGUGAUGCCUGAUUUGCUUCUCGUCUAACAUGACUUAAGCUUGAAUCGAGAGAAAGCUUGAAGAAAUAAGCGACUGUCAUUAAAUAUUAGGAAAACUAAUGAAAAUAGUUUGAAAACUUUGAGUUUUAACAAUAAGGACAAAAUAAAGAGUAAAAUGAAUAGUACUAGGAUUGAUUUUUUAGUGUAAAAAUGUGGUUUUUCGUUAAAGUGAACAGUAUCAGGAGCUUUUCGUUAAAGUUCUCUUAAUUAUUAAUCCCAUCCCAAAUAGAGGUGUCAUCACCUUGUUGGAUAGCAGCUAUUGCAAGGAUAUAAUCUCCUUCAAAUUCUACUUUAGUAACUCGCAACUCCUUUACAAAUAUGACAACCCUUCUAACAGCACUCAACUCUGCUUGCAAUGGCGAACCCCCAAACUUUAAUUUGAACUCAAUUUGCAGCCAUAAUUUCUUCCUUCGUCAACAUUGUCGCCUACAAGACACAUAAGAGGGUACUUUAAACAAUUUCCUUGCAAGAAAAUAAGAAAAGUUGACCCAACCACUAUGAAUGAUACCUCGAAGAGUUAAGGAUUAGUAAUCAUUUUCAGAAAUCGAAUGGAUUCGGUCCUAUACAUACGCGAGGAAUGUAAUAAAAAAAUUUAUUUUCAUUCCACUUAGCCCUAUCCCUCUCUAGGGGUAUUUUAGGUAUCGUUUGGUACGUGUGACGGGAUGGAACGGAGUGAGAUGAUGUGUUUCAUCUCGUGUUUAGUGUGCCUAAAACGGGUGGAACGUGUUGUUCUACGGGACGAGUUUUGAGUGAAUUUUCGUUCCGUCUCACCCCUGAAACGACUUGUUCCACAUCCGUGGAACACAAAAUUAUAACAUCUUCAUCUCCUUCUUCCUUCUUGUUCCCAUUCGAGGGCAUCUUUGCUCCCUUUCCGUUCUGUCCCGUCCCGUCCCAUUCCGUUCCGUCUCAUCCCAUCUGCAUACCAAACGAUACCUUAGUGAUGGAUGUUAUAGGAACUAGACAAUCUUAUUUGGUCAAGUUGUAAAAACUUGUGAACAAUAAAAAAUUAUGAAAUUAUAUUAUCCUUCGACAAACUGCAUGUACUAGAUAAAUGAAUUGUUAAUUACGCGACUAAAGAUCUGAAAAUAAAUUCAACGACUAAAGAUAUGAAUGUUAGCAUAUAUCGGUGCAUACUAAAAAAUUCGUAACAAUACGAGGAAGAAAAAAUAUAGAAAAUGUUAUUGACACUUCAAAAAUCUCAUUUUACACUCAUCAUAAGUGUAUUUUUCUUUCCUAAUAUAGAAAAUUUGAAGUGUAGAAUAAGAUUUUUGAAAUGCUUCCCAGAAAGAUACAUAUCUCUAAUGGUAGCACCGAAUUUUCCAUGCACCCAAAGGAAAGUUGACAAGGGAAAUCUGGAGGCCACGAGAACUUGUGGCUGAGAAUCAAACGCCACGUUGUGACGUGGCACCCACUUCCAGCUAAGUUUAAACAGAUCAAAAUCGUAGACGACGUUUUACUACGGCCAAUGCCACCACGACUCUCACCCAAAAGAAACGAAAAGGAAAACACUUCCAACGCUCGCGCCUCUUUUUCCACUGUUUGGCUGCCGAGAAAAUGCUGGAAACUAAGGACCCCGCGAUCAAGCUCUUCGGGAAGAAGAUUGCCCUCCCCGCCGACAUCGAAGACUUGGGUUUUGCUCGGCCUGUAGAGAAAGAAGUGGAGGUAGAGUCAGAGGAGGAGGACGAAGAAGAAGAGGAUGAAGAGACAGAGCAGGUAACAGUUUGUAACUCAGAGAGAAAGUUCUUGUCUAAAUUUUUGUUUGGAUUCGACCCUUUUGUUAAAAUGCUGAGAGCUUUGAAGGGUCGAGCUUGUUUUCUUGAUUCGUUUUCAUUUUUUCUAUUUUUGUUUGAUUUUUUGAUCCUGUUUAAUUAACUUCAUAAAUUUUAGCAGAUGAAAGAAUCAGGGAAAGAAAGUGGAAAUUCUGAGCCUUUUUUUUCCAGUUGAAAGUUGAAAUCGAAAAUUUGUUGCCUUUUGAUUGUUUGAUUCAAUUUUGUUUAUCAAUGAAACGAUUUUCAAUCAAUGGAUUUCACUCCAGCUUUUGGAAAAGUAUUAAAUUUGAUAAGUUUUAUUACUUCUUUGUUUAAUAAUUUUGGUUAAUUAAGUCCAAUUUGCAUGUAGCUAAUUAGAUUGUUUUUAAGUGUGACUGCAGAUAAAAAACUGUGAAACUGUUUAUGCUUCUUGAUUUUCUCCUAAUUAAGCAGCCAGAUUUUCAGCUGUGAGAUUUAUUUAUUCUUCAAAUGAAAGAAAUCUGGAAGGUUUUCUGUUGAUUUUCUAAGCUGUUGUUUUCAUUAAUCUGGAAAUAUUACCCGAUUCUAAAUCGUACUUGUAAAAUUUUCAGGAUUCGCCAUCACGAAAAUCGACUGAGAGCAUAGAACAAGAUGAUGGUUCUCCUCCUAAAACUGAAGACCCUGCAAAUCUGGAAAUAUUACCAGAUUCUAAUGUGAACCCGAAGACACCAUCAACAGAUGAAGCAAGUGCGCUAUCGAAAACUGCUCAGACAGAGAAAGAACCGAGUACCGAAAACUCGGAAGAGAAAGCCCUGAAGAAGCCUGACAAGAUACUUCCAUGCCCCCGCUGCAAUAGCAUGGACACUAAAUUUUGUUACUACAACAAUUACAAUGUCAAUCAACCGCGGCAUUUCUGCAAAGCCUGUCAAAGAUACUGGACUGCAGGCGGUACCAUGAGGAAUGUGCCUGUGGGAGCUGGACGUCGCAAAAACAAGAACUCUGCCUCACAUUAUCGCCACUUCACCAUUACCGAGGCUCUUCAAGCAGCUCGGAUUGAUGCUCCAAAUGGAGCUCACCACCCUGCAUUAAAAAGCAAUGGUAGAGUCCUGAGCUUCGGAGUGGAUGUACCUAUUUGUGAUCCUAUGGCUUCUGUUCUAAAUCUUGCAGAUAAAAAUGUUUCAAGUAGUACUCGAAAUGGUUUACAUAAAGGUGAAGAACAGGUAUUUCGAGCUCCUUGCAAAUCUAGGGAAAAUGGUGAUGAUAGCUCCAGUGCAUCUUCUGUAAAUGUUUCAAAACCACACUUGGUGAAUGUCAAUGGGUUCUCUUCGCAAAUUCCUUGUCUUCCUGGUGUUCCCUGGCCUUAUCCAUGGAAUGCAGCAGUUCCCCCACCGGCUUUUUGUCCUCCAGGAUUUCCUCUAUCAUUUUGUGCUGCACCUUAUUGGAACUGUGGCGUGCCUGGCACCUGGAACGUUCCUUGGUUUGGUCCACAACCCGCUACUCCAAACCAAAAGUCUCCCCACUCUAGUUCAAAUUCUCCAACAUUGGGGAAGCAUUCGAGGGAUGAGGACGUUGUAAGACCAGAGAAUCUGGAGAAGGAAGAGCCAUCAAGACAGAAAAAUGGAUGCGUUUUGGUUCCGAAAACAUUACGGAUUGAUGAUCCAAGUGAAGCUGCAAAGAGUUCAAUAUGGGCAACGCUCGGGAUCAAGAACGAUUCCAUCAGUGGCAAAGGACUGUUCAAGGCCUUCCAACCAAAGAGUGAUCAAAAGAAAACUGUCCCUGAAACCUCCCCCGCAAUGCGAGCAAAUCCAGCUGCAUUGUCUAGAUCCCUCAACUUUCACGAGAGCUCAUGAAGUAGCUAGCUAGCCAAGUAGCCAUGAGUUUUGACAGGUACCCCAUCCAGCUGAGGCCAUUUUAGUUGAGCUGGUCGAAUCGGGGAUGCAGAAUUGGAGGGGCAGUCUCUACUCUCUAGGGUUCCUCAGUAUGAUAGGGGAACUAAUGUAGGAUAAAGCGCUUGUGGGAGAUUGGUUCCCACUAGGAUAAAUCUCUAGUGGCAACUAUUUUUGCCUUCUUGCGCUAUGCACAGGUCCCUUCUGAUGUACUUAGUUUUUCUGAGAUUAUGUCCAUGUACGUAUCUAUGUCUCUAUAUAUGUGAAAUACUAUGAUAGAAUUGGUUGGAGAUCCAAAGAUCUUUCUAUUCUCUCUUUUCUAUUUUCUUGGGGGCCAAGGAAAAGAGCGUUCUACAACAGAGAUGCUACUAUGGCAGUAUUUUAAACUAAUCAAGAAGUGUUGUGUUUGACUCUUGUAAGUAAUACUAGUUUAUUAGUUUGAGAUACCGUCACAGUGACAUUUCCAUUGUAGUUAAUCUGUUGAUCCAUCCAUGCCUUGGUGGCUACUCUUGUGGGGCAAAAAUGGAGAUGGCGACAAACCAACAAAAUUGUUCUUUUUAGUCCCUUUCCCUUUGUAAGAUAAGCUUGAAUUAAAUUCCUAGCAAGGGCCAAAUUGCUUUCCUUUUCACCACCAAAGGAUCUGAACAACUUGCACAAAAGUUCGGUUGCAGACUGUCCGAUAUUAUCUUGAUCUCCUUUUUCUCCCUGUUCUCUUUUGAGAGAUUUUUCAGUGUGUGUUUGGAAUACAGGAUGAUACAAUACAUGUUAUUAUACAAUUGAAGGAACAUUUGGAGGAACAUGCGGUGUACUGUCCUAUAUUCCGGAUACACUAAAAAAUUUCUCGUACUCUUCUCGUUUAGAAAACAAUUAUGUUCAACCACUAAGAAAUAAUAAAUCAACACAAUUAUAGAAGCCAAAAAUUGCCAACCUACAUAAGAAGGAAAUUUUGAAACAAUGCCAUGGUAUGGUAUUCUACCAAAGAGUCUUGUAUCGUAGCUUCAAUUCUCAAUUAUGCGUUCGUGGUCUUUUUAGCAAAAAUUGUCUCGUAUAAAUUGAUGCUAAAAAAAUCAUAUUUUUUUAACACAUAACGGGAUAAUUUGAAGCUAUGAUCAAAGAUUCUGGUAACCUUAAUACAUGUGUUCAACCCUCGAUUUGAUUUUAUAAAUAUAUAUGUUUGAUUCUUUUUUCAUUGAUUUCUAUAAAUAUAUAUAUGUUCGACCCUUUAUUCAAGUCUAAACGACUACUCGUUAAAACAAGUCAUCUCAGACAUAUGCCUCUCACUAGCCAGUGACAGAAACUGGGGAUGUUUCUCCUUUGAUAAGAAACUACGGAUGAUAGGAUUACUUGGUGAAAUACAUCUUUACCUAAUUUCUUUGCAAAGCAAAUCGUUAGAUGCAUCAACAUCACAGAUAGAUGUGUCUCUCAAAACAAUCACCAAUUAAAAAACACACAGAUAUUUGGGUGCAACAAGCAAAUGCAGGCCGCAUUUUUUGGUAAAGAUGAGUUGUUAUAUGGGACCCCAAUUCCACACAUAAUGCCAUGUAUAUUUUGGCGUUCUCUAUCUCUUGAUCUGAAGAGCAAUUUAUACAGUACGAGUUCGAUGUUAUAUGGCGUUUUGAUCUGAUGAUGCAAUGCUAUGUGGAGAGGAAUUUAUGCAUAAUAUUGUGUUAUUGAAUCAAACGCAAUAAUAACGAUAAAUCUGUUCUAUAUAAGUCAUUAUCCUGUCUCGCUUUCGCUUUUCUAUUUUUUUCUUCCUUUUUUGCUCUUUUCCUUCAUCAUAUACGAAAGCAAUUGUCCCUCUAUUUUCAUCCAUAUGCCUAAUUUUAAUGCUUGUCUGGGAGACAAAAGAAGAUACAAUGACAGAAGGUUUUUGAAUAUUUUCUGGAUCACAACUCUCUAGCCAUAUGGUUUUUGAUUUUUAAUGUCGACUAGAUAUUGAACACAACCUUAUAUCUACAGUGCAUGGAUAUGAACAGGGAGAUACAACACGACACGACACAGGGAUACGUCAAAUUAACAAGAAAAAUUAAUUUAUGAUCACAAGAGAUUACAACAUGACACAAAGAUAUGACACAACACGAUAAGGCACUGGGAUACGAGAGGAUACCACCAUGAUCUUGCAUUGCACUCUUACAUGUUCAACUUUAUUGAGGAUACAAAAUUAUAGUGGCAAACUUGGUAAUGUUGCUAAAUAAUGGUGUUUCCAAAUAUGAGAAAUUGAGCCUUCCUUCUAACUAAAAACCCAAAAAGGUCUCUUUGUAGAGAACUGAAAAAGGAAGAGAAAAGGUUUGGUUAAGUCAUGUCAUUUAAGCUCCAACAGACUAACAUGGAGCUCUUCCAUUUUUCUUAAAAACCUCCCUCUCAAGGCUUGACAAUAUGACUACAUUUUACAAGGGAAAGAGCAAAAAGAAAGAAAAACUCUUAUAAAAAUCUUAAUCCCUAGUCUAAUCCCAUCACUAAUCCUCUCACCUCGAAUGCUCAUGCCACUCGUCCGUGCGUGCACGAAGUGACUCAUUUAAGUAUUCAAUCAAAUUCUUUUUUUAAUGAAACGAUAAUAAAGAAUUAGGCAAGUCGAACUACACAAAACACUUGAUUGCCGGAUUAUAAUAAUAGCCUUACUAUCUAAACCUGCACAAGAUGAUUAAUAGGCUAGAUUAAGCAACAACGUAUCAUUUAGUAAUUGAUUAAUGCUGAUAUUUGAGUAACAGAAUGUCAGGUUAGGUAGAGAGCCACUUGUAAUUGUUUUGCUCAUUUUUUUUAAUCAUGGUGGAUUCUUAACAAACCAACCAAGUCUUCUUGCAUGUUAAUUAUUACAGCACCAAGUUACAAGUUACAUGUAGUUUUACCAUCUCCCAUUUGGCUCAAUUCAUAAAUUCAUGUCCUCUUCCUUGGAAGGAAAAAAAGUGGAUUAAAAUUGUAGGUUUACACCUCCAUGUUUAGGUGAUUUUUAAAAUGAAUCGUGACGGUUCAAUUUUCUCAUAUUAUUCAUUUUCUAAGAUUUUGAAAUUGUAUCAAUUAACAUUUUUUGGAUAUUAGAUAUUUGAACGUUUAAAUAUCCGUUAAGUUGAUGAGUUUUUUAGUUAAUAUGAUGCAAAUGAGUUUACAUGUAAUCGUAAUUAUGGAUUUCAUCCUCAUUAUGUUAUUAAUUUACUGAAGAUUCAAAUAAUUCGUUAUAAAAAAUGAAUAAAUUAAUACAAUUUUAAAAUAAAAAGUGUGAAAUUUUGUUUAAAAAAACAUGUGUGAACUGUAUUUAGCCCAAAAGGUCAAGCUCAUUGAAUUUUAAAAGUGGCUUUUGGUAUGAUGGGAGUCAUUGUCAAUCUCCCACUAUUCUAGUGCUCUUUUUAUUAUCAUUCAAAGUCAUCCAAGUUGCAUAGAAUGAGGGGAAAUUUGGCUUUACACGCAUAGUGAUUUAUCAAAAGCAGUACAUUAAGUAUAAUAAUAAAAAUUUGAAAACUUAAUAAAAAAAAAAAAAUUCCAACUAAUUUGGUAUACAGGCCUGAUUUGGUACUGAGGUGAUUCUGAAAAAAACUGGUAUAAAAAAAAGCUGAGAGCUGUUUUUUGUGUUUGGUAAACAUUUAGCUUCAGCUUUUUUUCAUAGUUUUGUGUGAAAAAAAAACCAAAAACAAGAAACUGUUGUAAAAUCGACGGUGGGUGCAGUGGAAUAAAUGAAACAAGACACAAAAUUUACGAGGUUCCUCUACAGUCAGUGUGACUGGAGUACGUCCUCGGGGCAGCUGUGAUGCUUUCAUUAUAAUCUGAAAUAAUAGGAGUACAAAGAUAACUCUCUCUAUUAUCUCCUCUCAUCUUCCUCUAUUCUCUCUCUUCCUCUUCCUUUCUUCCUUUUCCUUCUUCUCUCCCGUGAACCUCACUCACUUCAUUCAUCUUCUUCCUUUAUAUAAACAAAAGAAAGCACUAUUCACUUUACAAAUUUUCCACAAAUGAAUAGUGAAAAUACUGUGCAUAAAUAGUAACAAACUAUUCAUGUGGACCAUCCACAUAAUAUUUACAACACUCCCCCUUGGAUGGCCACAAGUCUUCGAUUGACUCGUUAAAAUCUUGAUCUGUCUUGGAUGCUCCCCCUGAUGAGUAUCUCCCCCUGAUCUCAAAUCAUUUAGGUUGAUCGUUGAUUGUUCUGCUUUAGUCCCUUAGUAAGAAGAAUUGCUAAAAGAGUUGCUUUACUUAUUGUUAACUUUCCACAGCCUUUUUCUUGAACUGGGUUGUAGGACUUUCUGCUAGACUAGCAUUGAAGAUCGGAAUUUACUCCUUUUAUCUGGAGCGGAAUUUGAUUCAAGAGUAAUGAACACUUGAUCUUGAAUCGGACUUGUAAUUUCUUUAAGGACCUUCGAAGCUGGAUCUUGAAUGAAAUUGGACCAUGAGGAGCUUCAUGUGGCAAGUGAUCUUCAGUUUUGUCAGGGAUGAAUCAGCACGCGUUUGUUGCGCUUGUCUCCACAUGCUUCAAUGUAUCAUUUUUACUUUCCUUACUUGCUCCCCUUGCUUAAGUAGUAUUUUCCCUGCUUUUCCCCCAUGCAUGUGUGGCAUCUUCUCCGGCAGUAUUUGCCCUCUAAUGCCGGAGUGGAGUGCAACCCUUGCAUUUGGAUGGUUCAUCACUUCUUGGUGACUGGAGACCCAGCUCCAACCGUUGAAGAUGACUACUCGAGAGCAACAUUAGGUAAGCAAUCAGGAAAGGUUCCAGGCAGUCGGUUCCUUACCGGGAGUUUGAGUGGAGGUUUCGACAUAUUGCUUUCUUUAUCCUUGUCUUCGCAGGCAAGAACAUGGACAAAGGAAAGGACAGGGAGAUUGCAUGAUAUGAGAUAAUCUUGCUCUGGUCCCUGAAGAUAUGUGAUAAUCUUGCUCUGGUGUGACAUGUUUGAAGAGGUAUUCUCGGAGAGGAAGAAAACUGAGUAUUUCGAGAUGCUAUGUUGAAGAUGCAUUCUCGGAGAUGAGGAAGAGUUAGGUAUUCUUGCAGAGUUGCAGGUCUGCCUUGUUAUGAAGAACAGAGGUCGACAUAUAUAGAGAUUUCCCAAUAGCAAGUGGUGGUGCUGUGCUUUUACUCUUGUCAGCAACUGUGGUGUAAAUAGAACAGUAAGAUUUAUUUACGCGGUUUCAAACUUUGUCAGAGAUCUUUGACAAAAUUGCACGCGACAUCUGAAAAAGUUGGGAUUACGUCUGAAAAAUGCCAACGAACUUUAUUCAGGAAAAUCUGGCUUUUGAAAUUCGGAGAGCGGUGCCUCUUCGAUCUUUGAACAAGUGGCUCUGCUGCCUCUUCUUUUAUAGAGACAUCAAUUGUGUUCAAGGGUAUGCUCAGAAAGUUGCUGCCUGAGAAAUUUCCCCCUUCUUGCAUUUCUGAAAUUUUAUUUGACCUCUGUUUUUCCUUCAUCAUUUCUGAAAAUGACUUGCCCAUCUAACAUUUGCUUAGAUUUGAGUCUUAGGAGUGAUACAGACGAGCAGCGUCAUGAUAAUAUAUGGCGCCCGUCCUUCUUAUCUUCUAAUGGUCCUCUUACGGUUGGGGACUCUGUGAUGAAGAAUAACAUAACUGCUACUGUGGUAGCUAGGAAUCUUCUCACUCCAAGGGAUAACAAGAUCCUUUCAGAACGGUCUGAAGAGUCGGCCGUUCAAGACUCAUUGGCUCUCAGUGUUCAGUGUGCUGGCUCUGUUUCCAAUAUGGGUCAACGCCUACUUGCUCAAACUCGCCAAGUUGAAUUAUUGAUGGCGGAGGUGGCAAGUCUUAAACAAGAGAUCAGAGGGCUCAAACACGAGAAUAGGGUGUUACACGUGCUUGCAAAUAGUUACUCUACGAGCAUGAAAAGAAAGCUCGACCAACUGCAGGAAUCUGAAAGUCGAAUUCAAAGUGAUCACCAGAGGUUUGUUGCUAGAUUCCGAAAGCAACUGAUGCCUUCCCCUUCUGGUGUUUUGCUAAGUAUUGGGGUGUCACAUGAUCAAUCUCCAGUGCCUCCUCCUUCUGGGGUACUUCCGAGUACUGAGGCUGCACAUGAGUAACCUUUGUGAAGGCUCCAUCCUGUUUGUUUAUUUUAACUCAUGUGUAUGUAUAUAUCUGUAAUUUCUUGGAGAUAUUAAUAAAUAAGUUUUAUUUCAUUCAAUGUAUUGUGCCAAAUACAAUAAAGCAUAUACUUCACUAAGAUGUGGUACUUCUGGACCAAGUAUUAAUUUAUCUUUACCCUCACGAAGAUAAAUGAUUAUUCUUAGUGUCUUCAUCAUAUGAGUAUUCAACUCAUAAUCUUCAAUCCAUAUGGUUCUUUUAAUAUCAUAAAUAUCAUGGAUAAGAUUCGUGUUGGUAGAUUGUUCGAUCUGCAGCUCGAAACAAUAAUUCCUUCAACACUUUAUAAUUUUUCUAGACUCUUCAGGAGUCCCAAUUUAAUAUCAUCAACUCUUCAAGAGUUAUAAUGUAUUGUCAUUGACUCUUGCAAGAGAUUUUAGUAUGUUGCAACAAUAUCAUAAUGAUAGUACUCACUAAGGCAAUUUAUAUCAUCCAUUGAUAUUGAGUAUAUAAUUUAUGCUUUACCCUUCGGGGGCUUACUUCAAGCAAUUUGAAUCCUUCAGGGAUUUUCUACACUUCAUGACACAUUUUCCUUUGGAAUUUAUACAGAGCAAUUUGCUCCCAUGUAUAUUUGAGGGAUUUACUUAUGGAGAUAUGAUGUGGGUGACUCACAACCCUUCAUAUAUAAUUCUCCAUUUAUAUGAACUCGUUUACAACCUUGUGUCAUAUCAUGUAAGUGUAUUACACUGUAUUACAAAUGCUCAUAUAUAACCUCAUUGGUUCAACAUCUUUUGGCUAUUUGUAUUACAUUCAAAUAUAUAGGUCCAUUUUUCCACGUUCUUACAAAAUUGUAAUGGAAUUGCCUUUCUCCAUUUUGGCCAAUAAUUUUUCUUUUGUCGACGAACAAAAGAACGUGACUCAAUAUUAACACAUCUCAUUGAUGAAUUUAGUAGCUACUUGUAAAAACCAAAAUUACCAUUGGUUAUCAUCAAUCCGUGAUCCCAUAUUCUCAUGUGCAUGCGCAUGCAUAAAAGCUUUUCAUUUCUUUGGAUAUCCAUUACCUCUUCAAGGGCAUGACGCUAUCUCUUCCAGGAUAGUCAUAAUUGAGAGAAUGUGGAUCAUAACCUCCUCUUGAGCGUUAUAGAGCUUGGAUUUUAAUCUCCACUUCCGGGAGUUGAGUCAUUGGAACCUAUAUGUCUAUUAUGCUUCAUGUAUGAGACAUCAACAUUCUCAUGUCUGUGGAUUGUCCUAUCUGGGACGUGUAUCCAUGCGGCGACUGUCAUGCUUCUGGCAUGCAACAGUUAUGCUUCGGGAAUGCAAUAGUUCAGUAGUGCCAUAUUAUUCUUCUUUCGAAUAACUGAACCUUUUGAGUUUAAAAAUCUGCCACGCUUCAGGCGUGCAACAGAUAAAUCAUUUAUUGUCUCAUUAUUUUAUCCAACAGAGACAUCAAUUCUUGUAGGCACAUUUGCAGUAAGUAUAUAUGAUUUCAUCACUUUCGUUGCAUCAUUCAAUUAUUCAUAUUUCAUUUUCUUAUUGAUUGCUUCGUGAAUCAAAAUAAGACAAAUUCUCUUCGUUCUUCUGAAACGGUCUUUUCUCAUCAUUCUUUUGGAAUGAUAUUUUCUCAUCGUUCUUCUGGAACGAUAUUAUUUUCUCCCCCUAAUGGCAGGAAAAUUGUCUUAUCAAAAUGACAGUCCGCAAACCAUGCGGUAAACAUAUCCCCAAUCAAGAAUUCCAAAUAUUGAAUGAUAGAUGGUGUUCAACAUCAAUGCCUAAUCUGCAAUGAUGCCCCAUUUCAGUACGUUGUGGCAGUCUUACAGGCACAUAGACAACACAACCAAAAACUCGUAAAUGUAUAAUGUUUGACUAGUUCCCAAACACGAGUUGUACUGAGCAAUAUUGAUGGUUGGAAAUUGGUCUCAUCCGAACUUAAUAAUGCGUCAUGUAAAAUGACAUGUCCCCAUGUAGAAAACUGGUAAUUUCGUUUUCAUGAGCAGAGCGCGGGUAAUCAAUUUCAUCCGCUUAAUAAAUGCUUCUGCUAAACCAUUUUAAGUAUGGACAUAAGGAACUUCUGGUCCUUAUUAAAUAGUUUAUGAACUGAAACUUUUAUGACAUUUAUUAUAAUUAAGUUGAGGCACUGUGGCACUUCAAACUUAAGGCACUCAUCAAGGAAUUUCAUGUCCUGAUCGUCAGGAUCAAAGGACUUCAUGCCUGAUCUUUUUGUAUGAUGGAACUUCGGGUCCAAUCAUUUUAUAUGAUGAUGAUCAAGAAACUGCAGGUUCUGAUCUAAUCAAGGAACUCUGGGUCCUUGUUAUACUCAUUGUAAUAAAAGAUAAGUACAAUAAAUAAAUUAAAGCAAUAGACGGUAAUUCCAACCAUAAUGAAUAAACAGCAUUUAAGUAAAUAAAGCUUAUGACAAGGGCUUUAAUUCAGCACCAUCAAAACUUAAAGCAAUAGGCGGUAAAACCGUCCAUGGUAAAUAAAUUGCUUUAAAGUAAAUAAAGCUUGUGACAAGGGCUUUGAUUCAGCACCAUUCAUAUAAAUAUCAAAGCUUUAAAGCAAAGGGUAAUAAUUCUACCCACUAUAAAUAAAUUGCUUUAAAUAAAUAGAACUUGUGACAUGGGCUUUAAACCAACACCAUGCACAUAAAUAUGCCAAAACAGAAAAUGCAAUGAUUAAGUCCUCAUGUUUUGCUUUUCAUUUUCUUGGUCUGCCACUUCUUUUGUUUCAUCCCUUUUAUUUUUAUUAUUAUUUCACAGUUCGAAGUCAUUUUUGGUUACUCAGUAAAUAAUAGUAACAAUAAGUUCCAAUUGGGGUUCCUCCUCCGGUGAGUUUCGAAAAAGUCGAAACGGUUCCCAUAAGUUUUGGAGUCAAGAGUGUCUGCAACUUAUGAGAAGAUCAAACCGUUAGAUUUAGUUCAAAAUUUAGUAUGAUAUGGAUAAGAGGAUACCAAACAACUUUCGUGAAGAAACAAUUUCGAUUUGAGCUACCGAAAUGGAGUUUUGGUACUCAUAAGGUGGCUGCCCAGUUUUCUGCGGAAAUUGGAAACUGGUUUGGUAUUUCAGACAUCUGCCACGAUCGCACCGUUAACAUUUUCUGAAAUUUUGAUAUGUUGUAGAUACUGAGCAGACGAACAACUUUCAAGAAGAAAGUAUUUCAAUCCGAGGUCCGCAAGUUGGAGUUCCGAGGCUAUUUACAUGGCUGUCAAAUUCUCUUACAAAUUUUUAGUCUUUUACUCUUUUGCUUCUGCAAAGGAUGAUAUACAGUCAUAUAACAAUAUAUAUAGUUGCUUCAAGAAAAUCAAUUGUACUGAGAUUUGAAGAUGAAAUGAAAAUUGUUUCUUAUCUGUGAGAUUCCAGCUGAAGGAGGUGAACAGGAUUUGUGGCGUUGUGCUUUCCACUGACAUGAGAGCUUCUCGUGCUGAUAACGUGUUGUAAAAUCGACGGUGGGUGCAGUGGAAUAAAUGAAACAAGACACAAAAUUUACGAGGUUCCUCUACAGUCAGUGUGACUGGAGUACGUCCUCGGGACAGCUGUGAUGCUUUCAUUAUAAUCUGAAAUAAUAGGAGUACAAAGAUAACUCUCUCUAUUAUCUCCUCUCAUCUUCCUCUAUUCUCUCUUCCUCUUCCUUUCUUCCUUUUCCUUCUUCUCUCCCGUGAACCUCACUCACUUCAUUCAUCUUCUUCCUUUAUAUAAACAAAAGAAAGCACUAUUCACUUUACAAAUUUUCCACAAAUGAAUAGUGAAAAUACUGUGCAUAAAUAGUAACAAACUAUUCAUGUGGACCAUCCACAUAAUAUUUACAACAGAAACUGCAAAACCCAGCUUUGAAAAACUGACUUUUUUCAUAUCUAUUUUACAUAAAAGUUUACCAAUCACUAUAAUACUGUUUUUUUUUUUCAAAAGCACUUUUACAAAAAAAUUUAUCAAACACUCUGCUGUUUUAUUUCACAGCCUAGCAGAAUCAAUUUUUUUUUUCAAAUAACAGCUUUACCAAACCAGAAUCGUGUUUUUAAUACACUAAAAAAUUUCUCCUACACGCAUGUAAGCGAUGGAUAACUGUUAUUACUGUUAAACAAGUACCUACCAAAAAUACGGGCCGUCUAUUUGUCUAGUGCGUCAAUGGGAAGAAGGAAGAAAAUGCUGAGACAAAAUUCUCAUAUAUUAAAAGGUAAGGGAUGACAUUCUGUGCAACUUGAUACAAAUAUUUCCCAUCCAAUUGGGAGACACAUAUAGCAAUGCUAGUCUCCAGUUUCCCCUUCUAUCUUAGGAUAAAUUCUACGACAAGUUACACAACAUCUUAAAUUGUCAUUGGAUUCUACAUCCCCCUGAAUCUUGUCCACGACGGACAUUGCCAUAGGCUGACAGUUCGAGAAGAUCCAUGUCACGACCUGCAUUUCAAAGCAAUACACUGUCACUUGCUACUAAAUUAGUUUGAAUUCAUCGCUGGAAGAACUUCCACAAGAUUUUGGGGUUUCUUGGGCUUACCUGAAACCCGACAAUAAGAACUCUUCUGGAUGAGCUCGGCUCUAGAAAACUCAGUCCGAUUUCCUUUUGAUCGAUUGACUGUUGCCUACAGUAUGCAAGAGAAGAUGAUUUUAUUAAGAGUAAGAUGUAACAUAUAAAAUUCAUGGCAAACGUCGGUUUCAAUCAUGAUCUGAAAUUUGAAUGCGACUGUAGAGUGCCAGACUUCAUAUGAAAGGAAAAUGAGACUUUGUGGAGAUCGGUCUAAGUUGUUAAGAAUCCUAAGAUAACUCUAGUAGUGUAGGUAUUUUGGCAGCCUUUUGAAGGUCAGCAAUAUAGAGUAGGAAUCUACUGUGUGCUAACAUCUACUGGUGAAGGGUUUCUAUGGAAUGGAGAUACCACCCAAAACCAAGAUACAAAAAUCGUGUAAUAGUCCAAGGUUCCAAAGAGGAAGGAAGUCCAUACCUGUAAGACCUGGCAAUUUUCGAGCGUACUUUGUCCUCCCUGAAAUGUGAAAAUAAAAAAGAUUAAUCCUCUCUCCGAAAGUAAUUUCAGGGAUCAGGAGCCUGGGGAAAACAAAAUAAAGAAUUACAUGUUCAGCUAUCAAGAUUAUCAUAUUAAAUUGGGAUGACACAGCAGCCCAUUUCUGAGCUCCUUGUUUCCUCUAACCAAGAGCAGCACAAAAGUCCACAGAACGAAACAUCUUUGGUGUUGGUUUCCAGACUUUGUCACAAAUUUGCGGCACCAAAACCAGUACAUUUAUGAGUUCACCAUAACUUUUCAAUCUGCACGAAACAGAUUGCAGAACAACCUUCUUCUUGAAAUGUGCUAAGUCGCUCCUUUUUCAAAACUAAUGUCUCAGCCAAUGCAUAUUCAUCACUGGAUUAUCUUCUAGUGCACUGUCAAUCGACUCAAUCCUAAUCAUUUGGAGCCAAGUUGGUAAAAAAUGCACCAGUGAAUCAAGCCUGCAUUACAGUCAGGUGAAAUGAUCUAGAAAAUGGGAUUGAAUCUCAAUAUUCCUCAAAGGCCUAAACAAAUCCUUCACCUAUAUUUGUAUCACCAUGAUUAACCAUAUUCUAUCACAGGCUAGUUUGAAUUCACAUAAUUCCACAACACUGGUCAUGCCACCCUGCCGCUCUCCACAUCUAUGGUCGCCAUCUAAAAUGAAAUUUGGGACCUCGUAGUCAUUCUGCUCAAUCAACUGCCAUAACAACUAACAAGACUCCAAUUUACCUUACAUGCAUUUUCCAUCAAAGGUGAGAAAAGCUUUCUACCUAAGCUUGUACUAGUACCUAUCACCUCCAGUAUCGUGCGUGCGUAUAUUCAAGUAGCAGUUUCAUAUAACCAUGUUCGCUUAUAUAAUAAGCAACGGCUGACUACAUAGCUACAAAAUAGCUCAACUUUGACAGCAGCAUUACUAAAUGUAUGAAAUUCAAUAGCACAAGCAUUUCCAAAUUGCAUCUUCUUUCCAUACAGAAUGCUAAAAAUUCCACCCACAGAAAUUAUAAGAUUCUAUGGGAAAAGCCACCAAACAAAAAGCAAAGAAAUUUGAAUUUGUAAAUAUCAAAUGCACCCCAAAAACAGAAACUCAAUUUCCAAAUCCAAAAGGAACCCACCUCACAAAACUCCAAUCACAAACCAAACCACUCAAAAAUCCAUAAAAAUGUGAAAUUUAGAGAGAAAGAGAGGAAUUUCACCUUGGAGUAAGGCACAAUGUGAUCAUAAUCAUGACAUAAGCAACCGGGGCAACCCACGAGCUUCCGAAAAAUGGUGUUUCCGAGAGGGUCACGGCGCCACCGGUCCGGGUCUCGACCUUUGAUCUUCUCCGCCUUGUCCCAGCACUGCUGCUUCACGCUGUACGGAAAGCUUCGUGGGUUGUUAUUAAAAGAAGAAGAAGUCGCGAGCUCUUCUUCGAAGCGAGUAGUGGCAGUGACGUCGGUGACGACGAGGUCCCGAUUGAGAAGAGCGGAGGCGCGAGGCUUCGGUGGGGAGCUGCUACGUCGUUCGAAACGGGCGGAGGGCGCGGCGGUUCGGUCCCUGAGUGGAGACGAAGGGCGGCUCCGCCUCUUUGACUCUUUGCUCGGCCUCAUCUUUUCUCAGAUCUUUUCUCAGAUUAUCACAAAACUGGAAAAUUUGGAAAAUUAAGCCAUCCGUAAAUGUAAAAGACGAUAAUACCCCUUAAUGUAUUUGUGAAUUGGUAGGAUAGAAACGACGCUAUCUAUUAGAGGAUUAAUUACAGCUGCAUUCCUUAAAACUCGAUUUCUUCUUACUUUAUUCUAUGAAACUCAAAAUGUCUUUCAUUUUGUCAUGAUAUGUGAAGAAGUUGAGAACGUUAUUAUCAUGGAAAAUGUGAGUGAAGAUGAUGAGGAUUUGUUCAUUUUUAUUUGUAUUGUGUGUUUGUUUGCCACCCGCUCACAAUGGGUGAGGCGCCCUACUAACCCUAGUAUGAUAGGACAUGUUUAACGUGACUUCACAAAAGCAGUGAAUAAAUUUCAAAUAUUAUGCCUCACUUGAUCAUAGCUCAAUCACUCAUCAAUCGUUUUAAUGUCCUGCUUAGUUACUGUGAACACGGAAAAUUCCUGAAACGAAAGAGACAAGAACAACGUGCACAAACAAAAUAUUAGUAUUUGAUGAUUUUGGGUUACAAUCUCUCUCUAAUUUGAUCCUCUGAUUCGAUCUCCGUAAGGUGUUGAUUUGUGGAUGUUUCGUUGAUCCAAGGGCCGUCGGGGCUUGAUCUUGGAUGAACUGUUGGAAGUUUCUUCAAAGGGCCGUGGGCUUGAUCUUUGAAGGUGGAUUUGAGCGGAUCUUCAAGGGCUUUUGGGCUUGAUCUUGAAGAAACAGUGAUGAACAGAUCUUCAAGGGCUUUUGGGCUUAAUCUUGGAUGAACUGUUGGAAGUUUCUUCAAAGGGCCGUGGGCUUGAUCUUUGAAGGUGGAUUUGAGCGGAUCUUCAAGGGCUUUUGGGCUUGAUCUUGAAGAAACAGUGAUGAACAGAUCUUCAAGGGCUUUUGGGCUUAAUCUUGGAUGAACUGUUGGAAGUUUCUUCAAAGGGCCGUGGGCUUGAUCUUUGAAGGUGGAUUUGAGCGGAUCUUCAAGGGCUUUUGGGCUUGAUCUUGAAGAAACAGUGAUGAACAGAUCUUCAAGGGCUUUUGGGCUUAAUCUUGAAGAACGGUUGGAUGUGUGGAUUUGUCGACGUUUGUUGAUCCAAAGGGCCGUUGGGGCUUGAUCUUGAAGGUGGAUGAUUGUUGAUCCAAGGGCCGUCGAGGCUUGAUCUUGGAAGAACGAUGAACGAAGAACGAAGAACACUUUCUUGAUUCUUCGGGAACCUGGAUGCUUGAGAGCUUCGGAGUUUCAGAGCUUCAGAGCUUCAAGGUGUAAUAUGAAUUGGUUCCUCAAAUGAAUGAAAUGGGCUUGUAUUUAUAGAAUUUUCCAAGGCCUAAUUUUGAAUAUAAUAUCCCAGAUGAAAUAAGUCGUUUCUGCCAGGUGUUGACACGUGUCCUAUUUGAUGACUUUUCCAACUCAUUUCAAUUUUCGUUGAGUUACACGCUACGUGUAAAAUUUAUGUAAUACAUGAGCGUUGACACUUUGAUUUAUCGGUCAAUACCGAAAUUUCGAUGUCUACAGUUACAAGUCUACGCUACCAGACUCAAUAGAAUUUGGUCAUUUUUACUUGGGAAGGAAGUUAGUGAUGAACAGAUUCAACGUCCAUUGUUUUUUUAGUUUUGUCCUACAAAAUCCCUUUACUAAUAUGGGUAAUGAGUUCGAUGACAUUGUAAAGGGCUCUUGCCCCAUUUUUUACCAUCGAAUUCUAAGAAGGUCUGACGAUUUUUCGUCGGCGAAGAUGGCGGGUCAUAUAAAAUUCAAGACUGAAAUUUCGACCUUGGAUAUAUUUUGGCUUCUUAACAUUGUGCUCACAAGUCUUCUCUCGGCAAAAGAAGACUUGAGAGAUUAAUUUAACUUCUUUUUCACACUUGAAAUUUCUCUGCAAUUUGGCCUUUCCUGCAUGGGAAUAUGAUGCAUGCAAAGACCUGGAAAUUUCCAUGACGUAACGACUGAUGCCUAAUAAAUUAACAAAGAAGAGACAACUAGUAGCAACUCAACAAACUUUCUCUGCAAUUUUGUAUGAAAUUUCCUUCACUUUCUCAAAAUUCCUUGGAAACUUAUAAGCAACUCUUUAGGUCUGUACAAACCUACCUCCGUUCUGCUUCCCACACUCAACCCUCAAGUCUCUCAACACUCCCAAGUCGUAAUUAAUUAAUUUACGAGCGGUUUAAUUAAGCAAUCUCUCUACUCUUUUAUUUCGACUCGCUAGUUUUCUUCCCACCCACGACAUGGAGAAGGCGAUGAACGAAGGCAUCGGAUGCAGCCCCGUUUCACUUGUUGCACUUCUCUCAGUCCUAAUCAUUCUUAACUGGCUCAUUGUACUGCACUUCCAAUCGAAUUUACGCUACUUGUUUUUAUGUUUCCUUUGCGAAGUUAUGCAGGUUAAGACCAUUUUCCAAAGAAGUUGCACUGAUGAGAAAGUAUGUGAGCACAAACCAUCCAAAGGAGUUGAAACCAACUCUACAACAAGUUCUGAUCAAGUCCCCUCGAUUCAUGCCGCAGAGAUUAGUUACACUCGCGAAAAUGUUGUAGAUGGAAAAAAGAAUCUGUGUUUAGGAGAACUAGGACUAGUGAUGGAGAAACUAGAAACAUUAAGUGAGGGGGAGGGAGGCUCGAAGGAGAUUGCUAACUUGUUUGAGGAGGUCCCAAGCUUGGAGGAAGUAAAAGAAGCUUUUCAUGUGUUUGAUGAGAAUGAGGAUGGAUUCAUUGAUGCCGGGGAGGUAAAGAAGGUUCUCUCUGUAUUGGGUUUCGUUGAAGCUUCGGAAGUGGAAUGCGAAAGGAUGAUCAAGUCGUUUGAUGAUAACGGAGAUGGACGCAUAGAUUUCAAUGAGUUUGUUAAGCUCAUGGAGAACAGCUUCCGCUGAGUUACCAACAUAAAAUGUUCACAGAUUUUGGUUAAAUGAGUUGCUAAAGCCGCUCGCAUCCUUCUCUUUCUUUCUUUCUUUCUUUCUUUCUUUCUUUCUUUCUUUCUUUCUUUCUUUGUGUUAGUUUUAGGUGCCUUGUCAAAGCUUUGAGUAUGCCUUUAGGCUCUUAUAAACGAUUUAAUUGCUUUCAUGCGUGUCAUUGUUGGCCUAGUUUUAGGUGCCUUGUCAAAGUUUCGAGUAUGCCUUUAGGCUCUUAUAAACAAUUUAAUUGCUUUCAUGCGUGUCAUUGUUGGCCAAGAUCAACAUAUUGAUUGUUUCGUAAGUAUUCGUCGAGCUUGUUUGCUUGCACGGCAACAAGUAAACUGGACUUCCUAUCAAGGAUUGUUUCAUGGAGGGGUUAAAUCCAUGUCAAGUUCUUUUUCAUGCCUUGGUGAUAAGGAAUUUUAUAACUCCGCCGUGUAAGUUUAUCUUACAUUGCCGGUCCCAAGCCCGGAUAAAGGAGGAGGGGGAGGGCGUCAGGUAGUCGACAGCCGGCACUCCAUGAUCACGUCGAAUCCUUAUGAAAAUGAAUCCAGAACGAAAUCGCGCUAAAGCUAGGGCGUCACCCGUAAGUGGCGCGCUGUGUGGCCCGAGCACAGUGAUAAGUGAGCAAGGGUCGCUGUAUCUCCAUCGGCACCCGGAUGCAGUGUUAAAUGAGCAAGGGGGCUAUAGAAACUUCUUUUCGAACGACUCCACUCAAAGUUGUUUGGGAGCAUAUGCUCCUAUCAACUUUACACGGGACACACAAAAGAAGUACUUUGAUCCUAUUAGACGGGGAAGGGUGAAGAAGCUAGGACAGAAGGGUAGAGUUCAAGAGAGCAAAAUGCGUUUAGGAACGUGGAAUAUAGGAACCUUGACGGGAAAAUCUAUGGAAGUAGUAGAAGUUAUGGUGAGGAGAAGGAUAAAUAUUAUGUGCCUACAAGAAACUAAGUGGGUUGGUUGUAAGGCAAAGGAUCUAGAAAACUCAGGGUUUAAACUAUGGUAUUCGGGCACAAAUAGAACGAGAAACGGUGUUGGCAUCAUCGUGGACAAGACCUUGACACAAGAUGUUGUAGAUGUCAAGAGGGUAGGAGAUAGAAUCAUGGCAAUCAAGAUUGUAAUAGGACAAGAACUUAUCAAUGUGAUUAGUGCGUACGCACCUCAAGUAGGGUUGGAUACGAGUUCGAAGGAGAAAUUUUGGGAAGACCUUGGAGACUUGGUGCAAGGAAUUGCUCAGACGGAGAAGUUAUUUAUUGGAGGAGAUUUAAAUGGACACGUGGGCAGGGAGACAGGCAACUAUGGAGGUUUUCAUGGUGGCCAUGGUUUUGGGGAGAGAAACGAGGAUGGGGAAGCUAUCUUGGAUUUUGCAAUGGCAUAUGAUCUCUUCUUAGCCAACACCUUCUUUAAGAAGAGAGAGAAGAACAUGUGAUCACCUACAAGAGUGGGUCGUCAAAAAACACAAAAUAGAUUUUCUUCUAAUGAGGAAAAGGGAUCGUAUAACUUGUAAGGAUUGCAAAGUUAUACCAGGAGAGAGAGCGUGGCUAAUCAACAUCGCUUGUUGGUGAUGGAUGUACAUAUCAAAAGAGUGAGAAAAAAGAACAAGACUUAGAAGUGUCCAAGGACUAGAUGGUGGAAUCUAAAAGAAGAAAAACAAGUCAUUUUCAAAGAGAAAGUAAUCACCCAGUGUGUGUGGGAUAGAGAGAGAGAAGCUAACCAAAUGUGGGAUUCCAUGGCUAGUUGUAUCCGAAAAGUAGCAAAAGAGGUAUUAGGAGAGUCCAAGGGCUUUGCCCCACACCAAAAGGAAUCUUGGUGGUGGAAUGAGGAGGUACAAGCAAAGGUGAAGGCUAAGAAGGAAUGUUGUAAAGCCUUAUACAAGGAUAAGACCGAUGAAAAUGGUGAAAGGUAUAGAAAAGUGAAGCAAGAGGCGAAGAAAGCUGUGAGAGAAGCUAAGUUAGCGGCUUAUGACGAUAUGUAUAAGCGACUAGAUACCAAAGAAGGAAAGUUGUAUAUCUAUAAACUAGCUAGAGCAAGGGAAAAGAAGACAAGGGACCUAAACCAAGUGAGGUGCAUCAAGGAUGAGGAUGGAAAGGUUCUUGCUACAGAGAAUGCGGUUAAAGACAGAUGGAAAGGUUAUUUUCAUAAUCUUUUCAAUGAAGGACAAGAAAUGAGUGCUUCUUUAGGGGAGUUGAGUAACUCAGAAGAGUGUAGAAAUUACUCUUUUUAUCGUAGAAUCCGGAAGGAAGAAGUGGUUGUAACUUUGAAGAAGAUGAAGCAUAGAAAAGCAGUAGGCCCAGACGAUAUACCAAUCGAAGUGUGGAAAGUUUUGGGAGAGACAGGUAUAACAUGGCUCACUGACCUUUUCAAUAGGAUUUUGAAAACGAAGAAGAUGCCGAAUGAGUGGCGAAUGAGCACUUUGGUGCCUAUCUACAAGAAUAAGGGCGAUGUACAAAAUUGCAUGAACUAUAGGGGUAUUAAGCUAAUGAGUCAUACAAUGAAGCUCUGGGAGAAAGUCAUUGAGCAUAGAUUGAGGCAAGAGACACGGGUUUCGGACAACCAAUUCGGGUUCAUGCCAGGGCGCUCAACCAUGGAGGCAAUCUAUCUCUUACGAAGAUUGAUGGAAAGAUAUAGAGAUGGGAAAAAGGAUUUACACAUGGUCUUUAUAGAUUUGGAAAAAGCGUAUGAUAGGGUCCCAAGAGACAUUCUUUGGAGGAUUUUAGAGAAGAAUGGAGUACGAGUAGCAUAUAUCCAAGCUAUACAGGAUAUGUAUGAAGGAGCAAAGACUGCCGUAAGAACUCAUGAAGGACAAACCGAAAGCUUUCCCAUAACUGUAGGAUUACAUCAAGGCUCAUCCUUAAGUCCUUACCUUUUUGCGUUGGUAAUGGAUGAGUUAACAGGACAUAUUCAAGGUGAUAUUCCUUGGUGUAUGCUUUUCGCAGACGAUAUAGUGUUGAUAGAUGAAACUCAGGAAGGGGUAAAUGCAAAGCUUAACCUUUGGAGAGAAGUGUUGGAAUCUAAAGGUCUUCGCCUAAGCCGAUCAAAGACAGAAUAUAUGGAGUGCAAGUUCAAUGCAAAUGGAGGCCAAAACGAGUUAGGGGUAAGGAUUGGAGAUCAAGAAAUACCAAAGAGCGACCGUUUUCGUUACCUAGGAUCUAUCUUGCAAAAGAACGGAGAAUUAGAUGGAGAUCUCAACCAUAGAAUACAAGCUGGAUGGAUGAAGUGGAAGAGUGUAUCCGGCGUGUUGUGUGACCGCCGUAUGCCACUGAAGCUCAAGGGAAAAUUUUAUAGGACGGCAAUAAGGCCGGCGAUGCUGUAUGGCACAGAAUGUUGGGCGGUGAAGCAUCAACACGUACACAAAAUGGGUGUAGCGGAGAUGAGGAUGCUUCGCUGGAUGUGUGGGCACACGAGAAAAGAUAAGAUUAGGAAUGAGGAUAUCCGGGGUAAAGUAGGAGUAGCCGAAAUUGAAGGAAAGAUGAGAGAAAAUCGGUUACGGUGGUUUGGACAUGUGCAAAGAAGGCCUACUGACGCUCCGAUUAGAAGAUGCGACUAUAGGACAGAGGUUCAGGGCCGAAGGGGUAGAGGAAGACCUAGGAAAACUUUGGAAGAGACCCUAAGAAAAGACUUAGAGUACUUGGAUCUAACGGAUGACAUGACACAGGACAGAACACAAUGGCGUUCUAAGAUUCAUAUAGCCGAUCCCACUCAGUGACUUGGAUUUUCCAAGUCUCCAACCGAGAAGUUUUCCUCACUCGGGAAAUUAAGGGAACACUACCUCAACCUAUAUGCUCCACUCACAAAGCUUCAACAUACAAGCUUCAACAAAAGAAAAUUAAAAAAACUUAGCGAAGAAGGCUUUGGUGUAUUUAACACAAUACGUUGAAAUGAAGAAAAGCUUAUUUAUUGAUAUCCUCGAUAAGUUACAAAUAUGUACAUAUACUUGAGUCAAAAUAAACAAACAAGAGGGAGCCUUCACAAAGGUUGCUUAGGAGAAGUCUCAGCAGUCGAUAGAGCCCCAGAAAGAGAAGGCACCGGAGGGGGAUCAUUCGGAGCCUCAGUACUGGACAAAACCCUAGAAGGAGGAGGCAUCAGAGGUUGAUCAUUUGGAGCUUCAUUACGCGGUACAGCCCCAGAAGACGAAGGCAAUAAAUGCCUUUGGAACAAACCCACAAAUCUCUGAUGAUCAAGUAAAACCUGACCAUCAGAUUCCUUCAUCUGGUCAAGCUUCCUCUUCAUGUUUGUAGCAUAGUCAUGUGCGAGCCGGUGCAACUGUUUAUUCUCAUGCUUGAGCCCUCUAAUCUCCUGUUUGAGACUCAUCACUUCAGCCGCCAAUGAUUCAACUUGGCGGGUUCGAGCAAAAUAGGCGUUGGGCCAUAUUAGACACAGAACAUGCACACUGAACACUGAGAGCCAGAGAAUCCUUAACAGCCAACUCAUCAGACCGUUUGGAAAGUAGUCUGUUAUCUUUGGGAGUGAGAAGGUUCCUGGCCACUACCGCAGCGGUCAUAUCAUUCUUCAUCAUGGAAUCCCCAACGGUAAGAGGACCAGUAGGGGAGACGAAGGAUGGGCGCCAUAUGUUGUCUGGAGAAGGCGGGGCUGCCUCUUCAACAAGGUUCAAGUCAAAACAACGGUCGGAGGGGCCAGACAUUUUCAAAUGUGUUGAAGAGAGAAGAGGUCGGACAAAUCAAGAUCUUAGAAGUGCAAGAAUUUAGCUUCUACUAGUGGAUCUUCAAGUGUGCUUUGGAACUUAAUGUCAGCCCCUAUAAAAAUCUGCACUCGACGAAGCUUCAAAAAUCGAAGAGGCGCCUGCUCAGAAAUCGAAGAUGCGUUUGCUUUCUCAAAAGCUGGGCUGCUCAGAGACCACGAGGGUCGAUCUCAGAAAUCGAAGAGGCGUUUGCUUUCUCAAAAGCUGGGCUGCUCAAAGACCACGAAUGCCGAUCUCAGAAAUCGAAGAGGCUUGCUUUCUCAAAAGAUGGGCUGCUCAGAGACCACGAGGGCCGAUCUCAGAAAUCGAAGAGGCACCUACUUUUCCAGCCUUGUCAGCACCUGUCACACGCACACUCAACUUUGUGGAAAUUAUGGGCAUUCUGUCGAAGAUUUCUGGCGAAGUAGAAAGCACAUGAAUCGUACUGUUCAAUCACCCACUUCCCACACGCAACAGUAGCUCAUGGGUACCACAGAUAACUUUGCCAAAGUUCUCUGACAAAGUUGAGACACGUGAAGUUUGCAGCUCCCACUACAUCGCUCUGACCAAGAAGGGUAAAAGAAUUGCAAAGAAACAACACUAACAAAGUUUAGACACAUAAAUUUUGAAGGUCUAGCUUCCAUAUUAUUACCCACAAGGGUAAAGGAAUAGUACCACUGCUGGAUAAUUGGAAUGUCCCGGUGUGUCAACCUCUGUGCUUCGUGGCAAGGUAGACUAGCAAACAUGCCCAACCUUUACUCACAUUCGAGAAAAACACUCCCAACAAGAUUGCUUGCUCCAAAAUCGAAGAGGCACCGCCCUCCGAAUCUCGAGAGCCAGACUCCUAACAUGAUUACUUUCUCAAAAAUCGAAGAGAGGGUAAAGGAACAGUACCACUGCUGGAUAAUUGGAAAGUCCCUGUGAGUCAACCUUUGUGCUUCGUGGCAAGGUAGACUAGCAAACAUGCCCAACCUUUACUCACAUUCGAGAAAACACUCCCAACAAGAUUGCUUGCUCCAAAAUCGAAGAGGCACCGCCCUUCGAAUCUCGAGAGCCAGACUCCCAACAUGAUUACUUUCUCAAAAAUCGAAGAGAUGGUAAAGGAACAGUACCACUGCUGGAUAAUUGGAAAGUCCCUGUGUGUCAACCUCUAUGCUUCGUGGCAAGGUAGACUAGCAAACAUGUCCAACCUUUACUCACAUUCGAGAGACACUCCCAACAAGAUUGCUUGCUCCAAAAUCGAAGAGGCACCGCCCUCCGAAUCUCGAGAGCCAGACUCCCAACAUGAUUACUUUCUCAAAAAUUGAAGAGACACCGCUCUCCGAAUCUCGAGAGCCAGACCCCCAGCAGGAUUGCUUUCUCAAAAAUCGAAGAGGCAUCGUUCUCCGAAUCUCGAGAGCCAGAUCCCCGACAGGAUAGCUUGUUCGAAAACCGAAGAGACACCAAUUUCCCAACUUCAAGAGCUGGAUCUCCUUGGAUAAAGCUUGUCUGUAAUCUUCACACGCAACAUCAGCUUUCCAGAUACCACGCACAGACCACUUUUUCAAAGUGCUCUGACAGAGUUAAAACAUGUGAAGCUGGCAGCUCCCACUACCGUGCUAUGACCAAGCAGGGUAAAGGAAUAACAUUAUUACUUGAUGUUAGGGAGACUCCUAUAUAUGUCGACCUCCAUCCCUAAUGGACAGGCAGACCAACAAAAAUGCUCAACCCUUUCUCUUAUCUGAGAGGGCACUCCCAACGAAGCCUUUCGAAAUAUUCAGCUUUCUUUCCCCCCGAUAAUACCUCUGUAAACAAGCUAUACUAGAGCAAGAAUAUCUCAUAUCAUCAGGGUUAAAAGCAAGAGUAUCCCAUAUCAUGCUUUUUCCCUGUCUUUUCCUUUGGCCUUGUUCUUACCUGCAAGACAAGGAGAAAGAGAGCAAUCAGUCAGCACUUGGAAUCAAGCUUCCAGCCAGGAACUGACUGCCUGGAACCCCUUACCUGAUUACUUACCUGGCAUUGCUCUCGAGUACUCAUCUUCAACAUCUUAUGCUUCCAGGGAAGAUACCGCAUCUGCCUGAGGAACAGAUAGGGCAAGUGAGAAUGAUACAAUGAAGCAUGUGGAGACAAGCGUAACAGCACACGUGCCGAUACAUCCACUACUUUGUCAAAAGCAAAAGUAUCCCAUAUCAGCAGGGUCGAACGUACUCUAGAUUUGAUGGACUUGUUUUGACCCUCAAAUUCUUCAGUCGACCUUAUACUCUGGAGGAAACCAGAAAACCCUCCAGCCCAGUUCAAGAAUAAGCCUGUGGAAAGUUACUUCUUCAAAAGCAAAAGUAUCCCAUAUCAUCUCUUCUCAUUUUUCUUCUCUUUAUCCUUCAUGCUGCCUGCAAGAUAGGGAGAAUGUGAACAAUCAGCCGGAGCUCUGAUUGCUUACCUUGUCUGUCACCUCUUUCAGCAGAUCCCCUAGCUCGGCGACUUGGGGGACUCCUACUACAUGGUUUGUAUCGCGCUUGACCAAGCAUGAAACUACAAGUAAGCUUCAAGUGAAAUUGAUACAUUACCUUGUGCAUCUCCACCAGUUACAGAUACCACCCCUGGAUGGAGGAAGAGUACUUCCAGAGAAGAUGCCACAUCUACCUAUGAGACAGAUAAGGCAAGUCAAGACGAUACCACAUUCCGGUACUUAGAAGUUUCGUGGCUACGAGAUCAUUCUCCCACAAUAUUUUCUAAUGUCAUUUGUACUAAAUCAUUCACUUGUACUCACUAAAGGAGAGCUUGAACCUAUGUACUUGUGUAAACCCUUCACAAUUAAUGAGAACUCCUCUAUUCCGUGGACGUAGUCAAUCUGGGUGAACCACGUACAUCUUGUGUUUGCUUUCCUAUCUCUAUCCAUUUAUAUACUUAUCCAACUAAUGACCGGAGCAAUCUAGCGAAGAUCACAAAAAGUGACCAUUUUCGCUACCUAGGAUCUAUCUUGCAAGAGAACGGAGAAUUAGAUGGAGAUCUCAACCAUAGAAUACAAGCUGGAUGGAUGAAGUGUAAGAGUGCAUCCGGCGUGUUGUGUGACCGUCGUAAGCCACUGAAGCUCAAGGGAAAAUUUUAUAGGACGGCAAUAAGGCCAGCGAUGCUGUAUGGCACAGAAUGUUAGGCGGUGAAGCAUCAACACGUACACAAAAUGGGUGUAGAGGAGAUGAGGAUACUUCGUGGGAUGUAUGGGCACACGAGAAAGGAUAAGAUUGGGAAUGAGGAUAUCCGAGGUAAAGUAGGAGUGGCCAAAAUUGAAGGAAAUAUGAGAGAAAAUCGGUUUCGGUGGUUUGGACAUGUGCAAAGAAGGCCUACUGACGCUCCGGUUCUAAAAUAUGACUACGGGACAGAGGUUCAGGGCUGAAGGGGUAGAGGAAGACCUAGGAAAACUUUGGAAGAGACCCUAAGAAAAGACUUGAGUACUUGGAUCUAACGGAGGACAUGACACAAAACCGAGCGCAAUGGCGUUCUAGGAUUCAUAUAGCCGACCCCACUUAGUGGGAAAAGGCUUUGUUGUUGUUGUUGUUGUUGUUGUUGGUGAUAAGGAAUUUUAUAUUGAUGCCAAGAGAAGACCACAAACUGAUUAGAAGUGAUCUAAGUCAGUUUGCAAUCUUCGUUAUGAAUGUAAAAGCAGUAAGUGGAACAAAACAGAAUAUAAGUCAAUGGAUGAAUGUAAAGAGCUGUAAAGACUUGCUGAACAUUAAUCAAAAGCAUAGUAAAUUGCAUAGAAAUAUAACAACUUGAAAAUAAACAAUUAAUAAAGUAAUCAGACAAAAUUAAACCUAUUCGGGCAAGUUUUACCUAGAGUCGGGCAAACUUGUCCACCGAUAGGGGAAGUGCUAGUAAAGAUAGAAAGCGUUUGUGGAAGAGAUUUUAAUACAAGAGAUUGAUAAUACAAAUAAUGAGAGCUAUAAAGGUAAAAGAGUGUCUGAAGUACAAAAGGAAUUUGUAAAAGUAGGCUUGCAGAACUUUGAGUAUGUUGAGUUAAGUGUCCCUUUCUUCUUCCUUUAUGCUCCCAUUUAUAGAACCGACUCUUCGUUCUAGAGUAAGCUUUUCUCUCUAAGUUCAUUCCCUCUAAUUUAAGUUACUGAUGUGAUUGUUGUUAGAUGAUGAGUUUUCCCUUGGUAAUUCGAGCUUUUAUCCUCUCAAAACUACGAGUUUGCAACUUUUUUCAAAAACUGGGCUGGGCACUAUUCAUUUUGCUGAGAACCCAUUAAACUUUUACACUUAAAUCCAGUGUUUCCGGAUCAACUAGAAUGUUGUUUUCAUGUCCUAGUAAAUAUAUGAAAUCUGAUCAAAUUGGAGAGGUAGAUAAGAUUGAGCAGCAAACCAAUUGCACUAGCACAAAAUUUUUAUCUCCAAAAGUAAUUAAAGUCUCAAAACAUAAAACUUCCAAUAGCUACUAUAGUUAACAAAACCGACCUAACUAAGACAACCAAAGCUCAAUAACCUGUAAUGAAAAUUAAUGGUCAAUAAUUUUUCUUAACUUUCCGACGUGGGACAACACUCCAUAUCCUCGUACUGUUGCACUGACUCUGCAAAAAGUGAUAAUCUUUGUGCUUAAAUUGGUAGUGAGAGUAGAGUUGCUAGUGAGAGUAGUUAUCGUAUAAAAGCGUAAUGUACAACUUCGACGAUGUAAAAAGGCUUUGUUGGUAAGAGUAGGUAUUGUGUUGGAGCGUAAUGUACAACAACUCCUAUGAAGUGAAAAAGUUUCCAACAAACGAAUGGGCCACCAUCCGUUUUGUUGUCGAGGGUUGACAAUUGGGUCGACAGUCUUUGGCCCAAAUUUUCUUCAUUCCCGCAAUGAACCUCUGUCGACUUUCAGCACCAUUACUGUACCUGUCACUCUCUCUCUCUCUCCCCGCCGCAGGGGGCAGCUCGCCGGUGUCGUCGCCCCUGUUUUCGACCCGAUAAAGGUAAGAGCUUUGGCCUUUGAUUUCCAUAUUGUUAAUUGUAUGUUAUUUUUUCCUUCCCAAUUGACAUAGUCCGAUUGUGUGGCUAAGAAGAAACACAGAUUCAUCUUUUUGUUAUCGUUUUUUAUAUAAAGAUUUCGGAAUUUAUACUGUGAAUGUGUGUGUGUGUGCGCGCGCGUGUAUGUGUGUGUGUGUGUGUAUAUAUAUAUAUAUAUAACUUGGUCAGAGGAGAAAUAAGCAAAACCCAGUUGCAUGCUGUUACCCAAUUUGUAUUUGCAAUCAAAGAUGGAAGCUUUUCUGAUGAAUUUUUACAGUUUAAUUAGCUAAAAAAGUGUUUAGUUUCAUUUUCUGUGUGGUGAUUUUUGUUUCUGUGGAUGUGUUUUGAUGGAUAGGAUGGUUUCAAUGACUAUUCCUCAAGGAAGAAACUUUGGGCUUCCAUUCAUGAACCUUGUCAGAUUAAAGGGAAUUCCCAUUCUCCAACAGCUUCAUUUAGAGGAGCAACUGCUUCGGACCUCGUCCGAUAAUUGGUGCAUUAUAAAUGAUGGAACUAAUGAUCCCGCUAUAGUCAUGGGUGUUUCGGGGUAAGAUGAGCUUCAACACUCCUUGUGACCUUGUUUAAGUUUGUUGGUUCUUUCCUUGACUACCAUUACCGAGCUAGUAGCAAACACGUAGAUGAUGUUGUCGUGAUCUGUCCAAGAUACGAGUGUCAUGCUUGGUCAAUCGUAGACAUAUUUUCCAAAUUACAUGAUUCUGGCUGUGCUCAUUCUCUUAGGUUUGUGAUUUUGUUAUUUAUUUAACUCCUUUUUUGUAUUGGAGAUUGUAAAGGAUCCGUGUGUGUUCUGCAUAGAAAACCUGCAGAGCUUCUUGAAAUUGAUUUGGUGUUACGAGACCAGAUUCCCGUCAUUAGAAGGUUUACUGGAGGUGGUACUGUUACUGUUGAUCAGAAUACCCUAUUUGUCACUUUCAUAUGCAACAAGGAUGCGGUUCCUGGCUUGCAACCAUAUCCUCGACCUAUAAUGUCGUGGAGUAGCCUAGUAUACAGCAAAGUGUUUGAAGGACUUGCUGAUUUUCAGCUUCGUGAAAACGGUACCUUAACUAACCUUUUCUAACAUUAUUGGUGCUUUAGGCUUAUAAGAUUAUGUGUUUGUUGUGUUUAUUACCCUGAUUUGUUUUCUUUUUCUUACCUCUUUUGUUUCUUGCUAUUUGGAUUCGAAUUUCUCGAUGCAAUUUGAGGUUCUUUAUUUGAUGUUUUCUGUGUGGUAUCAAAUGUUAGUUUUAUGUUUGGACUGUGCCCUAAUAACAUAAUUGGUCCUAUCGGAAUGUAGAUUAUGUAUUUGGUAACCGCAAGUUUGGUGGGAAUGCUCAAUCUAUUAGUAAAAACCGGUGGAUCCACCACACUUCCUUUCUAUGGGACUAUGAGGUUAGGAACAUGGCAUACCUGAAGCAUCCAAAACGGGUUCCUGAAUAUCGAUUGGUAUGUUAUGUGUAUCAAUGUGUGUUUCAAAUGUGCCUCAAAGAAAAUCUCUGAAUUUCACAGCUUAAAUAGCCUAUUAGUUUAUUGCUUGUCAUUGAGGCCUAUAUUUUGAUGCUAAUAUGCUAUCUAUUUCCUUUGCAGGCAAGAGACCAUUUAGAAUUCAUAUGCCACAUGAAAGACUACAUCCCAAGAUCAGUUUUUCUUGAGAAAACUGUUGAGGCAAUCGGAACCCAUUUCUCCGUGAGACCCGAACAGUCGGACACCAUUGAAGCUACCUCGAAUACGAAGUUUGUACCCUCAACUAGACUUUUGACAAGGCAGGAAUUAGAGGAAGCAGCAGCUUUUGAAUCUCAAGCUGAGAGAAAUCUCACUCAAUCAUUGUCAUUGUAAUGAAAGUGUGAAUGCUAAGAAAGACUCUUAAAAGUAGGACUCUCUGCCACCUUAUGUUUUUGACGCAAUGUUUUAUAAUGUUGGCACAAGAAUUGACGUUAAACUGUGAGGUAACACAAAGUCCAUGGAGCUUCACACUGUUGAGAGAGUCUAGUUAGCAUUUCUUUUUAUUAUUCAUUAACAAUUUUUCAAUAAAUGUAACCUUUUUUUUCAAUCAAAACAAAUGUUAUAUACCUUUUUGGACAAUGAAUUAUAUGUCAGUCCAUUUUUUUCUUGGGAAUUUGCAAUGCAAGUAAGUUUUUAAAUACAUGACCAUCGGAGAACUUCAGUACACUUGGGAUGCUAUUUUCGUUAUUACAAACUAAUCACGUAUUGCCACGUAGUAUCUCAACAUAAUCACAUAUUUCAUUAUGAAAUGCUAGUAAUGCGUGAUUGGCUUGGAAUAACGCGGUAUAUGCAAGUUUCUCAACUCGACCAGCCUACCAUGUUAACCGCAAAGAGAGCCAUGUAGGCUUUCUUGGUGGAGAAGCUUUUCGCAUUCCCAACCCAAGAUUUUUGUUGUUUUUUCCUCUUUUCAUUCUCGGUGCCACUGCAAACUCACAAAGCGCACCGUUCAUUACACCUCUCUCUCUCUCUCUUUCUCUCUCUCUCUCAACACACUCUGUCUCUCUCUGCCGCAGUAAAUUUCUGGUGGUGGUUCUGCAUAUUUUAACGACCGAAAUCACAGCUUGACCCGUCGUCUGCAAAUUCGUAAGCUUUCAAUCUUAACACCCCAUUUCCUUCCUUCCCUCCAUGUUACUCUGCUAUUACUUUUUCUGGCUUCCCCUGUAUUCGUUUUGAAUUUCCCUUUUACCAUAUUCAUAAAAAUGUCACCUUUUCACAUUGAUUUUUAAUAUUUCUCAUUUGGGUCCACGCUUUUGUGGAUUUUUAUUAAAUUUUUUGUUGUUGAUUUCGUGGAUUAUCAUCUUUUGGGAUUGCAGACAUUUGCUUGUAUUUGUCAUUAGGUGGUCGUUUUCUUUCUGGGAUUUUAAGGUUUCACGAGAUUGUCUGUUUCACGAGAUUGUCUGCUUUUGUGAUAAGUAGCCUCUGUUUUUCUGCACAAAACAAUUAAUUGUUCAGAAUUGGGGUGGAGUUUGUUUUUUUUGAAUAAAUGGUUAUCAAGUUCUGGUUCCUGGGAUGAAAGCUGCAUUUGGAGAAGUGCUUUUUGUUGUGUAAUUGAAGUGAGUCAAUGUGCAUUUCAACAAGAAACAAGAGUAUUGAGAAAUUUUCGCAGUUGCGCUUCGUAAGAUUUUCGAGGGGUUUGCUUGUUGGAUUGCAGGAUGGGAAGGGUUAAGUUAAAGAUAAAGAAACUAGAGAGCAGUGGGAACCGGCAGGUUACGUUUUCAAAACGGAGAAAUGGGAUCUUGAAGAAAGCUAAGGAGUUAUCAAUCUUAUGUGAUGUAGAUAUUGUCCUUCUCAUGUUUUCCCCCACUGGAAGGCCUACAUUAUUCCAAGGGGAGCGCAGGUAUUGUAAGCGGAAAGUUUACAUUCGUUCUUUGAUCACGAUUUUGCAGACAACCUAGCAGUAAACUUUCUAUAUCAUAUGCUAAUAUAGCUCCUUUGCUUUCAUGAUAAUUUUUCAGUAAUAUUGAAGAGAUUAUUUCAAAGUUUGCGCAAUUAACUCCGCAGGAGAGGGCAAAGAGGUACUACAGUACUUGCAACGAGAUUCUGACUUUCUCAUUUUCUAGCUGAUUUAGUUUGGAUGGCAUUACAGCUAACUAUUUGUCCAUUUGUCUUAACAGGAAAUUGGAGAGCCUUGAAGUAAGACUUUCACAAAUAGCAUUUCAAACGGGAACAUUUGUUUCUCUUGCUUUUGUUGUAUCAAACGAAAACUAACUUAUGUCACUUCAUCCAUUCUAUACUUGUAUUUUGGUGGUCUUUUUGUGGAUAUAGGUACUGAAGAAAACUUUUAAGAAGUUGGAUCAUGACGUUAACGUACAAGAUUUCAUGAGUUCAAGGUAUGUGAUUGUUUUUAUAUAAUUUGUCAUUUCCUUUGAGUGAAACCUACGGGGAUAUCUGAUGUGGCCCUUUUCUUAAUGUUCUUUUUCCCUUCUGUUUCUUGCAGCUCUCAGACGGUUCAGGUAUAUAUUCUUUACCACCAAUACCAAUACCAAUUAUAAAUGCUUUUCGAUUUCUUAGUUUAAUUACGACGACUAAUGUUUUGUGAUAAUUUGCUAUUGGCAGGAUCUGACUCAUCAAGUAAUGGUAUUGCAAGCCCAACUUACAGAACUCCAUAGGAGACUGAGGUGCACCUUUGGAGCUUUUGGUUGUUAAAGUAUUGCCUUGUCUUUUUGGUCUUGAUGGUCAAAUUACUAGCAUAUUACAUUGUGUAUUUUAGACAAUGUAAAUUUGAUAUUAGGGCAUUUCAAAGUAUGAACUUGAUAUGAUAAAGGAAACAAAUAAGCAAAAGUGGUUUAAGUUGCUUACGAGUGUAGUUUAGGGAUUCACUGCCCAAUUUGGGGGUCAAUUUGAGUCUUAUUUGUGAUUUUCAUGUCAUGGGUUGAGUUGCACAUGCUGUAUCCUAAUAGCAACCAAUAUGUAGUAUUCAACGGGUUGGCUAGUACGCAGAUAACUUGAUGUGUUGGACCUUAGCCACCCUAAGAAAAUUGUAUAAAAACUCUUUUUUCUUUAAUUUUCUUGUGUGUUCUUGGUUAUAUUAUUUUUCUCUUGACCUGUUUUCCUAUUAAAAUUUUCAUUGAAUUUACAAAUGAAUAUCGGAUUCCAAUAUGUAUUGAUCAGUAAGAUAAAUGCAUAUAAAGAAUCCAUGUGAUAAUCAAGCUGUUGCCACUUUUUCAGCUUAUGGAGUGACCCAGAUAAGGUUGACAAUCUUGAACAGCUUCGGCAGAUGGAAGACAUGCUUAAGGAAUCAAUCAACCGAACACGUCUGCAUAAGGUAUCAUUUUGUUUUUCAAGUUACAGUAGUUGCACAAUAAAUUCUAAGGCUUAUGCUGUGAAAGAAGAAACAACGAGGGCUUUACAGUUUUGUAUACCAAACAGCUGAAAAGUAAUGAUGAAGUAUGAACAGUGAUAUAUGGCUUUGGUUGAUUUUGGUGUCAUGGUGAGUUUAAGAAGCCAUGACUUACCUGAUCCGCCUACGCUGCUACUUUGUCUACCUGCUUUGAUAGCAACUUAUGAGGGGGUGGCUACUGAAUCGAUGCUAAUAUUUGAUAACUAAACUUGUUAGGAAAAUUUGGGAAAACACCAACUAACAUCACUAGAUUGCACAAAUCAGGUAAUAUAUACUUUAGCUGAUGAAGAAUUAAUUCUCUCUCUCUCUCUCUCUCUCUCUCUCUCUCUCUCUCACAUCUAAUCUGAAGCUUUAUUUUUGUGUAUCAAAGUUUCAAAAUGGAAUGCCUUCGUCUUUCUUAGUUGGUGGUUCGCAAGAAGCUCAACCUAUAACUUGGCUUUUCAAUAGCGACAAUCAGCACAUGAUAUUACCGAAUGAGCAGAACUAUCUGCCACAUAGGUUAGUUUACUGCUGUUAUGCAUCUACCAUUGGAUAUGCCAAAGAGCCUAAUGCCUGAGAACUUUCUUUCUGAUAAAUUACUGAUGCUAUGAUUCUCUCUCUCUCUCUCUCUAGAGGUGUGGAGUGCUCAACAAAUACCACAGUUCCACAUUAUAUUCGUUACUUUGGCACUGGGACUAGCACUAGCUCUAGCACCGGAAAACAAUCUGAGGCUGGUGAUCCAUUACAGCUAGAUACUAUGGGACAAAUUUCUAAUAUGGAAGGAGGCGGUGGCUUCAAUGAGUUUGACAUUAAUGCUUGUUUAAGUACGGAAUCUGGUGAGCAUUAUGCGUAUCCAACAUAUUGUAGUUCUAAUGUGCCAGACGAUAAGAAAGUGAAGCCGGAGAAUGAAAUGAACGUACCAGCAAAUCCAGUGGAUUAUCAACUAAGUAGCAACUUUGAACUGCCAAGAUCCUUGUAUGAAAAUGAUCAUCAUGCUUGGCUUUCUUCGCCUGGCCCUAGCGGCAUUGCUGUGUACAAGGAGAAUACCUACCAGCCGGUGAGCAUUCCUUCCAUCGAUGUUUUUCAUUCUGUUUUGGCAAGCUAUGAAAUAACGGAUAAAUUAUUGGUCUUUGUAUAUUAUCAUUCCAUUGAUGCCUUGCGGCUCUUUGUUUUCGUAUCUUGUAGCAACCAAACGUGAGAUUGUAGCUGACAAAAUCAGGGAAGGAUUUACAGGCGCCACGCACCGUGCAAAUGAUGUGAGUUGUGAAAUGUUAACAGUUAUCUAAGAUAUGUAUUGAUGCUAAUAGGCUACUUGGGGCAUAGAUUAAAUCUGUAUAUAUACUGUACAAGACAUAUAGGAUCAGAGUUCAUCUGUAUACUAACAUGGUUGGGUUCCUUAGAGCAACCACCACUUUUGUAAAUUAUUACUCAUAGAAAAUGAAAGCAAACAUGAUGGAUUUCUUGAGCUAUUUUUGUGAUUUAUAUUAUGUUAGCACACAAACGAGCAAUUUCUAAUCCAGCGAGUCUUGGCAACGGAAAGGUGGUUCCUUUGUGAUCAAAAGGUUACGGGUUCAAGUCGUGGAAACAACCUCUUUGCAAAGCAAGGUUAAGGCUGCGUAGGAUAGAUGUUCCUCCCCCGACCUUCGCAAAGUGGGGAGCCUUGUUGGCUUAGGGUCGCUCUCUUAAACACAAUUAAGCAAUUUCUAAUCCAGUCUAAAUUACGAGGAAGGAGAUUUGAACUUGGGUGUAGAUGGAGCACACGUUUAACGAUAAUGAUAAUAUUCACCGCCACCAUGGUUCCUGUACACUGGUAAAACCUUUGUCUACAUUGAUGCUCACCUUCCCAAUCACUCAAAGACCAUUAAUUCAUUGUUACAAACUAAAUAAAAACAGAUCUUCCAUCUUUUCUGCUUUUGCAAUCGAUCUAGGAGCCGCUUAGGGUUUGGACAAUGGUGUUGUGCCAUGGAUCUGAGAGGUGCUGCAACAGGUUGUCGAACGGCCCCUUUCCGGUCACAUUGUGUUGAACCACAAACCCGAGGAAGGCCAACAUUGCCAGUCUCCCUGCAUAACACAUUUCAAACAACAUAUUAGACCUUGUUUCAAACAUAAAAGCAAACGUGGGUUAGGCUAGUUGGUCAGGGCAGUGUGCGCCCCUUGGUAGUGACAUCAAAUGCUUACCAUUGGCAAGUUCCUUCUCCUUGGCCUCGAGAGUGGGUUCGAAGUUGAGGGGGUUGAAGAUGCCACCUGGGUAGCCCACCUCACCUGGGGGCAAGCUGUAUUGCUUGAAGAUGGGGUCUUGGUUCACACUUCCCGGGUUCUUGAUGUCUUGCCACCGUCUGAUCUCGACGUAGUGGAACAAGAUGAACUCGAUCACGAAGAGGGUGGACGAAGAAGCGAAGUACUCGGCCUUUCCGGCAUCAUACCAUUUGGGAACGUUAAGGAUCCCAAUGCUGGUGAACACUUCAGGCAAUAGCAUCCCAACAACGCCCAACAUUGCCCAUCUGCCAUUGACAAGCUCAGCUUGGAUAUACCACCUUAAGUUCUCUGGGUCCUCAGCAAGUGCCAGAGGAUCAAAUCCAUUGUCACCAGGAAGGCUGCCCACAAAAACAUAUCUUAGUCAAUCAAUGUUUUUUCCCCAGUCGAAACAUUUGUAGGACUUUUUUGUCGGUCAUCUAAAAAGGUCGUCGUGCACUCUUUUAAAAAAAUUAAGUUGUAAUUGGAGAUGUGUAUUAUGGUUAUUUUAGAGUGUGAAUAAUAAUAUUGUUAGUGUAAACGUGAAAUUUUUAACAUACCUGCCGGUGAGGUAGUCUGGUGAAGGCAAGCCAGGUAACCACUCACCCUUCUUAGCCUCAACUUUAAAAGAAGAAGCAGGAGGAGAAGCCAUAGGCCUAAAAGCCACUUCCCUAUUUAACUUACUAGAAGAACCCGAAAGGAACCUCGAUUUCGAGUUGACGCAUGGCCGGAAAAUGGCGGCCGAGGCCUGAGUUGUGACUGUUGCCAUUGUUUUCCCCACCUGAAUUAUGGUCAAGAAAAUGGAUUUUCAGGCAGGGAUGGGGAGUUGGUGGUGUAGAGGAAUAGAAGGGUAUGGUUGUAAAGGAACAUGUAAUGGUGUGAUGUGAGUCCAUGGCUUUGUAUAUUUGAUGCCAAAUUGUCAAUGAGGGUCUUGUGGAGGUUGUUCUUUGAUGGAAUUUGACCGUUGGUUUGCAAGAUUUUUAUGAUCCAACGGUGUAGAUGUGCUUGUGGUUUGAGAUUGGCCAAUGGGAAGUCCUUGGACCUUAUCUUUUUAUCUUUAGGGUUGUAUCCAUGCAGAGAGAGGAUCCUCGCCGGAUUCUCUUUGUGAGAAUUUUGGGAUCCUCCAAUCACAUUCCUUGAUCAUACAUCGUACGAUCAAUUUUCGUCAGAUAUUGUUUAUAUUUAAUUUUAAAUAAAAAAAAUUACAAUAAUUUUUGAACGUACAAUGUACGAUAAACGAAUGUGAUUUGAGAAUUUUCAAAAUCCUAAAAAAAAAAUCUGACAAAGAUCCUCACUCGUAUCCACAAAUCUAUAUUUUUGUUGCUGUUGGCUGAAAUGAGCUGUGGGUUCCACUUUUGGGCCACGUAUGAAGAUUUUUUUUUUAACGGGGAUAUCGAUGUGGGAUUCUGAAUCCUUGGAUAUGAUGAUUGGAUCUCCUUCCACGUGGAAUCUGAGGGAGCCUAUAGUUGCAUGACAAGUGGCUGACUCAAACUACAUCUUAGCUAGUGACUUGGUGCAGCUUCACCUCAAUUGCGUUGCAUUGUCGACAAUUUAAAACAUGUGUUAUGUGUUAUUGAUUCGGGAUAUAUGAUGAUGCCCUAAACAUGUAGGAUAAGUUUUUUUUUCAUGUAAAGUGUGAUUCAUUUAGUUACAAAUGCACAUUUAAUUAGAUCGGUGUGGUAUUACUUAAUUACUCUUAAUUUACGUACACAAUUAAAACAAGUAAAAAUUUUAAUCAAAAAUGAAAUUUAGACGACAUUAACAAACAAUGUCUUGUAUGAAAACACGAAUUUAUGUUUGUGCGUAUUCUCUUUUUAAUUUGGAUAUGAAAUUAUUAGUGAAGCUCAAAAGCCGUACACAGUUUGAUUUUAACUCAACGUGACAUUGAGUCGGAAUUUGAUAAUCGAUAUAACGGUGAAAUUUUAGGAAACUAUGUCAUCAUAUAGCUCUUGGAGAGGAGAACUUAUUCAUUAGUUUUCCACUUAAACCAUGAGACAGACAUAUGCAGCCAAGGAUGAUUACAAUGGCUUAUGGGGUAGUAAAGAAGCCUUGACAUUUACAUAUACGUCUUCACAUCAAUAAAACAUUUCCAAUUGAAAUUUCAGGUACAUUUUGAGAAGUUAACAAACAAUAAAAAGGUGAAAACUAGACAAGACGACCUAUCUCAUUCAAGAUUUGACUAUAAAAAAAAACCUUAUGAUUAGCUCAAGUGGUGUGAGGGAGGGAGUUUGGACUCUUGCAAUAGCAGCUCCCUACCUCAAGAGUCACAAUUGCUAUCAAAAUUAACUGUUAUCGAUAAUUUAGAUAGACCAAGACUUUGCUCGCCCUAUCUAUGCUCGUGCUCACAGGUAGGGACAUAUCUAUGUGACUUGCUAGACUUGCUUGCCCAUUUCUUGCUGUAAAAGCAAACCCACCGUUGUAGUUAACUAGCUUUUAGCAAUGAGAACAUACAAACAUCUAAUCUAGUACUGAUCAAGUCACAUAAAAGCAUUUAGUACUCAUUAACAGAAAUAUAAAAACGCAAUAUGUGAAGACGGUGGAGAAAGAGAAAAGAGUUACUGAAACUAGUAUUUGGAGUGUCUAAGGCACAUGCCUCUGUUAGAGUGAAGUGAAGUCGCAUGCGUUGUUCGCCUUAUCUCUAGCAGGCUCUGAGCACAUACCUAGUAAUAGUAUAUGUGAUCAGUUUCGAAAACACACUGUGCUAGCCGUCAAAAGAGCAAAAAGGUUGUCUAAAAUCAAAAGAGAUAGUAGCCCACUUCAAAGUCCACGUUUAGGCUUGGGCUGUAGCCGAAGUCUGAUGGUUAACAAAGAGAGGGGUUAUAGAUUUUUAGCCCAAGAUGUGUAAUCGACAAGUUUUAUGAACAAAACCAUUGCUCUGAUUAAACUUAUUUAAUCACGACGAGUUUUAAUUGCACGUAUUAUCGUAACUUCGAAUCACCUUGUUAAAACACGCAGAAAUUGUUAUGAAGCGGAAAUAGAUAGAAUGGAUGCAAAAUUCAAGCAACUACUUUCAUCCUCUUGAAGAGAGGACAACUUUAUUUUACUAAAAUCUUACAAGAUAAAACGCAUUACAAUAUAAUUGAACCAAACCAAACCAAACCACACGGACAUCUAAGUAACCUAAAAAAACCUGGCGGGUGGUUUUCUGCCCACCGCUGCCGAAAUCUCUGCCUUCCCUUUCCAAAAGAGAGGAGAGCAAAGAAGCACAAUAACCCUCAUAACUUAAUUUGAAAUGAUAAAAGAGCCCUCUUAAUAUAAGCCCUUCUCAGGUUUGACUCUAAACACUAAGUUUCAAUAACUGUGGCUACACCCAAACAAAUGUAAUUAUAAUUUGUUUAAAGUUUAUGGUGUUGUUCAGAACUGUAGGCCGCUGAAUGUUUGGCCAAAGGUCCAGCCGGCAGGAACAACGUUGUUGGAGACGAUCGUGCGGCCGUCGCUGGUUGUGACCUUGAAUGAGAGGCUCUGGCCGUUGAGGAAAGAGUUACUCUGCCAGUUUUGGCCCCAGUUCCUUGACAUGGGUUGCCAGCCAGUUCUUGACCCUUUGAUGGAAACUGCAUGAACAUCACCAGCACCUCCAACGUUUGUGAUCAGCACUAAAUUAAAGUAUGAGUGACCGUUGAUUGUGAAUCUGAUACCUCCUUUCUUUAAGCAAGGCACCCUGCAAAUUUAGAACAAGAAGUAAUCAGUCAAAGCAGGAGAUAAAGUUUUUGGGUGUGACGGUUAGACUGUCAAAUACUUUUAAGUAAUUUACGUACUAUACUAUAAACGGACAACAUAAUUAAUAUAUUAUGGUAUAAUACUAGCUACUAGUAAAUUGUUAUAAUCAUGUGACGAUACUACAGUCGCAUAAUGUUGAGAGGGAUAGUUUAAAAUUUAAGAAAUUGGAAAAGCUGACCUUUGGUAAAUUGGUUGGAUGGUAAAUUGUCAAAAAAAAAAAAAAAACAUUUGUGUUAUCUGUGAACACCCCUAAGAAUUUAAAGGAUGUAUGUGCAAUUUUCCCUUCGAAAUUUUUUAUUAAAUUUCCAAACAGUCCCUACAAAAGUUGAGUCUCGAAACAUAAAACAAGCCCAGCCUGAAUUGCAUACCUUCUGUAAGACACAGGCACAAUUCCAGCUCGGUAUUGAGCAAUCCGCUGGAAGAUGGGCUGGGCGAGAUCGAAGUGGUGCUGCGGCGGGUUGCACCAACCGCCGGCAUUGUUCGGAAGGGCAUUGUUUGGCGGGCAGAAAUUGGUCGCUGUGACCAUAAUAGAGCCCGGAAGACACCAUUUGGGGUCACUCACACACCUUAUCUCAAAACAAGCCCCGCAGCUCAGCCCAUUGUUGAACAGUGCUGUGCUCAGAGCUGCCGUGUUAGUUCCAUACCCUUGGCUAUACAGAUUUCCAUAGCCACAAGCCCCACCUGCAAUUUAGAUACAUUGAAAGAAAGUUACGAGGGUAUUAAAGAAUAGACUGUCGAUAUGGUCUAACAAAAUGUACCAACAUGUUGUUGACGUAAUUAUUGAUGCAUGUAUGUUAUUUUUAACGUCCUGCAAUGUUUACACACCCAUUGUUCCGGACGCAUCACCUCCACCAUAGAAAGUGGCAUGUGCAUCAACCCAACCACCGUCACCUCCUCCAUAUCCACAAGCAAAAGAGCUCAAAGAAAGAAGACCCACCAAGAGAAAACCAAGAAUUGCCAUGUUUUUUCCUGCACAGCAACCUUGUACUUGUUUUUGAAGCAGAAACACCACUUUGGGUAGUGUCAGAAAAGAGAAAGAAGCAAAAGAGGCUUUGUGUUUGUGAGUUGUGAGGAGAAGUGGAGGGGGUGAGGUGGGGGAUAAAUAGAUGCUUGGAGUUGGAUGGAAAGGGCAACGUCACACGAACUAAAGUUUUCAGGUGUGGGGACCUUGAACCGCCAAGUGCAAGCGGUUUUAUGUAUGUGUCUGAAACCAAAGCAAACUUUUUCUUCAAACCACGUGGUUUUGGAGCCAUUCACAUUUCUGUGUGUGUUGGUGUUGGUGAGUUAAAAUUCAUAUAGAUUAUUCAAAGACUGAACUAGGGUUCACGACCCCAAAGUGGUUUUUGCAAUUUGUACUGAUGGCGCGUUACAGAACUGUCAUGCCCACUACACUUCAUCAAUCACUUUUACUAAUUUACGUGUUAUGACAUGUGUGAACAAAAAAAAAAUUACCUUAAACGUGAUUGCUUAAAUGACGAUAUUCCGAACUAGUACUAUACUCUAAGUCUGAGAUGACACAAUGACAUCCUAAAGGGUGUAGUACGCAAGUGUGUCUAACUAGACGUGUAAACAACAUGGGCGAUAUAUAUGUUAUGAACCUCGGAUAUAUUACGCAUGUCACAACUUAAGUGACUAGGUGAACACCAUGCAAAUGAGUUAGUGUCACACUGAAAAAUUACUCCAAUUGGAAUAGUGCAUGUGUAAGUCGUAAUAACGACCAUUAAUUGUAGCUAUCAUUUACUACACCGUUGCACUGAGUCUUUUCGUUGCAGUUUGCCUUUUCCUCUGUUUUCUUUUAGCAGCAGCUUCAGCCUCUUUAGCCAAGAGGAAAACGCAUGCAGAUGCAUCAAAUGGUCCCGUGCCGUUAAUGUCCAGUCCAAAAAGGUAAAGAAGAAGGACUAAUGCGGCUAAAGUGGUUAUCAUAAAUAGUUUACUUUGAAUAAUCUACAAAUACAAAGUUAAGAUAAGUAACUAGUUGGUCGAUAUCCGAAAUUUCCAACCCUCUUUCAGUCCAUGUCCAAUUAAAAGCAUGUUGAAAUUAACUACCAAUAAAGUAUAUAUCUUUUACUUAUUCCGUAUGCAUGGUUGUUGAAUGUCGAUGAAUUCACACAUACAUAUCAUUUAUUUGAGAACAUUGCUUUGCUUUUUACGGUUAAUGAAUUAUUUUUUAUUACCUAUAAAUUUGAGGUAUACACUUAUAUUGAAAUGGCUAAUUAAAGAUAUAAAAUAAAAAAAAUGUACAUGUCAAAUUGUGCAAGAAGAAAAAAAAUUGAAGCAAGUCUCUGAAUUUUUGUCUAUUUGAAGGUUUGGUAAUUGAGUAUAAAAUAUUAAAAUGUGUGAGUAUUAGUCCUUAAGUGUAUAGACAACAUCUCUAAUUAUGCGAAAGUUCAUAGACUAGUUUUUUAAUUUUCUCUAAACAGAAAGAUAAUUUUUUUUUUCAUAUUUAAUUAUUUUUUUCUUUCACAGUUCAUUUUUAUUUUUUAAUUCUUCUUUAAUUAAUACUAAAAAAUAAAUGAUACUAAAGGAGUCAAAUAUUUCAUUCAAUCCCAUGAACAUGAGUAGCUAGGACUGCCUAUAGGCUUUAGGUAAAGAACUGAACUUUUGGUAACAUGCAUGGAAAUAUUUGUUAUGGCUGUCGAGUGUUGGACUCUAUGACCAAUAUAUAUUUUCAAACCUAAUCAAUCAAAUGAGAAAGUUUGACCUAGUUAUUGUGCUUGGGGUAUCUCAAAUGCAGAAACCUCAUUCAAUGUUAUCGGUUUGACACUUUGGUUAUAUAGAGACACUUGGACUUGGAGUGCACAUGGAUGAUGAGAAAAAAUGAUUCUUUAUCUUUUUAUUUUUCUUAUAACGUGGAUGAUGAAAUGUUUGUAAUGUUGAUAAGCAGGGCUCAUCAGUCUGUUACAUAUCACGAUCGAUCGUAGAACAAAGCGAGUUGAUGAGGGAUAGGGAGAGAGAGAGAGAGGGAGGGAGUACUAGGACCAUCUGAUGAGAAAGCACACCAACACCUGAAUCCCAUUUAUUAUAUUUCAUUAAUUUUGUUGCAACUGGUUCUGCAAAAGCUGCAAACACACCCGUCUCUCAAAGUUGCAUGCAUGUGCAAUUUCGUUAUCAACACGCAUAUCCGGCUAUAUAUGUUGUUCAAACUUCUCAAAUGAAAUAUAAAUUUUAACAUACAAGUAACUCAUAGAGUAUACAUAUGUAGAAACCAUACGCGACAUAUAUAUAUAUAUAUAUAUAUAUAUAUAUGCAUAUUCUAGCUAAUUUAAGCUACAUUAAUAAAACGGAAGAGAGUUUAAACUUAGGUACAAAAAAUAUGAAGAUAAGCAAUUAAUCAAACAACAUAAAAUUGUACAAAUAAUUAAACAUAUUGCUUAAAAACUUGCUAGCAUCAAUCCGCGAGAAAGUUUGUGUGACGGGGAUGCUUUGAGGGACUCACAUGCUGCAAUCUUGUUUUUAGGUCUCCUUUUUUAAUUUCCAGUCAACGUAUUAAUAUACUUAGUAUACUGGAUCGUGUUUUUAGUAUAUUAAAAAAAAAUUCCAUGGAGGGAGUCAUAAACGAACUCCGAGAACGUGCAUGAUUUAGUUGGUGUGGUUAUAUGUAUGGUAUAUGUGUAUAUCCUCUCUUAUCUUCUGAUUCAUUACAAUGAACAUCAGUUGUAUUUUACCGUAAAAAUAGACCUGAAGCAUAGUCAAUACUACGUACUCGGUAUUAUCAAUCAACUAUAGUUCCUAUUUCCAUUCAACAUGUAUGAACUCUUUAAAUUUCCAAUCCACGGUGGCACAGUCACAUAAGUUAUAUGGCACAAAAAAGUUGGACAAUUAAAAAAAAGAAAAGCUUAAAAAAAAAAAAAAAAAGGGACACAUGUUUACAUUUCACAGUCGAGUCAAUGGUCCAUUACUAAUGACACAAAUAUUAGCGUAGCUUAACCACAUACACAAUUUGAUAUAUAGGUGUUGGAUUUUAUCAUAAAAACUUCGGUAGCAGUAGAACUAUUCAUUUUUACAAGUAGUAAUAUAGUAUGUCAACUUUUCAACGUGGAAUUACUUUCUUCGACAAAACAAGAGUUGUGGUGGAAUUGUUCCACAUAUUAGAUAAGCAAGCUGGCUUAGCUCUCAUGGAAAGCAACGUGAACGGUUUAAAUAUGGGAUCGAACACGUACGUGCUGCACUAGUUUGUCUCCAUUUUAAGACCAUGCAGUCGUCAUUUUUAGCUGUACACGUAGCUUUAUUAUGAAUUAGGGUUUUGUUUUUUUUCUCCUGUUAUUUCCUUAUCUUUCACGGAUUUUUUCUUCAGAGAUGAAAUCUACUGACCGUCGAGACCUAAAACCUGGAAAACAACCAGGAAGCCACCAACACUAGUUUACAAAUAUAUCAUGCAAAUUGACCCAUGCAUACGUAUGUGAAUGAAUCAUGAAAAGCCACUUUUCAAGCCUCUCUUUCAAAGCUUUGAUAUUUUUGGGUAAACUACAACUUCACCGUUUGAUUUUCUUUUGAAUUCGUGAUCAAAUAUAUAGAUGAUUAUAUAUGAUCAACAUAAGAUUAUUUAACUACAGUUCGCUGGAUAUUUGUUUCUUAUCAAAAUGUGUAGUUUAAAUUUACAAUCUCACGAGAAUCGUUGGGCAUAAAACAAUAACAUUGCUAUUUUUUCAGGGGUGCACCGAGGUGUAGUCGCUGCAUAAGUUAGAAUUAAUGAAGAAAAUGUGAAUCCUGCCGUUCAUUGCAGAGGAGGAAAAACUGAGUAUGUGAACAAGCCGGCAAAUUCAACCAUUUCCCCCGCUUGAAUCUGGUUCAAUCCAUAAACACGCGCAAUCCCAUCUCCAAUGGAGACAAGUCAAUAUAAACGGCACACGGUGGGAGAGGAUAAUAUAUAACAAAAUAUUAUAAGCCCAGAAAUGUCAGAGAAAAUCGUAAAUUAGUAACUGAAUUUAUAUGUGGCGAAACGGAUUAACAAGACAACAAAAUUGUUUGCAAUAGUUGCAAGAUAUUUUAUAGCUUGUCAAAUUUUCUAAUAAAUUAUAGUCCUCUAGAAGAUAAAUCCUACUUCCCUCGAUAUGAUAUGAAUAACGUGGUGCUAUUCACAUAUCUUUCUUUACUUUUUACAGAUAUUUUUAAUUUUUGAUCCUUAAAUCGAAUAAACUGAAGAAAAUUGAAUGAUAUAAAUUAAUAAAUGAUGUGAGGAUAGCACCACCCAAUAAAUAUCGAUUCAUUGGACCUAUCUAACAAAUGGAAUUAUUCAGUAACCAGUAAUAAGAAGGUUAUUAAUCUCCAUAUAUAAAAGCAGUUCCAACAAACUAGGGCGUUAUUAACUUUGCUAGAGCAAUAUGCUCUCCUCUCUGCACUCAGGUUAAAAUCACUACUCCCAUAGUUUAGAGUAGACAAUUCCAAAAUAAAAAGAGACAAAGAAUGAAGAUUCAAAGCCAAUGUAUUUGGUGCAAAGAAAUAAAUCAUAAGACUCUAAUUGUAUUCUAUAAUAUAUGAGAAUUAACUUUUGGGUUAAAAAAAAAGGAAGGGAAAAGACGCUAACUAUCCAAAUCCAGUGCAUUUGAUUAUAUAAUAUUUGCUCUUUUUAAUAAAGAAUACAAGAAACAAAAAUGGCGACGGUUCUCUAACACAGACAAGAUGCAAGAUUACAUUAAGAUUAUAUGACAAUAAGUUGUCGAUGUUGAUCUAGGUUGAUGGUAACCUAACUAAAUAGCUAAGAUACUAUAUAUAACCGAUGUAGACAUUACUCUCUCUAAGUACUUGGCUACUUUACUUUAGGGGAUUUUUUUUUUUUUUUUUUUUGAGGCAUAUGCAUGAUUAUUGUUUUGUUAUAUAUCAUAAUUCGUUGUAUUAUAAUUUUUUUUUUCUUCAAAUUAAUUGAUUUGAAGUUUGAAGCACGAUGCUUAUUUCACAACUACAAUUAGGGCCGGUUUCGGGGUUAAAUGAAGCGAAUAAGUUUUGGGAAUUGAAAAUCUAUACUGAAACCACAACAAUUGAGAUUAUAGAUUGCUAUGGUGUAGAUCGAUGGCUCUAGAUCGACAACGAUGGCUCCGAUGGCAAUGGACGUUGACUCCACGACGUAGUCGAUGGCUAUGCUAGACCGAAGGCAAUCUCAACCAAUCCAACAUCUACAAUAAUUUGCAAUUUAUCAAUUAUAUAUUUAAAAUUAAAAUUAUACAUAUAUGUUACUUCGGUUUUACAACUCUGUGAUCCUGAUCGCCCUACAUAAGUUUCGGAAAUGUUUUAAUUUCAGUUACCUAAUGACUCGAUAUUUUCAGUUUUUUAUUUUUUUUAUUUUCUGGUCGAGUGUAAUAUGGUUUGGUUCGGUUCGGGUCAAGCUCGGUUAUUUCGAUUUUUUUAGGCCUUUACAAUGGGACAGAGCAAUGAUCCACAUGGUGAUUAAAUCACCCAGAAACUUAAAAGUGUUUAUCUCCUUUGCUUUUAUUGACCAUAACUAUAUGAAAAAAAGUUUGUCCGAAAAAUAACUUGAAAACCUUGUUGGUUAAGGCAGUUUGAAAAGCCUACGUUGUAAGCUGGGAAUUGAGUAACAAUACAAUGUUUUUAAAGUUAAUACGUAUUAAUUUCGGGUAAUUUAGUAAUGAGAAUGUGAUAUCCAUACAUUUAUUUUUACUUUUCACACAUUUUUUUAAUUUUCAGUCAUCGAAUCAGAUGAAUUGAAAAGAUCAAAUAAUAGAAAUUAAUAAAGAGUAUGUGAAAAGUAAAAAUUGAUGUGUGGCACACCCCUAGUAAUAUUCUUGCAAGGGUGGACACAUUAGUGACAAAGGGGUCAGCUUCUGUGAAUCUUUAUGAACAACUUGAGUGUUGCCCUUUAGAAGGUUAGAGAUGUCCCUCAUGCAUGCCUUCAAAGCGCUUGAUAAAAUACCUCAAAGAAAGUUGCGCUUCUUAUUAUGAAUGAUGGAACAUUGGUUUAAUUUUUAGCUAUUAUAUUUGUAAGAAAUGUUUGUGAACUUUUACAUGUGACUCUAAAGAAUUUUUCCUAGACCCGCCGCUAUAUUCUUGUCGCUUGUAAGUUGAAUGUUUCAUAUUCCACCUACUUAGAUAACGAGUUUAUAUUUUAUACCUCGACUAGUAACUAUUUGUGAUUUUUGUUUUUUGGUCCAAGUAACUAUUUGUGAUGAACACCGAAAGUUUACACAAAAGGCCAGAAUUCCUGGAGAAAACGUGCAAGAGGAGGCGUGAAAGAAUUAUCUUCCUUGACAACAUACAUAUGGAAAAGUAGUUUGACUUGGAGACAACUCUUUAAUCUUUUCGGCUCCUUUUUUAUCCUGCCAAUAGUAAAGCAGCUUUAGGGGAAGAGAUACCAAUUAGCCAGAUAGGUAAGCAUCCCAAUGCAUAUUUUGUGACAUGCAUGCAUGGAAGGAAUAUAUUCUUAAAUUUAGGAGUAAAUUGUAGUAAUGGUCCAUUAACUUUAAUCAAAUUGGAGCAAUGAUCUUUCAACUAAAAAUCCAUUACCAUUGGUCCCUCAACUUAUCAAAAUGUGUAGCUAUAGUCAUUUUCAUCAAUUUCAUCAAAAUUUUGUCAAAAUAAGUUAUGUUGGAAUAACCAUUUAUGUAAUUAGGGUCCCUCAACUCAUCAAAGUGUGUAAUUAUGGUCAUUUUCGUCGACUACGUCAAUUUUUUUGUCAAGACGAGUUAUGUUGGAAGAACCAUUGCUACAAUUGAAUUAAAGUUAAGUGACAAUUUCUCUAGUUGAAUUAAAGUUGAGGGACCAAUGGUAAUGAAUUUUUAGUUGAGGGACCAUAGCUGCACGUUUUGAUGAGUUGAGAGACCAAUGGUAAUGAAGUUUUAGUUGAGGGACCAUUGCUCCAAUUGAGUUAAAGUUAAGGGACCAUAGCAACAAUUUACUCUAAAUUUAGAUAAGUACAACUCAUUUCUUUCUUCCUUAACAAUACUUAUCAACUCAUCAAAAAGUUACAAAACAAAACUACAAAGAAAAAUAUAUGCUUAUCGAAGAUGUCAUAUCUCUAAGCUCGGUAGGGAAUCAAGGAAAAAUUUCUUAUAAAUAUCAAGAUGAAGCUCGCACACUACUUUGGUUUAUAUACUAUUUCGUUGGUCAAAGAUUUUGCACCCGUUAUAGACUUAUAGUCAUACUCGAGGGGAAAAUGAAAUUAACUUCAAAUUCCACGUGUAGUAAUAGUAGUGACUCAAUUGAAAACAUUAGUUGUUGUGUGGAUUCGUCAAUGCCUACACAUAUAGAAGAGAAAUGUUAAGAGGACUCUAAAAAAUGGGAAUCUUUAUAACUCUCUGUCACUUCAUAGUUUAACAUCAGUUCUUAUGUCAACAUUAUAAAAUAUUGUGCCAAGAACAUAAGAUGACUGAAAGUUAAAAAAAAUCAGAUGACUAAAAGUUAUAAAAAGUCUCAUUUUUUUAGAGAAUCCUCUUAGCAUUUAGCCUGCAUGGAAGAUUGCAACAUUUCAAGUACCAUAUAGGUCAUUCAUGUACUAUUUAUGAGAACCAGACUAAAUCUUUAUCUCACUUUUGCAUAUUUUCCGUUCACAAUUUUGAUGAUGUUAAUUAAGUUCUUUGAACUCCAAAACCCUAAACCCUAAAAAAAAUCCAUCUACCACCCAACCCAACUAUGGGCCAAAACCCUAAGCCCUAAGCCCUAAAAAAGUCUCAUCCUACCCAACACAACAAUGGGCCGACUCUGGACAUUGGAUAAUAACCUUGGAAGCCCCAGUGGAUGAUUGGGUCCAUUAGUAGCAGGCUGUUUUAUCAUGUUUGGGCUUUUUAGCCCACUUAUAUGUUGACCCACCACAGUGUCACAAAUGAACGGUCCUGAUCAAACUGUCCGUCUUGCUGUGCCCUAAGUCCUCCCCCCCCUCACUAUAUAUAAUCACACUCUCAGUCAAAACCCUAGCUCAGUACCUUCUCUUCUCACAUCUUCCACAGCCUCCAUCUCUGCCCCUCCCCACCUGCCCUUUUAAAUUUGAGAUUCACACUACAAUCCCAGGUUUAAUUUGGUCUUGAAUUUCUGUGUGUUCAUAAGAUUUCUGAUAUUCUUUUGUUCUGUCUUUUCAUCCGUUUUUUUUUUUUUAUGCUAGUAGUAUUCAGAAGGUAUGCCCAUGCCUAUGAUGGCGUUAAAUAUACUUUGAGAGUAAAUUCUAUGAAACAAAUUUACAUCUGAGGCAUGAGGAUUUGCACUUCUUUACCAAUUUUACUUGAUUUUUUACUGAAAUUACUAAUCUUUAUUUGUUUGUGGUUGAAAUCUUUGAUCUUUAUGCUUAAUUCUCAGCUUAUGUUUCAUGGGUGACAAGAAAGUUUGGUUUUUUAGGUAAUUAGAGUAAAAAUUGUGGGUGUUUGGAGUUGCAAAUGAUGAUAAAACAGACAGGGACAUCUGCACUCCAUUGGAGAUUGAUGACUAGUCUAAAUGGGAAUCUCUCUGAUGCAUUUGACAUUUUAUUUACUGCCAUUGAUUUGUGUUCUUGCAUGAUUCAUGAUUGUUUACUUCUGAUCCGCUGGAGAAAUUUUUAUGGGUACCGAGAACACGAGUCACGUGGUGUCUAUAUCUUUAUGUGAUUGCAUUUGAGGUUUUGUAUGAUUGAAUGUAGGGAGGUUUAACGAAACAACGAAACACUCGAUACUUUUCAUUUUUAACGAAAAAAAUCACAUUUAUACCUUUUCUCACUAUUCAUUUACAUCUUUAUUUGUUAUUUUUCAUUAAAACUAAAGUUUUUGAGGAUUUUUUCUUUGAGUGUAUUGCACGUGACGAUAAAACAGACAGGGACAUCAGAACUCCUUUCGGAGGAUGGUGAAUUGUCGAUGGGAAUCUCUCUGAUGCACUUAAUUAGUAUUGUUGUUAGAAUUUUAUGUUUUGCCAAUGAUGCAUUUCAAAUGCACGUAUUAUCAGAUAUAGAUAUGAUGAUAUAUGCUAAUAUUGUCACUACCUCUGAGGCAACAUCUGUUACUGCUUUCUUUGCUUGAAUUCUGUCGUUCGUAAGUGUUUCUUUGCAUAACGGUAUUCUGUUCUUCUCCCUUUUACGAGGAAGAUGAAUUGAACAUUGUGUUACAAAGUCUGAAUGGCAUUAUCUUUAGCGUAUGAAUUUGUUUUUGAAUGCCUGGUGAUUGAACAAAAGAACGGAGAUUUGAAGUAUUGCUUUUGUGGAAGCUCGACACUGUCGGGCUCCAAAAGCAACUUAUGAAAAAAUCGUUCACGCUGGAUAGUAUAUGAAGGCUUUCUCAUAAUUUUACAUCUUGUUUGCCAUUUGUCUGUCAAUUGUCUGUUUGCUGUUUGAGAACUUGUUUGAAUGUGCUUUUAAAAUGAUUGAAAGUGUUUUUGGUGAAAAUAUUUUUUGAACCAAUCUUUAGUAAAGAUGCAAGUAAAUCCUAGAAAAGUGCUUCUUGGAAGUGCUUUUGGAACCUAAAAACAUUUUCUUUAAAAACACUUUUAGUUAUUUUAAAAGCACGUUCAAACGAACUCUAAUUUUUUGUGAUUUCGUAGGGGUUUAUAGGCAUAUAACUUUUAGUUAAGCUUAAUUAAUCACAAGCUUUUGUCGUUCCUCUUCCCAAAUUAGUCUUAAUUCGAUCUUCCAUUGGGAAGUAAGGUGAUAAAAGUUUUCAAUUAGUUGAACUUAAUUAAAAGUUGGGAUUAGGUGAUGGUUGUUACAAUUAAAAAGGGUGAAUAUUCAAGAAUGAUUCAGAGUGCUGUUAUGUCUGUCUACUUAAUUCUGUUUUCUCGUGGCGGGGAAAAUAGGACAAGUGGGUGGGUAUAGCAGCAUUCUUGUUUUAUGAUUUAAGUUGAUUUAAGUUUUAGUUAUAAGGUUGGAGCGGAAAUAAGAGAGGUCGGGUGGACGUAACAGCAUUUAAUUAAACAAAUUUUCAUUUCAUCAUGAACAUUGGUAAGUUUAUGAGCUACUUUGACAGGAGGAGAAUGUUCCAGGGAAAAUUCAUUCUUAAUUUUUUUAGGGCAUCUUCUACCAUAGGCAUAAUUCAAGCUCUUUAAAUGAAGUCAUGAAAUAAGGUAAUUUUAGAAAAGUGAUUUUCGCACAUUUUUUUUAGUUUCAUUCAAACGUUUAUUUAUUUAUUGUCUUUUUUGUUUGUUUUGUUCAAUCAGAUGUUCAAAAAUAAAAAUGGUGUUUGAGAAGCUAAAAAGAGUGUGUGAAUAUCAUUUUUUUAAUUUUAUAGUAUUCCAAUUAUAUCUUAAAUAUUUACCCUUUUGUAAUAUAUUUAUGUAUAUUUUUGUUAAAAUGGUAUACUUUUGUUAUAGAGCUCCUAACGUGGAAAUAUUGAACCACUAGUAGAAUAUGGGGGUAAGCAAAAACGCUCUCUGUAUUACGUGAGAAAUUUUUAGAAUUAGAAUGUUGUGAUUUAUCUUGAUUUAAUAUCAUUUAGAAUUUGAAAUUGACAACUCGAGCAACUAACUGAACAAAACCGUAUGCGUUGGUUUUGUGAAGUACUUUUGAAUUUUGGGGACCAGUUUGCGGUUUUGAUUGUAAAUUUAAGUUGUGAAGUAGAUGUUUAUUAUUUAGUAUCACGGUUUAGUAGUAUUCAUCUUCAUUUGUAAAAGUGAAUUUUAACCACAUUAUUAUUAUUCUGUUGUGAUGUUUUUCAUUCGGGAAUAGAUGCUUGUUAGCCGCAAACCAUACCAAACCAAAUCAAACCGCGACAUUGCUUAACCGGUUACAUCGGUUUUAAGCCAUUGUGGUUUGGAAGUUAAGCAAGAUUGAAGCAAGCUGCUUGGUUUUUGUUUUGACCCAAAACUUAACAACCGAAUCGCGUCGUGCCCACCUUUAAACUGUCUAACGGUUACUCCAGGAUUUGACGGUUUAAAGGUGGGCACGGCGCCGUGCCCACCUUUAAGGAUUUAAGGGUUUAAAGGUGGGUUCGGUUGGUAAAUUUGACGGUUUAGAUGCCCUUUUCCAAUUAAAGGGUAAGAAGUUAAAAACUGAUGAUGAUUGGAUGUUGAUGGUAGUUAUUAGAGUGUAUAAUUACACAACAACAAAACAUUUGGAGGGUCAUUCAUUUGCUGGUAAAUUAUUGUGGGGGGAGAUUUUGUUGUUGGGGAAUAUUUCAAUUUUUAUGUAUAAUAAUGUGUGGGGAAAUAGUAUAUUAGAGGUUAUUUUAGGAAUAACUCGGUUUGGCUCGAAUCUGACGAAUCCCCUCUAACAUCGUUCGUCGGAGGUUAGGUUGUUGGUUUCGCAGAGUCGCCUGAAAUUGGGCUUGCUGAUUUGUCAACAUCCUCACUCGAUUUCUGAACUUCUUCUUCUCUGGUUUUUAGGGUUCCUUCGACUUGGCGUAUCAGACUUUUGAGCUUCUUCUUCUAUCAUCGUAAUUCUACAAGCCGCAUGCUCUCUCUCCCUCUCUGCUCGUUCUGUCCCCCUCCCCUCUCUCUCCCUGAGUAAAACCUGAGAUGCAAUGGCUGAAAAUUGCGUCUUAAGCCUGAGUGGCAUUUUUGUAAAUAAAGCGAAAGUUGGCUAAAAGCGUCCAAGUAGCAGUCUUGUAAAUAAACUGAAAUGUGGUUCAAAACACUGUUCAUUGGUAAAGGGCAAUUGAAAAGCCUUCUUUAGACUAAAGUAAUCGUCAGUAUAAAAAUAAUAUUUAAAUUUUUUAACAUUUUAUGGUAGGUGAGAUUAUAAUGUGGGUAGAAAAAUAAGACAAUGAUGUGGAUCUAACAUCUCUCUACAAAAUUAUCAAUUUGUACCAUAUCUAAUAGGAAUGUGCUAUCCACACAUCUCUUUUUACUUUUCAUACACCCCUUGUUAAUUUCUGUCUGUUGAUAUUCUUCAAUUCAUCAGAUCCGAUGGUCAAAAACAAAAAAUAUGUGAGAGAAGUAAAAAGGGGUAUGGAUAUCACAUCCCUAUCCAAUAACUUAUCCAAAUAUUUUAGAAAAUAAAAAUAAAUAUUUUAUCCAGUAACAUGGAAGCGGAAAAUAGAAACUGCAGGUUAUUCUGGAUUCCAUGAAUUCUGCAUGAUGAUUUUCCAAAUAUAAUCCUCCCCGGGACCCAUGCUGAGUAGGAUUCUGGGCCCAUCCACGUCAGUUCCACGUUAGGUGACCAAUCAGAAGUCGUUUGCCUCCUAUUUGCUUAUUUAAUUUUUUUGUUGAAAAACAUUUUCCAGAAUUUUCUAGAAUGUGUAGGGCACAUGAUCUUAUCCAAAUUGGUGGUUGCAUAGUACAAAUCACACUCUGUAAUUUAAUUUAUGUUCAUCGUCUGAAUCCAAAAGAGUACUAAUUUUAAUAUUUUCUUCUUUCUUUUGUGCUAGAUUCUUGUGUUUCCACAAAAAUGUCAUAUUUCAUGUGGUCAUGUAGUUUUGUUUGUUAAAAUGUGAUAUAAUUCUUUGUGGGGAUCGUUUCAAGUUGGCGGAACUAUUCAUGACUUAACUCAUUACCAAAUUCUCGCUCGUUAUUGUGACUAACCUUGAGGAUUUGUAAUAGAGAUUUUUUGAACUAAUUGCAAUCAAAUUAGAGCAUCUCCAAUAAAAUUAUGGAAAUUUAAGAGGUAAUAAUCACAAUUACAUCUCACUUUACAUUUCCGAGAUAUGUAAAUAUGAAAUCUAUUUUAAAACUCAUCGACUAUUGAGUUUCAUCUACUUUGACAGUGUUCAUAUAAGAAAAGACUUAAUUUAUUUGGUUCAUAUGAGAUAUUUUGAUGUCAUGGACGCCAUAGUAGAGUUGUUUUAAAGUCUGUCACGUUUUAGUUUCAUCGCUUGAUUGACUUAAAACACCAAGAUCAUAAUAUUCUGAGUGCAUAUAAGUUGUUUUCGGUUUCUAUUUAGUAUGACCUAACUUAUUCUACACCCCACGUUUGCCUCACCACAUGCCACCAAAUAAAUAGGCCAUUAAAAAAGGUGCUUGAUGUUUUCAUGUGAAACGGUUAUUAAGCUCAGACAAUUUUUAGGGAGUUGGAUGUUGAAAACAAUACAAACUUUGGCUCUCCAACAACCACAUUGAUUCAACCACUACGAGCUGGCUCAAUGGUUGGAGACGAAUUAUAGGUUCGUAUUUUACACAGUAUGUUCUGGGUUUAAUUCCUGAUGAUAGUGAAUUACACGAUGAUUGCUAUAAAAAGACUAAAAUACCUUUGUAAGUCUUCUCAGCUCCAGAAAUGAUGGAUUGCUGGCGACGCCACCAAUUGAUUUCCUUUUCUUAAAAUUAAAAAUAAAAAUAAAAGCUACCACAUGGAUUCCAAAAGGACAGAUAAUAAGCCAAAUCCAUGAUGCAAAGCCAACAAAAUUUAGCUAGUUGCCUACACCAUAACUUCACUUUCUUUGUCAAUAUUCAAGGGGCCACAAAUAAAAAAAAAAUCCACAUAAUGUUAUACCAACUGCCUAAUUGAUGCCCCAUAAAAUUUCUUUUUCAUUUUUUGAAUGAGUCAUGGCCUACUUAAUUGAAAGGAAAAAAAAAUGAUAACACCCUCGAACUUGUGACUUUCUUCCGAGUUCAAUUUACCCUCUUAAUGUUCAAUUUGGUUAUGAGUCUCCAUCAAUCUUAAAAUACAUAGCAAUUGGCCUCCAACCGUCGAGUUUUUAACAUUUGUAUAAGUUUUGCAACGGGUGCUAAAAAAAUACAGGGAAUUGUUAAAAAUACCCUUGGCUGGAGCAUGUGGUCAAAUCUCCUAGUGGAUAAGAUGUUGUGUUUCUACUGCGUUCUGAGUCUGAACAUCCCUUUCCUCUUAAUUAUUGUCAUAAUUUCGAACCCUCUAUCUUUCCUUAAUAAUAAUUUAGAAAAGAAAAAAAAAAACCCUAGCCGGAAUUAUUGACCAUGUAGGUUUGGGGCCUGCAAGAAGAUCAUUUGCCUCCUAUUUGCUUAUUUAAUUUUUUUGGUUAAAACAUUUUCCAGAAUUUUCCAGAACGUGUAGGGCACAUGAUCUUAUCCAAAUUGGUGGUUGCAUAGUAUAAAUCACACUCCGUAAUUUAAUUUAUGUUCAUCAUCUGAAUCCAAAAGAGUACUAAUUUUAAUAUCGUCUUCUUUCUUUUGUGCUAGAUUCUUGUGUUUCCACAAAAAUGUCAUAUUUCAUGUGGCCAUGUAGUUUUGUAACAUUUUUUUUUUAAAUGUGAUAUAAUUUCUUGUGGGGUUCAUUUCAAGUUGGCGGAAUUGUUCAUGACUUAACUCAUUACCAAAUCCUCGCUCGUUACUGUGACUAACUUUGAGGAUUUGUAACAGACAUUUUUCGAACUAAUGCAAUCAAAUUAGAGCAUCUCCAAUAAAAAUAUGAAAUUUUGAAAGGUAAUAAUCAUGGUUACAUCUCACUUUGCAAUUCCGAGAUAUGUAAAUAUGAAAUCUAUUUUAAAACUCAUCGACUAUUGAGUUUCAUCUAUUUUGACAGUGUUCAUAUAAAGAACAUACUUAAUUUAUUUGGUUCGCAUGAGAUAUUUUGAUGUCAUGGAUGCCAUAGUAAAGUUGUUUUAAAGUCUGUCAUUUUUUAGUUUCAUCGCUUGAUUGACUUAAAACACCAAAAUCAUAGUGUUCUGAGUGCAUAUAAGUUGUUCUCGGUUUCUAUUUAGUAUGACCUAACUUAUUCUACACCCCAAGUUUGCCUCACCACAUGCCACCAAAUAAAUAGACUAUUAAAAAAGGUGCUUGAUGUUUUCAUGUGAAACGUUUAUUAAACUCAAGACUACUUUUAGGGAGUUGGAUGUUGAAAACAAUACAAACUUUGGCUCUCUUACAACCAUAUUGAUUCAACUACAAGAUGGUUCAAUGGUUGGAGACAAAUUUUAGAUUCAUAUUUCACACAUUACGUUUUUGGGUUCGAUUCAUGACGAUAAUGAAUCACACGAUGGUUGCCAAAAAGAAGCUGAAAUACCUCUGUGAGUCUUUUCAACCUCAGAAAAGAUGGAUUGCUGACGACGCCACCAAUUAGUUUCAUUUUCUUAAAAUAACAAAAAAAUAAAAAAAAAUGAAAACUACCACAUUGAUUCCAAAACGACAGAUCAUAAUCCAAAUCCAAGAUGCAAAGCCAACAAAAUUUAGCUAGUUGCCAACACCACAACUUUUCUUUGUCAAUAUUCAAGGGGUCACAAAUUUAAAAAAAAAUAAAAUCCACAUAAUGUUACACCAACUGCCAAAUUGAUGCCCCAUGAAAUUUCUUUUUCAUUUUUUGAAUGAGUCAUGGCCUACUUAGUUGAAAUAGACAUGUAAACGGGUCGGGUUUAUUAGGUUUGGGUCGGGUUCAACUCGAUUCGUUAAGUUAACGGGUCAUCCGAACUCGACUCGUUAACCUAACGGGUCACCCAUUUCACCCGUUAACAAUUAUUAUUAUUAUUUUUUUUUGCAUAAAGUUUAUUUUUUUGUUAUUAAGACUUUACUAAAAUUACUAAAAUAUUCUCAACUAACGGGUGCUAACGGGUCCUAACAGGUCUAACGGGUUGACCCAAAGUGACCCGUUAUUUAACGGGUUGUUAACGGGUUCACCCGUUAAGCAUCCACCCAAAUACAAAUAUUAACGGGUUGGGUCGGGUCGGAUUAACGGGUUUGGUCCAAAAUGCCAGGCCUAAGUUGAAAGGAAAAAAAAUUGAUAACACCCUCGAACUUGUGACUCUCUUCUGAGUUAGAUAUACCCUCUUAACGUUCAAUUUGGUUAUGAGUCUCUGUCAAUCUUAAAAUACAUAGAAAAUUGGCCUGCAACCGUCGAGUUUUUCACAUUUAUAUAAGUUUUGCAACUGGAGCUAAAAAAGUAGAGGGGAUUUUUAAAAAUACCCCUAGCUAGAGCAUGUGGUCCAAUCUCUUAGUGGAUAGGGUGUUAUGUUUCUACUGCGUUCUGGGCCGAACCUCCCUCUCCUCUUAAUUAUUGUCAUAUUUUCGAAAACCACUCUCUUCCCUCAAUAAUAAUUUAGAAAAGAAACAAAAAAAAGACCUAGCCGGAAUUACCGACCAUGUAAGUUUGGGGCCGCAAGAAGAUCAUUGCAAGGACACAGUCAAGAUUGGCAUACAAAUUCGAAAGAAAUCAACAAGGAAGUUUGACAAAAAGCACUUUCAAGAAAAGCAUGCCCUGGUUAAUGCUAGGGUUUGAAUAGAUGACAAAUAGUUCUAGGUACCAAAAUCCAUAACAUCAUAUUCUAAUAGAAGUGGCAAGUUUGGAGCCAAACAAGCUUUUGAUCUGAUUAAAAAUAAUUAAUCAGAUUACAAUAUCCAAUCUAAAUAACAGAUUAACCAAACUAGGCAGGGCUCGAUGUAAAAAAGCCAGAGCCCCCUGCUUAUGGGAAAACCCAAAGUUAAAAGAUAUAUGUACAACAACACCAUGUAGGAAACUGCCCUAGAGAAGCUGCUUUUAAACUUUCACCAUGGAACUUUCUUCCUCAAGUUCUAUGAUGUGGCUUGCAUUGCCCCAAACACCGGAAAAAUCUCCGCUUUUCGUGACCAGAUCCUCCAAUCUUUCUUCCUUCAUGGAAGGCGAUGAUGUUGUUGUUAAUAUUUCACCUAUUGAAGCUAACUUUAGUAUCUCAGAUUCAUCUAACCCUUUCGCCGGCCCACGAUUACAACGAUCACCCCCGUGUUUUGCCAAUGCAUCUUUGAAUUUCUUAAUCUGUUAAACAAGGAAUUCUGACUCAGUUUCUUGAUCCACAAACAAUUUCGCUAAUUCAUUGCAAUUAAAACUCGAGAAAGAAGAUUGUGAUUGCAGGGAAUACUCACAGUUGCAUUGGUGCAGCUAAAGCUACACACACGACCAUCUGCACCUCUAUAGAAUCUAAAGAAGGGCAGCACAUGAAUGUUGAGAGCAUGGCACAUAGUCUUGUGCUCUUCAUAGUUAACUUUGAGGAAAAUCGCAUUCGGGUUCGAUUCAGCCAGCUGACAGAUCUGGUAAAAUGGACAACUCUUGGUCAACAAAUUUCACCAUAAUGUUUCAGAUUAAGGCCCUAACAAUUAAACCAGAAUGCCAUAAUUCCGAGGCGGAAUUAGUGGGCCGCUGGUCCGUCUCUCUGAAAUGCAUAAAUUGGUUGCUAAAACAUGAACGAAAAAUCAAAUAUAUAUACCUUGGGAUGGAGAGCUCUGCAGCCUCCACAACCAGGUGAGUAAAAGUCAACCACGACCAAUCUGUCUCCAGCAUUCUUCAAAGAAUCAACAAGUUCUUGAGCAGAAUGGAUCUCCACCAUGUUGGGGUGAAGGGUCUUCUCCCACCAUCUCAUUGCUCUGCUUACACACAGAGAUGCUUGUGCCUGAAAAACCAUAAAUUCCCAAUUUAAAAAAAAAAUCACAAAAAAAUAGAAAAAUGCGAUGGGGAACACAAAAAUCCAACAAAAGGUAGAAGGCAAAAGCUAAAAGCUAAAAGCAAAAAAGAGAGAAAGGAGAAAGCUUUACAUACAUGCACAGAGAAAUUGCUAGGUUUUGUGACCCUCCAAUUCUCGAAACCCUUAUGAUCUGAGAGAAUCAAGGGUUUUCCCAAGAAAUCAACACUCAAUGCAGGAAAAGCUCUUGAAUUUGCAUCCUUAAAUUGGGAGGUAGGAGAAACCCUAAAAUCCCCUUUGGGGGAUUUGGAGCCAACUGCAAUUUCAUCCAACCCAGAAGAAAUGCAGAAACCACUCUGUGAUGCAAAUGCAUUGGCCAUAUCAAAUCAAACGCCCUUUUCCGAGAUUUCACAGCGAAAACAAGAAAACCCACUCGAUCCUCUGCCUGAAACACCACUUUUUCGAAUCGAAACGGCCAAAAAAUGGAUUAAAAUUAAUCCCUUGCAACCAAAAUCUUCAAAAAAACUUGUUCUUUGAACAAAAAGAUGCCUCCUUUUUACUAAAAAUCUAAUUGACAGAGAGUUGUGCGUUUUUUGAAUAAUUGACAGAGAGUUGUGCGUUUUUUGAAAACUUGAGAGAGAGAGAGGAGGGAGAAGGAAGAAGAGGAGGAAAGGAAGUGGGGGUAUUUAGAAAAAAAAAAUUGAAACCGGGUGGGUGGGGUCUUUCUGAUAUGGAUUUUUCCUCUUAUCCAAAAGCUUUUUAAUUUUUAUUUUUAAAUAUUAUUAUUUUUUGGAUAAAUGACACAGAUUUAUAGCUGUUGUUUAUGUGUAAUUUACCGUCAUUAACGAGGAAUAUGCUAUGUUUUUCGGUUAAUUUUUUAGAUUUGAGUUGGCAAUUAUGUAAAAAUUGCUAUAUUUCGGGAAAAUGUUUGGUAGUCAAAUGCUCUGGUUUUGUGUGAAAAUAUUAAUUGGGAUAUUUCUCCACAAAAUUACGAAAGUGGAUAAAUUUGAGCAGCUGACUCUGUCUGCUUCAUCAAAUUUUGGAUAAUCUGAUUUAUCUUUUUAGCUUUCGUUUUACUUGCUGGAAUAGAUUUUAUUUUAUUUUAUUUUUUGACUUUUUUCUUUUUGAGAAUGCUAUCUUGGCUAGUAAAAUCUAUUUCUCUGUGAAAUUCUUACUAUUUAUUUUUAUUAAAAAGUUCUGUUUUUGAUUAAAAGAUGCAUAUCAAAAUUUUCUUUUUGGGGCUCUUCAAAUUUAAGGCCUUAUGAGAUUACACAUUUCGCUUUCCCUCAACGCCCCUCUGCAUCUACGCUAGCAAAAGAAAACAUGAGAGCAUUUGAUCGUAUGUGUAGGGUAGAUUAACUUCAUACAUAAUUAUUCGAUCAUAUGAAAACAUGGGAUCCUCACGAAUGCUUUCUGUCUUUUUAUAAUUACCCAAUAAUGUUCCUUAAUAAACAAAAGAAUAUGAUGAUGCUUUGUGGUCAGUCUCCUGCUUAGGGCUUAAUCAAUGAUGAUAAAUCUUGAUCAAAUCGCAGCAUUUAACAACUCCAUGAUCAUAAAAUACGUGUUAAACAUUAAAUUAAUACAAAAUAUAUACUGCAAACACACGAUGGACGCACUAGGGUUUGAGAUGCAGAUGAUAUUUUUCCCAUUAAAAAUCAUGGGUGCUGAGUCAUGGUACAAAGGCCUAAUCCGAUCCCUAAUCAAGGGAAAAAAGAAAGAAAACCAAGUUCUAAUUAAAUUACUUUACUGAGUUUCCUAGGAGUUCCAAGCUCUGCACUUUACUCAACUGAAGUCUCUUGGAACGCAAGUCAGUUUUUGUUCUUUGUUUUUUUGGUCAAAUAAGUCAUCAGUUGUUGGAUUAAGAGAUUAUUGAUUUUAUAUUUAGUUGAAAGAGAACAAAGAUAAAUUAAGUAAAUGAAUAAUUUCAAUAAAACAAAAUAGAGACCAUGUGUAUAGACAUUCCGAAAUUCAACUUUGAUGAACUUAUUUUUUGACACGAUCAUUUAGACUUUAGAAUUUAAGUAUCAAAAUUUGGACUUAAACCGCAAAUUGGAAGCUCGAUUAUGUACUGUAAAUGAUCAAUCAUGUCAAGUAAGAACAAACUGAAAAUAUUGUAUAUAGAGAAACAUUAAGGAGACUCCCUUAAAAGUGGGACUCUCUAAGUAUUCUUUGUCACCUUGUAGUUUAAGAUCAAUUUCAGUGUCAACAUUAUAAAACAUUUUGCUAAAAACAUGAAGUGUCAGAAAGUCUAUAGAAAAUCAUGUUUUUGAGAAAAUCUCCUUAUCAUUUCUUUGGUAUAUAUUCAUUUCACUUUAUCCAAGUUUACAAAUUAAUUGAGGAUCCCCAUCCCCAAAACAAUUCCAUUUAAAUGGCAAAUCGGAGUUGCAGGCAGUAGGAGAAAUUUUUCAGUGUGUUGGAAACACGAUAUAGUACACCAAGUGUCAUAAUAUAAGUGGUUGAAGUUUUUUUUGGGGUGUGAUAUCCACACACCCCCUUUUACUUCUCAUAGACCCUUUUAAUUUUCGACCGUUGGAUCGGAUGAAGUGAAGAAGAUCAAUGGACAAAAAUAAAAAAGGGGUGUGUGAGAAGUAAAAAGGGGUGUGUGGAUAGCACACUUUUUUUUUCUUUUCAAGUAUCCAACUACUUGUAUUGUGAUAAUGUACAAGACCGUGUUUAUGGCACACUGAAAAAUCUCUCCAAAGACAGAGUAGGACCAAAAACCCACAUAGAUUAUGGGAGUGUCAUGCAAGAAAGUUGGCUUGGAUAUUUUUCGUCUGGAUGAUAUUUGCGUGACAAUGAGAGCACCUGGAAUUCUAGAUGAUGGAUUAAGUCCACCACAUCUGCAUGUGCUUGCGAUCUGUUUAUUUCAGUUCAUGAACCUCCUUGGAUAAUUGGAUUGCUUGAUAAAUAGGCUAGAAUUUUAUGAUAAUAUUUUUAAUUAUUUGCCCACAGAUUUUGGACCAUUUUUUGUGUGCUGAAAGGUAGGGUAGCCCAUAGGUUGUGAUUUUGGAACACUGGUUUGCAAGAAAACCAAGGGAAAAGGCUAUCUUCUAGAACAAGUCCAUGAGUUUUGGAACUGUUUUUUGAGUCCACACUAAGCAAAGAAACAAGAGGCAAAUCAGUGUGCAGUAUUGUUCUCCAUAACCCUAAUAAUCCAAUAAUCCAUCAAUCCACCGGGUUCGAUUUUACAACUUACUAAAUUUUUACUGAUUUUUUAUAUUUUUUCUUAGUUCUCGAUGAUGAUAUGGACUUGCAUGCAACUGAGACAUAGAGGUGACAGUAUCUUAAAUGGAUUAUGUAAUGCCAUGUGGAUAAGUUAAAACACAUGACAAUGCAUGAUAAGUUUGAGAUAUUGUUAUUUUCCCGUCUCAAUUGCAUGUAAGUUUCCCCCUAACGAAAUCACCAGGACUGUGAGGUUUUAGUGUUAAUUAGCUAAUGAAUUGCUCUGUACCAAAUACAGCCAUUGUUCGUGUGUCGUUAAAAUUGUUGAUCGUAUCCUUCCAACAUCGAAGGAUGAAGGUUUAGCUUAGAGCUUAAAGAUUUUGAGCAUUUUCCCUUAUUCUCAAUUAGUUUUGGAUUGAAUGCUCACAUUCUAACAAAAAUCGUCAUCGGAUUCAACGCAAAGGCAUAACAUUUGACAAAGGUCUUGGCACGCAGCCUGACUGCUGAAUUCAUGACAGUUAAAUUGCAACAACUUCAUCAUAAUCUCCAAAAGUUGGUGUUUCUUUUCAUGAGAAUUUAUCUAUAUUCAAACAUGGUAUAUAUACAAUAACGUCCGGAUGUUUGAAGGCCUGGAAGUGGAACUGUGGAAGAAUAUUAAACAAUGCAUGAUGAUUCACUUGACAAGCUCCUCCUUCUUGCCAGCCUCUUCCAACUCUCUUAGACUUCCAACCUUCUGCUCUAUCUCCUCAAUCAGCUCCUCCCUCCACAACUCUGCUCUUGCUGAUUCUUCUAUGUCUUCUUGCUGCAAUAAACAGUUCCCAAAGUUGGUCACUAAACAAUGAGGAACAAAGAAAAACACUCUAUCUGGUUGAAAGGCCCGACAAGGUUUUAAUCAGACAACUCUUUACACAUGAUCCUCUAUAUGCUUCAUUCAUCAAAUAAAUAUCAUUAUUCACUAAAAAAAAACCCUUAGCAACUACUAAUGUCGAGUGCAAUAACAGUCGGGUUUAGGCGGGGCUUUUCUUCAAAAUGGUCAUUUAAGUGUUUUUUUUUUCUUAAUAAGAAAUGGAGUUUUGAGGAGCUUAUUUGUGAGAGCCCUUAAAACUACAGCUAGCUUGUGUUAUCCUCAUUUUCUUCACCUCUCUGGCGCUUAUCUCAAAUGAAUUAUGUAAUGUCAUGUGAGUAAGUUAAAACACAUAACAACAUGUGAUAAGUUUGAGGUAUUGUUAUUUUUCUGUCUCAAUUGCAUGUAAGUUUUCCCCUAAUGAAAUCACCAGGAUUGUGAGGUUUUAGUGUUAAUUAGCUAAUGAAUUGCUCUGUACCAAAUACAACCAUUGUUCGUGUGUCGUUGAAAUUGUUGAUCGUAUCCUUCCUACAUCGAAGGAUGAAGGUUUAGCUUAGAGCUUAAAGAUUUUGAACUUUUUCCCUUAUUCUCAAUUAAUUUUGGAUUGAAUGCUUAGGCAAUCUCCAACCGAAAGAGGGCCAAAGGGCUUCCUUCCUUUAGCCCUAUAGCUCUGUAAGAAAUUAUAUUUGAAUGAAUAGUGCUAUGCCAUAUUAAAGAAGGCCAAAGGGCUUCCUUUAUUUGGCUCUAUAACCCUGCAAGAAAUUAUAUUUUAAUAAACAAUGCUAUGCCAUAUUUUAUACCAUCUUCAACCAAGGGAGCCAAAGAGCUAUAGGCCAAACAUAACAUUUUGACAAAAAAUCAUCUCUAACCGAGGGGGCCAAAGAGACAUAGGCCAAACAUAAUUUAUUAUUUUAAUUAAAUUAAUAUGGUUAAUCUCAAUAAUUUUUUUUAUAGUAUUUCGAAUUGCACGUGUCUCUAACGUGAGUAACUCUCCAGAUUUCUUAUCUUUAUGUAAUCUCAAUAAUUUUUUGGAUAGAAUUUUGAGUGACACGUGUCGCUAAAGUAAGUAACUCUUCAGAUUUCUUAUCUUUAUGUAAUCUUAAUAAUUUUUCGGAUAAGAUUUAGUGUCACGUGUUGAGAUGUAAUUGAUGUGCAAAUUUUAAAUAGAAUUCUUAUCUACAUGACACUUCUUAUCUUUAGUUUUCAAUGUUGUAGGUAUUUAUAGGAAAAAAAAAAUUAGAUUUUUUUAUUUUAAUUUCUUCCAAAAAAAAAAUUCAAAUUCCAACGGUAACUUGACGGCAUGACGUUAGCUAGUUGGCGUCAUGUUGACGCCAGGUAGCCGUUGGCAUUCAAAUGGGCUGAGCUGGAGGGCUGGCAAAAUGUCAAGCUUGACAUUCUGGCGCUGGAGGGCUGGCUGGAAAUGGCCAGCCCGUUGGCCUGAUUUUGGGGUUCAGGCCUAGUGGGGCCCACAAGCUCUUUGGCAUAGCCUUUGGUUGGAGACGGUUUUCGUAUCAUUCCGAGCUAUUUUUAGCCUUAUAGCUCUUUGGUUGGGUUGGUUGGAGAUGACUUUACAUUCUAACAAAAAUCGUCAUCGGAUUCAACGCAAAUGCAUAACAUUUGACAAAGGUCAUGGCACGCAGACGGACCGCUGAAUUCAUGACAAUUAAAAUUGCAACAACUUCAUCAUAAUCUCCAAAAGUUGGUGUUUAUUUUCAUGAGAAUUUAACUAUCUACAAACAUGGUAUAUAUAAAUACAAUAACGUCUGGAUGUUUGAAGAGCUGGAAGUGGAACUGUGGAAGAAUAUUAAACAAUGCAUGAUGAUUCACUUGACAAGCUCCUCCUUCUUGCCAGCCUCUUCUAAUUCUCUUAGACUUCCAACCUUCUGCUCUAUCUCCUCAAUCAGCUCCUCCCUCCACAACUCUGCUCUUGCUGAUUCUUCUAUGUCUUCUUGCUGCAAUAAACAGUUCCCAAAGUUGGUCACUAAACAAUGGGGAACAAAAAAAAAAAACCCCUAUCUAGUUGAAAGGCCCGACAAAAUUUUAAUCAGACCACUCUUUACAUCUGGUCCUCUAUAUGUUUCGUUCAUAAAAAAAAUAUCAUUAUUCAAUAAAAAAAAAGACCCUUAGCAAUUGCUAAUUUCAAGUGCAAUAACAGUCGGGUUUAGGCGGGGCUUUUCUUCAAAAUGGUCAUUUAAGUGUUUUUUUCUUUCUUAAUAAGAAAUGGAGUUUUGAGGAGCUUUUUUGUGAGAGCCUUUAAAACUAUAGCUAGCUCGUAUUAUCCUCAUUUUCUAUGCUUUUGAAUAAUCUAUGACCUGAAUAUCUAAUCUAAGCUAACUCAAAAGUGUGGAAAUAAUGUUUGAUACACAUAAUUUAAGUAAUAAUUAAGGGUUAAAUACCUUCUCAUAAAUCCAGAAUCCAGUGCCAUCCCCUCCAUCUCCUCUAUACGUCUCUGAAUCAUAGUAUGGAUCCUGAAAACAUUCCCCAACCUUUCAGAAUAAUCUCUAAACUAAUGAAAUUAUAUAAUCUAAUUAAAUUUUGAAUAUAAAAAACAAAUUGAAGUGAGAGUAGCUAAUUAAUUACCUUCAUGGAACCAAAGAACAAGCAUCCCCAACAAGUGAACAUGAUGUAAAAAGUAUCUACAAAACAAAAAAAAUUGUCACAAUUUUCAAGCAUUCCCAAUUAAAAUCCACCACAAAUUACACAAAAACUAAUAAAAAAUUAAUUAGGAAAUACAAUACUUACAGACAUUCUUUAUGUUUUCAUCACUGAGAUGCACGAUAGAUUUGUGGGUUAUGAGGUCUCUCUGGCCUUCUAUGUGUUCCACAAGAACUGCCAUUAGAGGCCAGUCUGGGAAAGCAUUUGUUCUGCAGAAAGAGGCUCUUUUGCUUUUUUUCCCUACGAUCUAUAAAACCAAAAUAUAUUAAUGCAGUAAAUUUUUUUAUAAAUUCAUGAAAAGUUCAUUUUUUGGGGACAAAAAAUUUACAAAGCUGGUUAAUUACCUGCUUGCACCCACUGAAAAGUUCAGAGCUUGAAGACUGCCUAAGCUGCAAAAUAAAAGUACUCAAAAGCAUUUCCGUGGAUAUGCACCAUUUUUAUUUUACAAGACAACACACUAAACUACUCUAAUCUACAUGGGGGAGGGCGCGGAAACUGUUUGUGUUAACUGACUUAACUCACGUUUGUCCAUAUAGCAUUUCAAACAUAACAAGACAAUUUGCAGUACAAGUGAUUAACAUAAGAGAAAAGUUGAAUUUUUACAAAUCUGGUUGAUGAGCAACUCAUGUCCAAUUUUGUUGUUUGGAGAGAAGAGCUGUGAAUAUGUGGAGUGGUAAUGGUGAAUCCCAUGAUAGCUUUUGCCAUUGUCUUCCAAUGAGUUUGAGUUCAGAAGAUGCACUUCCAAAUUGGUUUGUAAGAGUUUGGGUUGCAAAUUUUGUUUUCAUUGGUUUGGAAGGAAAGUGGAUAAGAGAACCAUUUGCAACCACCCUUCUGAUGCGGUUGUAGCCAUAUGAAAAUUUUAGAUUUGCAAUAAAUAAUAUAGUUUAACAGAAAUUAUCAACUGGCCUAUUAGCUCAGCUGGUUAGAGCGUCGUGCUAAUAACGCGAAGGUCGCAGGUUCGAGACCUGCAUGGGCCAUAUUUUUUUCCUGUUUUAGUUUCUUUUUUUUUGUAAUUUCGUUGCAUUUUCAUUCACCUUCCCAAUCUGUUUUCUAGGAAAAUCCGUCCAUUUUCCCGGAAAAUUUCAUGGGGAGGACCGGAUUGUUCGAUCUGGAACGGCACUUCGCCUUCUACGGCGCUUAUCACAGCAACCCAGUUAACAUUUUGAUCCACACACUGUUUGUGUGGCCGAUUUUCUUCACCUCUCUGGUUCUCUUCCACUUCACACCUUCUCUCUACAGUUUCCCAAAUGGGUUCUGUUUGAAUUUUGGGUUUGCUCUCACUGCGAUGUAUGCUACUAUGCUGGGUUUUAUGUGUGCUUGGAUAAGAAAGCUGGGUCUGUUGCUGCUCUGCUCUGUGUUCUCUGCUGGGUUCAAUCCACCCGCUUGCUAGCCGUCUUGGGUUUUCUUUGUCAUGGAAGGUAAAGCUGAAAGCUCUCUCCUUUUUGCGAUUUCCGGGUGAUGAUUUUAUGGUUCUAAGGAUUUGGAUUUUGAGUUCGAUGGAAUGGUUUUCUAACAUUUUAAUCUGAUUAAUUUCCUCUCUUUUUUAUGACAUUAAGUUAGGGUUGCUAGGAGGAAUUCUGUUAGUUUUGUUGAUCAAUUUGGACAGGAUUCUCUCCGAAUUCCUUCAUUUUAAUACAUCAAGUUCGGGGAGAUGGACUGUUAAAAUUUGAUCUAACGGUUAAAGUUAUUAUAACUUUUAAAGUGGAUUUCUAUUUGUAACCGUUAGAUCAAAUUUCAAUGGACUGGAUCCCUGGACUAUAACUUUUAAAGUGGAUAUCUGUUUGUAGCCGUUGGAUUAAAUUUCAAUAAUCCGGAUCUUGAACUUGAUGGAUUAGGAGGAAAGAAAGAAGACCCUGUCCUAUUAAAAUUUGACUUGAUAGGACUAGUUGUCCCACAUCGGAAAAAUAACAAAUCUCGGAGUGGUUUAAGAUCUCUUGGGCACCCCUUUGCCGGUUUUUAGGGGCAAGUUCUACCCACGGUGUCUUCACAGAAUUUCGAAUGCAGUCCUAGUUGGGUGAAUGAUUGAAAAUUCUUGUCCACGAAGUUUAUGUUUUACAGGAUGUGAAUGUGUUGUGUGGGGUUUAGGGUUUUGGAGGAGGCAAUGACUUUGAAUGGAAGGGCCACUUGGAUGAACUAUGCCUUUCUGUCCAUCAAGAGAUGUACGUCUCUGGUUCGUGUGUUGGCUUCGGAUGGGCUUCUUGUCCUCCUCUAUAGGUCUCUCCGGUGAUGGUCAUGUUUGUCUAGCUCUGGUUCGGACUUUAGCUUCUCCGGUUUUCCCUGUUCUGGCGCCUUUGCCUAGCUUUGUUGUUUUUCAAUUUCCUAAUUCUAUGAGGAAUCACUUGUUCAGGUUGUGUUGGCUGCUCAGUUGUUCUGUUGGACUGGACAGUUCAUAGGCCACGGGGUUUUUGAGGUAACUGAGAUUUUGUAAUACGCAUUGUGCCUGUGUUCCUGACGUAGUAUACAUCUCACGAUAAUCAUUUUCGUGGUUGAAAGCAACAAAAUGUGUAUACAUACCUGACGAUAACAUAUCUUUUCAGAAACAAGCACCAGCUCUUUUGGACAACCUUGUUCAAGCGUUUCUAAUCGGUCCUUUCUUUGUGCUGCUUGAGGUAACGAAUCUAAAUCCUUUCUGAAUCGGAGAUGGUUUCUCUUGUUGAUGAUGGGUCAGUCAUGUUACAGUUGCAUUGUGCAGUGUCUUCAAUUGGUAUUCGGCUACGAACCUUAUCGAGGUUUUCAUGCAAGCGUGGAAGAAAAGAUAGAAGCUCAGAUCAAAGAGUGGCAGGACAAGAAACAAAAGAAAAUCACUUAGCUUAGAUAGGUUAUAUCAGACUGUAACCCUCUGUAAAGAAUGAGAUUAUGUAUAAAUCUGUAUCCGUAUUUGCCGAGUAUUGUACACCUUACCAAGCUCUGGUUUUGGCACUCCCUUUUCCUUCAUUGGUUCUCUCUUAUAAGAGCAUCCCCAAUGAGGGCUUUAUCCUCCAUCAGGCUACUACAUUUGAAACGCUAGUGAUAAAUCUCAGCAAAAACAAAACAUCUUUUUAGAUGGAAUGCUAUAAAACUUUCGAGACUUUAUACAGAACGCCGAAGUGAAAGUGGUCAUUUCGAAACGAUCUCUGACCUUUAAACCAGGCUAUUACCAGGCUCUGGUUUUUGAACUCCCCUGUCAAUCAUUGAUUUUCUCACUCGUAUAACUUCGUUCCAUUCGCCUGAACUUGCGUACAUGUUCGAUAGAAGAACGUAGUCGCUGCUGUGAUCUGGUUCCAGCUCCAAAAGAUGACCCCUCACCUUUUCUCCGAGCACAAUAUCACCGUGCAGCCGACACGCUCCCAACAAUGUCCUCCAUGUAACGGCAUUACACUCCAUCGGCAUGUUUUUUAUCAACCUGUAAGCCUCCUCCACGUACCCGGCUCGCCCCAACAUAUCCACCAUGCAUCCGUAGUGCUUCAUGGUUGGUUGGAUACGAUACUCCUUGCUCAUAACAUCAAAAUACCUUCUUCCUUCAUCAACCAUCCCUCCAUGGCUACAAGCACACAAAACUCCCAAGAAAGUUACUUCAUCCGGCAUCCCAAGCUUUUCCUUCAACAUCUUCGAGAACAAUUCCAAUGCAUCGUCUGCAUGCCCAUGCGUUGCAAGCCCCAGAAUCAUCGUGUUCCACGACACUAUGUUCUUCCCCUUCAUCUUACAAAACGUCUCAUAUGCUUCUUCAAAAGCUCCGCACUUUGCAUACAUGCCGAUAAGCGAAUUAGUCACCGUCACACUGCUGCUAAGAUUCAAACGAUUAAUAAAAGAAUGAACUCUCCUCCCAAAAUCUAAUGCACCCAAUGUAGAGCACGCCGAGAGGGUCAAAACCACCGUGGCGUCAUCAGGUUCUGUGCCACUGUUUACCAUCUGUAAAAACAAGUCAAGUGCUUCCUUACACUUUCCGCAAUUGACAUAACUAUCAAUGAUAGUAUUCCAAGCCACUAAAUCUGGUUGAGGCAUUUCAUCAAACAGAUUGAACGCAGUUUGGUCAUCCUUCAACAUCCCAUACAUAUGAAUGAGAGUGUUCCUUACAAAGACAUGAGACUCCAACCCAUGCUUCAGAGCAGCACAAUGCAUCUGUUUCCCCAAAACGUAAGAACCCAAUUGCCCACAAACCUUGAGCAAGAAGGAAAGUGUGAAAUUAUCAGCCACCUUUCCAUUCUCCUGCAUUCUCUUAUAAAACUCAAAUGCCCUUUCAGGCUUCCUGGUCUUCCCAAACCCUCUGAUCAUUGUGUUCCACAAAAACCCAUCCGGGCUUUCAACGCUUCUGAAAACAGAGACGGCAUAGUCCAUGUCUCCGCGGUCCGAAACCGCGCAGAAAGAGACGAUCUUGCCAAGAACGUUUUGAUCAAGCCCUUUGUGGAUUAUGUGCCCAUGGAUUUGCUUUACAUGUUUCGUGGUGGUGCAUUGCUUGAAAAGGGACAUAACCCUGUGCACCUUUUGAAAUAUGGCAUCGUGCAUUGAGGUCUUUUACAAAUUACAAGUUUUGGGAAGCGGUAGGGAAGAUUGACUGUCUUUCUUUGGCUUUGGCUACGGAGUUUUUGAAUUUAGGCGCCAAAGGUGGUUAACGGUCAUAAAGUAAACGGACUGCAAAUUUUUCUUGGAGAUUUCAUAUUUUAAUGGUGCGAGAACAAAGUUACAAAUCCAGCCAACCAUUGCAUCAAAUAGCAGAUUUGCAGAAAUCUCUGAAACGGUAACAAAGGUUUGGUUGAGGCCAUUGCGUUCUUGGACCUUCAACUUUUGAUGGACCCUGUUCUCUUUUCUCUUUUGGGCUUCUGAAAACUGGUUUUGGACCAAAAACGAAUAAAAAAGAAUACAUAACAUCACGUGUCAAAUGAUGAGAUAGAGAGAGAGAUGUUAAAGAAAUUACAUAUAAGCUACUAGCCUACAUUGGAGCGAUAUUCAUUUUCACUGGUAAAUAUGAGAUCUCCUUUUUGACUCUUGUCAUGUGGAUGGUGAGUUUGAUAACUAUGACAGACCCAUUUUGUGACUUAUCUCAAAUCUUCCCCCUCUAGCAGAAUAUUGGGUCUAAAAAUAGAAGAGAUUAUAUCGAAGAAUUUCUCUAGAAAGAGAUUACAGUUUCUUAAGCAAUACUAACACCACCUCGUUUCAUGUGAAGACAUAGAUAUUAAUAGUGGAUAUCCUUAGUUGCACGCAAGUAUCACACUGUAAAGGGAUUAUAGUUCACUAAUGCACAACAGCUCUUAUUGUUGUUAAUUUUAUCGAUGCACAGUAAAAAUUACACCAAGCAUCACACUGUAAAGAGAUUAUCUUAAACCCUAAAUUGACAGUCCACAAUAAGCAUCACCAGUUAUGUGUGUGUGGUUACAGUUUUACCUUUUCCUUUUUCAGACGAGUACUUUGGAUUUACUUUUUCCUUGUUUGGAUGGAUGCUUUUCUGUUGGACUUGAAAGAAAGUUUAAUUUUGCAUGUCAAACUCCAAGCUGCUGUUAGAUGAAAAGAAUGAGUGGGUGGUUUCUGAACUAUCUUCCUUGUCCUGAAUUGAUAUUGCUCACAUGGGACUGCUUUAAAAGAUAAAUGCAUUCAUCUCAAUUAGGGUUUGCAGUUGUGGUGUCUGUGAAAAAAAUAGACUAUAUAUAUAGGGACUGUGAGAGCCAUUCAGAAUGGCAAUGGAAAAACAAAUUGAUAGCUUCCCCUGAAUAUAAAUAUAUAUAUAUAUAUAUAUAUAUAUAUAUAUAUAUAUUGACUGAUACAAAGCAAGAAGAACACCUGGAAAAAGUGUACUCAAUGAAGCCACACAACUCAAAUGGCCAUUUCUACUGUGGCUUUUUUAACAUUUAUGAGCUCCAGUUGUGACAUUGCCCAAGAAAAACGCCUUCCUACCCACAUGCCCAAAAGAGCUUUUUAGCUCUGUUGGUGUGUGUAGAAGAAGCUCACAAGUGCUUUUGUAUUUACUCAUUCCUUGUUAGCUAGGCAGUGUUAGGUUGUUUCACACAUGGGAUUGUGCUUGAAAGCCAAAACAAACUGAUUGAAAUUAUCUGGCUUAAAGUUGAGUAUAAUUUCUUAGUGGCUAAGUGGACAAAAGAAGAGAAAAAGCAUAGUUAUUUUAUUUUAUUUUUAUUUAAGCGAUAUUCUAAUUUGACUUAAACUAAAUUAUGACAGAGAUUCAAACUUUAAUAUAAUUAAUUAAGGAGAAGUGCAUUACUCUAGCAAACUUGGCUCUUUCCCAAGUUUACAAAUUAGUAUUUUAGUAUAAACGUAUCAAUUAGAUCUAUGACUAAUUAACUGUAUCAAUUAGACCUACGGCUGUACUUUCUUGCAUGCAUGCCAUAAUGGGGUAGGAACCGGCCUCCUUUUAUGGCAAUCUGUGUAAGACAAUUCAAGUUCAUGGAAGCUGAUCUUCUUCUAUAAUUGACUUUGGCUUUGAUGAAUUAUUGAUCACUUUAUGUCUUCAUCAAUCAUAAUUAGAGACCAAUUGCUAUAGCUUUUACUUCAAGCAUGAAAUGCAUAUGAAGCCAAUCUACAUUUAGACACACUUGGAAUCAUUUAGAUUAGUUUAAUUCGAUGUGGUUCAUCCUGCCUAAUCUUGGGAUUAAAAAGCUAGGUUUAGUCGGCCGACAAAGUCUAUAUUAUAAUAAUUCAGGGCUCGUUUGAUAACGUGUUAAAAAUUAAAACUAAAAAGGUGAAUGAAAAAAAUAAAUAAAAACCAAUUAAUUAGCGUCUCUCUACUUUGUUCAAAAACAUCAAAAGUUUGAAUUUUCUGUUCUCAAAUCAAACUGAAAAUUAUAUAUAUGUACUGUUCCAUUGUGGGGGUACAUUUGAAGGGUUAUACAUUUUCUUAGUCUCUAAUACCUGUCUCGUGGAAUAAUAUGGACUUGAAACCCUAGGCAUAUAAACUUUUCAUCACAUCAAGGUUGGCUAAUUAUUGAUUAUUCUGUGAUUGUUGGCUUCAUAUGCUUUGUUUCAUUACUUUAUAUGUCGCGAAUCACAAUCUCUUUGGUCACCUUGUCCAACCACACCUCUAUAUACACUUGAAAUAUAUAUGGUACCCCACACAUUGCAAUUAUUAGAGAUUGUUGCCAAUCUCUUGAAUGUAAUUGCGGCCAUUAUAUAUUAUGGUAUUUACAUUUUAAAAUGUUUUGAUUAGAUGAUUACAAAGUUAUAAUAUAUUCACGACAGUGGCGGCUUUGGGGAGUGCCAAAGGAGCAGUUGCAUAGCCCCCAUCUCCAAGGUCCACCAACUUUUAGUUAUAUAUAUGCCACUUAGUAUUACGGUCUAGUGGUAUUUCUCUUCACUUGUAAGUGAGAGAUUUUAAGUUCGAUUCUCGCCAAAGGCGAAUUUGAACCAUAUUAUUGCUAACUCAUUGUGAGGCUAAGUCCACCCCUUCCCCUUUAGUGUAGAUAAUAUUAUUUGUUCAAUAUAUAUAUAUUUCAGUUCUAAUGUCUCUAUUAAAAAAAAAAUCUAUAUAUGCAUAACUUAAUUAAGUACAAAUUUGAAAAAUAUCCGAAGUUAUUUUCUGUUUUGGAGAAUACUAUAUCUUAUAAUAUAUUGUUUAGUAUUGUGUUACAAAGUUGACUUUCAUACUAAGUUUCGUACUCAUAAAUAUACUGUAGAAGAAAAAAAAAUGUUUUAAACACCCAAAAAAAAAAGUUUCGUAUGUGAAAGUGCCCUAUUUUAAUUUUCGCACAAAACCCUUGAAAUCUCAGAGCCGCCCCUAAUUCACGAUUAGUAUGAAUUAUAAUAUAUGUGCAUGUGUAUUGAUACACUACUACAAAAAAUACUUUGCACGACGAAAUAAGAUUUGUUGCGCAAAGUAUGAUUUCUUUGCUCAAAACCUUACGAGACAAAAAUUUUGUUAUGCAUGAUUAGUCGCACAAAGCUUGUUACGAUAGGGUUUGCAUGACGAAAAUAAAUAUUCAUCGCGCAAAGUUUUUGGUUUUUUAUUUUUUUUAUUUAAUUUAAUUAAUUUAAUAUUUUGUGCGACGAAAUUAAUUGUUUGCGAGACGAAAUAUUUUGUUGAGCAAGUUUUUUUUUAUUUCUCUUAUUUUAAUUUAAUUAUAGUAAUUGUUUACGCGACGAAAUAUUUGGUAGCACAAAAUUUUUCGAAUUUUUACUUUUUUAAUUUAAUUUAAUUGUAUCUUUAUUUUUUCAUUACUUUAAUUUAAAUUGACAUAUUCAAAAUAAAAUUACAUAUGAAAAAUAGUAAUCAAAUUAUCCAUAAUAUAUAUUAUAUUAAAAAUGUACACAUAAAUUACCAAAGUACAAUAAUAAAAUCCUAAUACAAGUCUAAUGUGGUGGUAGUGGCAGGGGAUAUGGACCGAUAGUGUCCUAAUCAUCAACUUUCGCCAUCAAAGUCUUGACGAUUCCCUACGAAACAAAACAAACAUGGUCAAAUAACAAAAAAAAACAUAAAAUAAUCCCAAAAAAUCGGCAUAAUCUCUCCUAAAAUUGGCAUACCCCAAAUCCAACCAAACUCCACCCCACACCAAACUCAAUUAUUUAACUCCAAAAACAUAUAUUACAAACAACAACAACAACAACAACAACAAAGCCUUUUCCCACUAAGUGGGGUCGGCUAUAUGAAUCCUAGAACGCUAUUGCGCUCGGUUUUGUGUCAUGUCCUCCGUUAGAUCCAAGUACUCAAGUCUCUUCUUAGGGUCUCUUCCAAAGUUUUCCUAGGUCUUCCUCUACCCCUUCGGCCCUGAACUUCUGUCCCGUAGUCACAUUUUCGAACCGGAGCGUCAGUAGGCCUUCUUUGCACAUGUCCAAACCACCGAAACCGAUUUUCUCUCAUAUUUCCUUCAAUUUUGGCUACUCCUACUUUACCUCGGAUAUCCUCAUUCCCAAUCUUAUCCUUUCUCGUGUGCCCAUACACAUCCACGAAGCAUCCUCAUCUCCGCUACACCCAUUUUGUGUACGUGUUGAUGCUUCACCGCCCAACAUUCUGUGCCAUACAACAUCGCUGGCCUUAUUGCCGUCCUAUAAAAUUUUCCCUUGAGCUUCAGUGGCCUACGACGGUCACACAACACGCCGGAUGCACUCUUACACUUCAUCCACCCAGCUUGUAUUCUAUGGUUGAGAUCUCCAUCUAAUUCUCCGUUCUCUUGCAAGAUAGAUCCUAGGUAGCGAAAACGGUCACUUUUUGUGAUCUUCGCUAGAUUGAUCUGGUCAUUAGUGUGGAUAAGUAUAUAAAUGGAUAGAGAUAGGAAAGCAAACACAAGAUGUACGUGGUUCACCCAGAUUGGCUACGUCCACGGAAUAGAGGAGUUCUCAUUAAUUGUGAAGGGUUUACACAAGUACAUAGGUUCAAGCUCUCCUUUAGUGAGUACAAGUGAAUGAUUUAGUACAAAUGACAUUAGGAAAUAUUGUGGGAGAAUGAUCUCGUAACCACGAAACUUCUAAGUACCGGAGUGUGGUAUCGUCUUAACUUGCCUUAUCUGUCUCAUAGGUAGAUGUGGCAUCUUCUCUGGAAGUACUCUUCCUCCAUCCAGGGGUGGUAUCUGUAACUGGUGGAGAUGCAUAAGGUAAUGUAUCAAUUUCACUUGAAGCUUACUUGUAGUUUCAGGCUUGGUCAAGCGCGAUACAAACCAUGUAGUAGGAGUCCCCCAAGUUGCCGGGCUAGGGGAUCUGCUAAAAGAGGUGACAGACAAGGUAAGCAAUCAGAGCUCCGGCUGAUUGUUCACAUUCUCCCUAUCUUGCAGGCAGCAUGAAGGAUAAAGAGAAGAAAAAUGAGAAGAGAUGAUAUGUGAUACUUUUGCUUUUGAAGAAGUAACUUUCCACAGGCUUAUUCUUGAACCGGGCUGGAGGGUUUUCUGGUUUCCUCCAGAGUAUAAGGCCGACUGAAGAAUUUGAGGGUCAAAACAAGUCCAUCAAAUCUAGAGUACGUUCGACCCUGCUGAUAUGGGAUACUUUUGCUUUUGACAGAGUAGUGGAUGUAUCGGCACGUGUGCUGUUACGCUUGUCUCCACAUGCUUCCUUGUAUCCUUCUCACUUGCCCUAUCUGUUCCUCAGGCAGAUGCGGUAUCUUCCCUAGAAGCAUAAGAUGUUGAAGAUAAGUACUCGAGAGCAAUGCCAGGUAAGUAAUCAGGUAAGGGGUUCCAGGCAGUCAAUUCCUGGCUGGAAGCUUGAUUCCAAGUGCUGACUGAUUGCUCUCUUACUCCUUGUCUUGCAGGUAAGAACAAGGCCAAAGGAAAAGACAGGGAAAAAGCAUGAUAUGGGAUACUCUUGCUUUUAACCCUGAUGAUAUGAGAUAUUCUUGCUCUAGUAUAGCUUGUUUACAGAGGUAUUAUCGGGGGGAAAGAAAGCUGAAUAUUUUGAAAGGCUUCGUUGGGAGUGCCCUCUCAAAUAAGAGAAAGGGUUGAGCAUUUUUGCAGGUCUGCCUGUCCGUUAGGGAUGGAGGUCGACAUAUAUAGGAGUCUCCCUAACAUCAAGUAAUAAUGCUAUUCCUUUACCCUGCUUGGUCAUAGCACGGUAGUGGGAGCUGCCAGCUUCACAUGUUUUAACUCUGUCAGAGCACUUUGAAAAAGUGGUCUGUGGUAUCUGGAAAGCUGAUGUUGCGUGUGAAGAUUACAGACAAGCUUUAUCCAAGGAGAUCCAGCUCUUGAAGUUGGGAAAGUGGUGCCUCUUCGGUUUUCGAACAAGCAAUCCUGUCGGGGAUCUGGCUCUCGAGAUUCGGAGAACGAUGCCUCUUCGAUUUUUGAGAAAGCAAUCCUGCUGGGGGUCUGGCUCUCGAGAUUCGGAGAGCGGUGUCUCUUCGAUUUUUGAGAAAGUAAUCAUGUUGGGAGUCUGGCUCUCGAGAUUCGGAGGGAGGGCGGUGCCUCUUCGAUUUUGGAGCAAGCAAUCUUGUUGGGAGUGUUUUCUCGAAUGUGAGUAAAGGUUGGGCAUGUUUGCUAGUCUACCUUGCCACGAAGCACAGAGGUUGACACACAGGGACUUUCCAAUUAUCCAGCAGUGGUACUGUUCCUUUACCCUCUCUUCGAUUUUUAAGAAAGUAAUCAUGUUGGGAGUCUGGCUCUCAAGAUUCGGAGGGCGGUGCCUCUUCGAUUUUGGAGCAAGCAAUCCUGUUGGGAGUGUUUUCUCGAAUGUGAGUAAAGGUUGGGCAUGUUUGCUAGUCUACCUUGCCACGAAGCACAGAGGUUGACACACCGGGACUUUCCAAUUAUCCAGCAGUGGUACUGUUCCUUUACCCUUGUGGGUAAUAAUAUGAUAGCUAGACCUUCAAAAUUUAUGUGUCUAAACUUUGUUAGUGUUGUUUCUUUGCAAUUCUUUUACCCUUCUUGGUCAGAGCGAUGUAGCGGGAGCUGCAAGCUUCACGUGUCUCAACUUUGUCAGAGAACUUUGGCAAAGUUAUCUGUGGUACCCAUGAGUUAUUGUUGCGUGUGGGAAGUGGGUGAUUAAACAAUACGAUUCAUGUGGUUUCUACUUCGCCAGAAAUCUUCGACAGAAUGCCCAUAAUUUCCGCAAAGCUGAGUGUGCGUUUGACAGGUGAUGACAAGGCUGGAAAAGUAGGUGCCUCUUCGAUUUCUGAGAUCGGCCCUCGUGGUCUCUGAGCAGCCCAGCUUUUGAGAAAGCAAGCCUCUUCGAUUUCUGAGAUCGGCCUUCGUGGUAUUUGAGCAGCCCAGCUUUUGAGAAAGCAGACGCCUCUUCGAUUUUUGAGAUCGACCCUCGUGGUCUCUGAGCAGCCCAGCUUUUGAGAAAGCAAACGCCUCUUCGAUUUCUGAGCAGGCGCCUCUUCGAUUUCUGAGCAGGCGCCUCUUCGAUUUCUGAAGCUUCGUCGAGUGCAGAUUUUUAUAGGGGCUGACAUUAAGUUCCAAAGCACACUUGAAUAUCCACCAGUAGAAGCUCCAUUCUUGCACUUCUAAGAUCUUGAUUUGUCCGACCUCUUCUCUCUUCAACACCUUUGAAAAUGUCUGGCCCCUCCGACCGUCGUUUUGACUUGAACCUUGUUAAAGAGGCAGCCCCGCCUUCUCCAGACAAUCCCUUACUGGUCCUCUUACCGUUGCGGAUUCCGUGAUGAAGAAUGAUAUGACCGCUGCGGUAGUGGCCAGGAACCUUCUCACUCCCAAAGAUAACAGACUACUUUCCAAACGGUCUGAUGAGUUGGCUGUUAAGGAUUCUCUGGCUCUCAGUGUUCAGUGUGCAGGUUCUGUGUCUAAUAUGGCACAACGCCUAUUUGCUCGAACCCGCCAAGUUGAAUCAUUGGCGGCUGAAGUGAUGAGUCUCAAACAGGAGAUUAGAGGGCUCAAGCAUGAGAAUAAACAGUUGCACCGGCUCGCACAUGACUAUGCUACAAACAUGAAGAGGAAGCUUGACCAGAUGAAGGAAUCUGAUGGUCAGGUUUUACUUGAUCAUCAGAGAUUUGUGGGUUUGUUCCAAAGGCAUUUAUUGCCUUCGUCUUCUGGGGCUGUACCGCAUAAUGAAGCUCCAAAUGAUCAACCUCUAAUGCCUCCUCCUUCUAGGGUUUUGUCCAGUACUGAGGCUCCGAAUGAUCCCCCUCCGGUGCCUUCUCUUUCUGGGGCUCUACCGACUGCUGAGACUUCUCCUAAGCAACCUUUGUGAAGGCUCCCUCUUGUUUGUUUAUUUUGACUCAAGUAUAUGUACAUAUUUGUAACUUAUCGGGGAUAUCAAUAAAUAAGCUUUCCUUCAUUUCAACGUAUUGUGUUAAAUACACCAAAGCCUUCUUCGCUAAGUUCUUUGAAUUUUCUUUUGUUGAAGCUUGUAUGUUGAAGCUUUGUGAGUGGAGCAUGUAGGUUGAGGUAGUGUUCCCUUAAUUUCCCGAGUGAGGAAAACUUCUCGGUUGGAGACUUGGAAAAUCCAAGUCACUGAGUGGGAUCGGCUAUAUGAAUCUUAGAACGCCAUUGUGUUCUGUCCUGUGUCAUGUCCUCCGUUAGAUCCAAGUACUCUAAGUCUUUUCUUAGGGUCUCUUCCAACGUUUUCCUAGGUCUUCCUCUACCCCUUCGGCCCUGAACCUCUGUCCCAUAGUCGCAUCUUCUAAUCGGAGCGUCAGUAGGACUUCUUUGCACAUGUCCAAACCACCGUAACCGAUUUUCUCUCAUCUUUCCUUCAAUUUCGGCUACUCCUACUUUACCCCGGAUAUCCUCAUUCCUAAUCUUAUCCUUUCUCGUGUGCCCACACAUCCAACGAAGCAUCCUCAUCUCCGCUACACCCAUUUUGUGUACGUGUUGAUGCUUCACCGCCCAACAUUCUGUGCCAUACAGCAUCGCCGGCCUUAUUGCCGUCCUAUAAAAUUUUCCCUUGAGCUUCAGUGGCAUACGGCGGUCACACACAACACGCCGGAUGCACUCUUCCACUUCAUCCAUCCAGCUUGUAUUCUAUGGUUGAGAUCUCCAUCUAAUUCUCCGUUCUUUUGCAAGAUAGAUCCUAGGUAACGAAAACGGUCGCUCUUUGGUAUUUCUUGAUCUCCGAUCCUCACCCCUAACUCGUUUUGGCCUCCAUUUGCACUGAACUUGCACUCCAUAUAUUCUGUCUUUGAUCGGCUUAGGCGAAGACCUUUAGAUUCCAACACUUCUCUCCAAAGGUUAAGCUUUGCAUUUACCCCUUCCUGAGUUUCAUCUAUCAACACUAUAUCGUCUGCGAAAAGCAUACACCAAGGAAUAUCAUCUUGAAUAUGUCCUGUUAACUCAUCCAUUACCAACGCAAAAAGGUAAGGACUUAAGGAUGAGCCUUGAUGUAAUCCUACAGUUUUGGCAAGAUUAAGAGUGAGUGAGAAUGAGAGAGAGGAGUGAGUGUGAGAGAGUUAGAGGAGAUAGUGAGAAAGAGAUGAAAGAGUGAGUAAGAGUGAGAGAUAAAGAAGAGAGUGAGUGAGAGUGAGAGAUAGAGAAGAGAGAGAAGAUAGAUUAAGUGAGAGGAGUGAGUGUGAGAGAAAGGGUCGGAUUUGGGGAGAGGAAAAGAGAUUAGAGGUAAGAAAAUAGAGAAAGACAUUGAGAAAAUUGUGGAUGAGUUAUUUUAGUAUUAAAAACUGUAUCACUUUGCGCGACGAAAUAUUGGUAUCACAAAGUCUUAAAAAAAAAAAAAAUAACAUUUCCCACGUCCCAUUUUUGGCGCUGCCCAAAUUUUUAGGGUUUUGCACUACGAAGUGUUAGUCACGCAAAGUCUUAAAAAAAUUCCCGUGUCCCAUUUUUGGCGCCUGCCCAAAUUUAAGGAUUUUGUGCAACAAAAUAUAUGUUCGUCGCGCAAAAUUUUUUUAAAAAAAAUUAUAAAUAAUAAAAAAGAAAAUAAUUUUAUUUUACAAUUUCAAAUAUAAAUAAAUUAAAAUAAAUAGGGUUUGGGAGACCAAAUGUUGAUUCGUCAUGCAAAGAAAAUAAUUUAGUUCAACAAUAUAUAAAUGAAAAACAAGUAAAUAGGGUUUAGGCGACGAAAUAUUGAUAUUCGUCAUGCAAAGUUUUAAAAAAAUAAAAUAACUAUAUUUUAAAAUUUAUAAUAUAAAAUUAAAAAUAAAAGAAAGAAAAUAAAUUGGUUUAGGCUUCGUCGCGCAAAGGUUUUUAAAAAAUAAUUUUUUAUUUUUGUAAAGACUUUGCGAGAUGAAGUUUAAACUCGUCAUCCACCUAUACUGUAAAACAUGAUGAAUUGGCUAUACCAAGUUACGAUAUUCUAGUGCAAAUAACAAUUAGUUAAAACCCUAACUAGUGAAAUGGAAAUAUGCAUUGGUCUCUGUAUACAUACCUUUAACUUCAUCGUCAUAUAUAUGAUCGAUUAGUUGAAUCAAAUGGUCAGUCAAAGUAUUAAGUUUGAAUUAUUAAUGAAUCGUUUAAUUAGUUGAUGAAAUCCUAUUAAACCUAGUUGCUAACUGAUAUUUUUCAAUGAGCUGUACAUUUUGUUGAUGCACAAAACCGGAGGUCUUGGAACAACGUAAAUCCGACCGUGAAUCUAUAAGUAAGUAAAUAACACAAGAUGUAUCGUGGUUCACCCCAAGGUUUGGGCUACGUCCACACUGAUUAUUGUAUUUCUGAGAGGUGAGGGAGAGAACCUCUUAAUAUGAGAGGGGUGAGAAGGCUUCAGAAAUGGUCUCCUCUAAUUGUAAGGGUGAUGAGUCCUUUUAUAAAAUAAGGGCUCCUCACUUAUUACAUAUUUGCCCCUUCCUUUAUUACACAAUUACAUUUAAGUCCCCCGAGUAUUUAUACGAGAUCUAAAUACGGAAGCCCUAAGUAUGGUAUAAACAGUAGUCCCCCAAGUCUUCAGUCAAGAGAGUCUUUUGGCAGGAGACUUGAAAUUCAGUCUAUGUGUGGGCUGAAGUAACUAGAUGUCGUCUUGAACUGAUGCUUGGUAUGCGGCGGUGCCCAUAUGAAAUGAUGCUCAAUUAGAAGUAGCACAUGUUGCGAGGCUGCUUGGUUUGUGGCUUAUGUUGCCUUGGUUGGCUCGGCUUGUGGCGUUGAAGGUGAGGGAGUCCAUUUUAUAGAAUAAGGGCUCACUCCUCAAUACAAAAAUUAUGGGCUAGAGUCGAUGCUCGCAGCGAGGCAGUUGCUCACCAGGCGGUGAUGUUCUCUAAUGAAGGUGAGGGAGUCCCUUUUAUAAAAUAAGGGCUCGCUCCUCAGUACAUGAAUAAUGGGUUAGGAGUGAUGCUCGCGGCGAGGCGGUUGCUCAGCGGGCGGCGAUGCUCUCUAAUGAAGGUGAGGAAGUCCCUUUUAUAAAAUAAGGGCUCGCUCCUCUGUACAUGAAUAAUGGGUUAGGAGUGAUGCUCGUAGCGAGGCGGUUGCUUAGCUGGCGACGAUGCUCUCUAACGAAGGUGAGGGAGUCCCUUUAUAAAAUAAGGGCUCGCUCUUCAAUACAUAAGUGAUGGGCUAAGUCCCCCAAGUAUUUUUCAUGAGUGCUCUCUAAUGAAAGUGAGGGAGUCCCUUUUAUAUAAUAAGGGCUCGCUCCUCAGUACAUAGAUAAUGGGCUAAGUCCCCCAAGUAUUUUCUAUGAGGCCUAGUUAAGGCCCAAUAUAUGGUAUAUAGUGUAGUCCCCAAAGUCUUUGGUCAAUAGAGUCUGUUGGUUGGAGACUUCAAAUUGAAUCUAUGUAUGGGCCGAAGUGGCAGUUGUUCGGAGGCGGUAUUUGUAUACCCUACAUUGAAGCUUUGUAGGUGAAGCUUUGCAAGUGAAGUUUUGAAGCUGGAGCUCUGUAAAUGAAGCUUUUGAAGCUAAAGCUUUUUGUAAAUGAAGCUUUUGAAGCUAGAGCUCUGUAAAUGAAGAUUUUGAAGCUAGAUCUUUUGUAAAUGAAGCUUUUGAAGCUAGAGCUCUGUAAAUGAAGUUUUUGAAGCUAGAGCUUUUGUAAAUGAAGCUUUUGAAGCUGAUUGACAUGAGUGAUGCUCAUGAAUAUUUAUGUUGAUUGAUAUGAGUGAUGCUCAUGGAUGUUGACAUGAGUGAUGCUUAAGAAUGUUGACAUGAGUGAUGCUCAUGAAUGUUUAUGUAUGAUUAAUAUGAGUAAUGGUCAUGUAUAAUUUGGGAGUACUGGACGUACUUUUGAUCGCCUGGUUGGAGCUAUUUUGGGCUUAUGGGCCUUCGCCCUCCACAUAACAUUCCAGCCUGUUUAUUUUGGGCUUUGUUUUUUUUUAUUACCCUCUGAUGGGGUUUAUACAGAUGUCUCCGAAAAAUAAAUCACAUCAUACAAAAACAAGAAAAGUAAAUCACAUCAUUUUGGUGGGGUGUUUAUUUCUUGCUUUUGCUUUUCUCUUUUCCACCACACCUUUCUUUUGCUUUUGUUUUUUUUUCUACUUUUAUUAUUCUGUUGCUGAGGUCUAGGUGCAUUAGCCUUUGCUUUACCUUGCAGAUGGCAGACAAAAGUAAAGUAAAGUUCUCUUUACUUUGCUUUAUUUUGCAGAUUGCAGAUGGCGGGGGCAUGGACUUGUCCUUCUUCUCUUUUCCUCUUUACACACAGUCACCGUCAACACCUUAUUCUUCAUCGCUGCCUUCACCUGAUCAAUCUUCGCGUUCUCCGGCAGGUUGAACCUCCUUAUGAACUUUUUAAGCUAGACUCUGGCUAUUGAUGAAUUUCUUGAUUACUUGGGUCGACAUGCUGUCUCGAUUGGCCCAGCUUGCUUUGCCAUCUGAAAAUAAGCCUCAAGCUUCUUUUUCAGUGUUGCAUGUUCUUGCUUCAGUCGCCUUCUACGUUUCCUGCAUUACAAUAUUCCCUAAAAUGUUGGCAGUUAACUUUCACCGUUUUGGCUCCGAUGCUUGAGCUACUUCCUUUGAACUGCUACAUAUAGUUGUCCAACUUAUGAAAAUCACGAGGGUUCCUCUGUAGUGCCUGUUCUAGGUGAUCAUCAUCAUUAACCGUUGCUUUUUGGUGGCGAAAAUGCAUACCAUAUGACUGAGCCGGCUGAGUCGACGCUGACGACAACGUCGUUGUAGAGGCGGAAGCUGAUAUGGUGGAUGGGUCCGCUGUGAUCAGAUCCAUCAGCUUCCUCCCUGACGAGUCUACCAUAGCUAAAGUUGAGAUGAGGUUCUAUCAAAGGAGAAUCCGAGUUGAAGCCAUAUUUGCCAUUGCCGGAGAUUGCCGAAAAAUGGUGGAGGAAGGGAACUUCUCAGUGUCAUUCCACAGACAAUGGAGGUCCGUGAGGAAGAUCCGUGAGGCUCUGUGAGGAAGAUCCGAGCUUGAGUUUGGGUUUUUGGAUAUUCGAGACGCUCCAGCUGGUGGCUUGGAUCCAAGAUAUCAGAUCAUAUCGCCGGAAAACCAGCCGUGAAUGGCCGACAACACGUUCACGAUUCGCCCUUGAACGCCGCUGGCCGCAACCGUUUCAAUCAUUGUGUUGAGCAACAACUUCGUCAACAGAAAAUGACUGAGAUAAUUAGUAGCAAAGGUCAUUUUGAUUCCGUCGUGAACUUUCCGGCAUUAUUUAUGAGAAAAUUGAGAGGCAGUUGGAGGGACUCGAACUUAGAGGCGAAGCUCCUGACGGAAGCGGGGGAGCUGAGAUCGAGAGCCAUGACGAUGAUCUCAGAGCCGGGAAACUAGGAGGGAAUUCGAGCCUUGGCGUUCUUGGCAGCUUUGAGGCUUCGAGCCGGGAGGACCAGCUUGUCCCCGUGCUUGGCUAAACUCGAGCCGUCUCAGCUCCGAUAUCUGACGUAGCGCCUAUGAUGAUGGCGAUGAUGUGGCGGAGAUCGGGGGAGGCGUCGGUGACUUACUCGGCUGUACUCUUUGAGCCGUAGCCGCUUUGUAUUAAAUACAUACACAGACUUUGAGAUGCAGAUAGAGGGUUGGGAAAGAGAGAGAUCUGCGAAGGUUUUUUUUUUUUUUUUUUUUGAAAUAGCCCAAUGAGGGAGGUUAUGGGUUUUUGGUUUGUGCUGAUUCACGGUGGACAGUGAUGAAAUUUGAUGAAAAAAUGAAAGAGAACCGACAUAGUUUUUUUGGGUUGUGCAGAUUCCUACAGACGGCGCCAAAUAUUGAUGCACAAAACCGGAGGUCUUGGAACAACAUAAAUCCGACCAUGAAUUUGCAAGUAAGUAAAUAAUACAAGAUGUAUCGUGGUUAACCCCCAAGGUUUGGGUUACGUCCACACUGAUUAUUGUAUUUCUGAGAGGUGAGGGAGAGAACCUCUGAAUAUGAGAGGGGAUGUGAGAGGGGUGAGAAGGCUUCAGAAAUGGUCUCCUCUAAUUGUGAGGGUGAUGAAUCCUUUUAUAGAAUAAGGGCUCCUCACUUAUUACAUAUUUGCCCCUUCCUUUAUUACAUAAUUACAUUUAAGUCACCCGAGUAUUUAUAUGAGAUCUAAAUAAGGAGGCCCUAAGUAUGGUAUAAACACAUUUAAAAGUUUUUUUCAAUUAGCAUUUGUUAAUUGCAUGAGUUUUAUUUCUUUUUCUUUGUCUCUUGCCUCUUUUUCUCAACCACUUCCCUAGCCCCUACUUAAAUAUGAAUUUUUUUUUUGGAAGACUGGAAAUAAGAAUAACCAGGGCAAAAGCCAACAAUACAAGGAGAGUCCACAGAGGGACAAACAAAGCAAUACAGAAGAAGGGCAGUGUGCAAGACAACAGUCAAGAGACGCUGCCACAAAGGCCAAGCGUCGUCCCAACACACCACCAUAGCACCAACACUUAUGGAGGGAAAGGAAGGCCAUCCUUGUUGAGAAUGUGAAUCAAUGAAGAUAGGGGACAUCUGACCCAAGUUUGAUCGCACAUCUCCAUGUUCUUCCUCGACGCCAAAAGGUCCGCCGUCUGGUUGGCCGGUCUUGGAACCCAAGACCAGUGAUAACCCUGAAAAGAGGUCCCCACUCUUAAGAUAUUUUGAAAUAUAGGGAACACUUCCCAGCUGCCAUUAGAGAUAUCCCCAUUCAAAGAGGAGACUACCUCUAAAGAAUCCGAUUCCGCAACAACCCAACCAAAACCAAGGUCGGCUGCCAACUCGCACCCCCUAAGCAUCGCCAUUGCCUCCGCAAACACCACCGACUGAGCCACAAUUGCGAUAAUUAAAUAAGCUGACAGUACUACGACAUAAUAAUAUUUUAAGACUAUCUGUUUAACAACUUAAUUACAAUAUUUAAUAUGUGGCUUUCAAACAAAAUAUUUUAGUUUGUGGAAUGUUUAUUCUUCUUCUUUAUUUGCUUCAACUUUUGCAUACAGAUGCAGACACGUCUGCAAUAGCUUACUUCAUAUCAGAUUCUUGCGGGUCUUGCUUUCUGGUCAUCAAAAUAUGCUGAAUAUAAUGUGAAAACAACACGUUAUUUUACGUAAUGAUCUUCUCUUGAUUACUUUAUCAGCUUGCUUCUAUUUGACUGUCAGUCGGUCAGUAAGUUGAUUUAAGGAUGGCUUAAACUAAUUAGCUGCUGCUCAGUUAAUUUAAUUUCUUCAAGAUGAUUUGUGUGGAUGCAAAUUUUUUCCUCCUCGAUCUUGGACAAAAUUGCACCUACAAAACAAUGAACAUCUUAGGUCAAGGCCAAGAACCUCACGCGCCAACGAUGAAUGGGGGGGUUUUGGCCGAAGAACCUUCGAUGCCAAAAUUAGAAUUUUGAGAGAAAAGUGUUUGAGAGCUUUGGAGCAUUUUAGCAAGAGUCAGGACCUAGCUUUUUGGUGAGAAUGAGAGCCUAUUUAUAGGGAUAGGGUUCUUGAUUUAGGUUGAAUUUAGGAGUUAUGGGAAUAAUUGACUAAUUAAUUUAGCAAAUAAAAUUAUUGCCAAAUUAACUAGCUAAUUAAUGUGAUAAAAUAGGUGAAUAUGAUGAGAUCAACAAGGGUGGCCGGCCAUUUGGGAUUUUUGGGUAGUGGGUUAUGUAAUGGGGGAUUAAUUGGCAUAAUGGGUCAUUUAUUGGUGAUUUAAUGGAUUAAUUAGGAAAUAAAUCCAUUAAUUCACCAAUUAAUCUAAUUUAAAUGGAAUGUUUGGAAUGGUUACCUUGUGGAGUAUAUGGAUGAAAUAACUUUUAUUUGUUACCUUCUUUAGGCAUUUUCGACUUGGUUAACGGAUGAUUGCUCACUGCUCGUGCAUAGGAAUCCCGUAUGCCUCAAGGGUAUUUUUGUCCUCUUUUAUCCAAAAAUCCACGUGUCGCCUUGUGAAUAUUUUUGACUCCACAAUUUGUUCGUUACAACUAAUGAAUAGCGAAUCAAAUGAAAAUUGUCAAGCAUCAUAAUCUCUUCCUAAUACGAGGAAUUUGGAUCAGACCAAAUCAUCUUAGAAAUCGAUAUAACACUACAAUUUUUUAUCUUUCUAAUUACUAGGCAACUUUUUUUUUUUUCCUUUUUUUUUCUCAUUUUGUAAGGGAUGACAAUAGGAUUACGAGAGUAUACUUAUGAAUCGGACAAUGAAUAUAUAUACAGGGGAAAUGUUGUACUGCACUUGAUCAUUCUCACACACUCUUUCACGUGCAUUAAUGACAAAUAAAACACAUAGGGUGACGUGGAUAUGUACGCCCAUUGGUAUGUAGGCGAACACGCAUACUCUUAUACCAUAAAAGAAGUUGAGGUUGCACUUCAAAACAAAGGAAUUACCUUGUCUCCGCAAUGGAUAAGGAUGGGUUCCUCCUUAAGUCGCUACAGAUUCGAUUUGAUGGAACUUCAUGUUUACAGAUUAAAUUCCUUUCACAUUAUAAAACACUUUUGAAACAUCAUCUUUGUAAAAAAUUAAUAAAAUUUGAGAUCGUUUAGUCAUCAAACUGUAUAAAAACUGAUGGAUGGAUUCUAUUUGCUACAAUUGAUUGACUAAACAAUCUCAAUUUUAAUUGAUGUUUUGUGAAGAUGAUCUUUACAGAGAACUAAAUUUAUAAUAUUAACGGUUCCAAUUAUAAAUAUAAAAUUCUAUAAAUUCGUCACUAAACGAAUUGAGAGGAAACUCUUCAAUCUUGAAAAUCCCAUCAUUGCUAAAAAAACAAAUUGAAAAUAAAAGAAAUUAUAAACUCCUGCAAGAUUUUUAUCCAUCAACUCCGGCGCGCAUGAUCUCCACAUCCUCACAAGUAGUUGGGUGCAUUAUAUAUAAAACAAAAUUUCUAUCCAUCAAUCCACAACUCCUUUAAUUCUGUGCCUUAAUAUUAGCCAACACGGAUUGCUUAUUAAUUCUGAAUCCAUUACUUUUAAAAUUAGAUGAAUCCUCGAACCACAAUUUUUAUUUAUUUACAAGAAUACGUGUAUAUAUAUAUAUAUGUAUACAUAUAUCAUCACUGCAAUCACAUUCCAAGUUAGGUCAGCUUCAACAUAUAUAUAUAUAUAUAUAAUUACUGCAAUCACAUUCCAAGUUAGGCAGAUCGAGCCAUGAAAUAGUCAAUCAUCCACAGCUUCAAAAUAGAACCACUGAUAGUAUAAAUGGAGAUCUUCAUCUUCGUAUCUCUCAAAGCAAAAGUUUACUUGCAUAUAUAUUGGUCUUUAAUAUUUUCAAUCAAUUCAGCUGACCUUUGCCUAACUCAAUAUUUCUUAGGCUUUUUAGCCAAAAUGGUUCUUGAGAUUUGCAUAACACAUCACUUUGGUCCCUGAGAUUGAAAAUCAAUAUAAAUGGUCUCUGAGAUUGUCCACCAUCAAUUAUUUUGGCAAUUCUAUUAAAAACUCCGUUAAGUGUCCGGAGCUCUUAGUCGGAAAUUUGGACAAUUUUCAAAACUUCGUAUCUUAAUCGUUUCUUAACCAAAUUCAACCCAUAAUAUAUCAAAAUGAAGAUAGGAAAGUGUAGAGAAAUAUUAUACCUAUUUGGAAGCCCAAUGGUUACCGGAGAUGACUUGAAAAUAGCCUGAAAGGUGACUGGUCCGUGGAAAAACUCGCUGGGAACUGGGUAAACUUUAAACGUUCAUAACUUCUUCAAUACUUAACGAAAUUAAGUGAUUCAAAAACGAAAAUCAUACUUCUCGAUGAGACGAAGAGAAGGGAGCCAGUUUUGAGCCAUUUUUCGGAAAAACCAUGGCUAGUUAGCCUUCGAUAAAAGUAUUAUUCUCUCGUCGAGAAGUAUGAUUUUCGUUUUUGAAUCAUUCAAUUUCGUUGAGUAUUGAAGAAGUUAUGAACGUUUAAAAUUUACCCAAUUUCUGGCGAGUUUUCUCGUUUUUCUGCGGACCAGUCACUUUUCAAGCUAUUUUCCAGCCAUCUCCGUCAACCAUUGGGCUUCCAAAUAGAUAUAAUUUUGUUCUACACUUUCCUAUUUUCAUUUUGAUAUAUUAUGGGUCGAAUUUGGUUAAGAAACAAUUGAGUUAUGAAGUUUUGAAAAUUGCCCAAACUUCCGGCCAAGAGCUCCGAGACACUUAACGGAAGAACCAAAAUAAUGGAUGGUGGACAAUCUCAAUGACCAUUUCUAUUGAUUUUCAAUCUCAGUGACCAAAAUGAUGUGUUAUGAAAAUCUCAGAGACCAUUUUGUAUAUGAAAAAGCCUAUUUCUUAUAUAGUGAUAUAAUUCUCUCAUCCUGGCUUCUGGACCAACCCGUCCUUGCCACAUAUGUGUUUCUUUUCACUACCACAUGUUGCAACGAAGGAAACCGGACCUACGUAAACAGUCAAACCCUAGAGAUGAUUAAUUGAACGAAUCCAGUUUUAUUAUUCUUGUUCUAAAAUCAGGGCAAUAAUUUUCAAAAGAGAGAGAUACCUUAUUCGUGGUUGGUUUUGUGAUCAGGUGCGGCAGUGUCCAUUCUUUCAUUCUUGGCACAUACGUGGCAUGAUGUGUACACCCAUGAUUGGUCCAUUUUUGAGGUGAUCUGCAUGAUUGAAAUACCUCAGACAAGCUAAGGGCAUGCGUGUCCAGUCGUGGUUGGAAGUUUGGAAUUGUUUCCUGAAAAGGAACCAGUUUCGUUAAUUGUGCAAAAGUGGAGAGUGAACGUGGGCGUGCAUGCAUCAAUAUACAGAUUGAGAUUUUUAUUUUUUGAGAAGAGAAAAAUAAAUAAAUAGUCUGAGGAAACAAAUACUUCAGAGACUAAAAAAAAAAAAAAAAAAUCUAAUAAUUGGAAAUAUUUUAGCACCUCAAAAUAGUGCUCAAUCUCUCAUUUCUCACUUAUUUUGUUCGUUAGAAAAAACCGUAAGAUUACUAUUUAGAAGUGUUAACACAAGUUACAUUAUAAUUCUACAAUUUAAAUGAUUUUAGGUAUGUUGGAUUCGUCUACUUAGUCAACUGUAGAAAGUAAAACAAAGAUAUAUAGGCCUUUUAAGUUGAUUAAGAUUCAAAUUGGCAAAGAAUGCGAGUUAAUUAAGAGUCCCUCAACAUGAGUGAUCAAACAAUUACAUAAAUCCAGAUGGCCUCCAGAGUCAAACUCCAUUAACCAAUUGGUUUAGGUAGACAACAUGAAAUUAUCAUGAUAUUUUUGCUGAUUUGAUUUCAACCUUAGAAAGAACAUAAUAUUUGACCUAGUCUUAAAUUAAAUAUGGUGAUUAAUAGUUAAGAAACGAAUAAGUCAAUGUGACUUACUGAAUUGCCAUCAAAAUGGAGCUAUAUUUGGACUAAAUUGUAGACUCUUUGCAAGUAUUAUGUAGUGAUCCCUAUGAAAUAGGGAAAUGUUUUGGGGAGUGUGUCAGGAACACGAGGUGGUAUUCCACAUGUCAUUAUAGUAGAGGAAAACUUUAUUUUUCAAGUUUACCACCACUUGUGUAAUGACAUAUGAUAUACCACUCCGUGUUCUAGACACUUUAAAAUGUCUCUAUAAAAUAUCUGAUCAUAUUAAAUUAACAUACAUGUAUCACUUGUACAAAUUAAGCAUUAUUCAAGAUUUUUAUGAAAUAAAGUCAAAUCAGAAUUCAAAAGGCAGCUUUUCAUUUAACCAUAAAGGAAAAAUUACAAACGUUUAAAGGUUCAUGUAGUUGAAAUUGCACUAAUCUUCUUAUAAGAGAGGACAAAUUAGCUUAAUUAGAUACAUUAACAAAUUCAUUCAAAACUUUCUUUCACCUAAUCACUAACCACUUAAUGGCUUUAAUCACUUCAACUUUUACAUGCAUCACCCUUGCAACAAGUUGGAACUUUGAUUAAUUAAUAUUAUUGUUGCCAAGGAGGCAUCGUAUAGUAGUUUUUUUAACGAGAAAACUGUCAUAAUAUGAUCAAUCUAUCAUUAAUUAAGGGAGCAACUUGAUCAUAUUUUACACGAACUCACUUAAAUAUGAAUCUGAAAUCUCGUUCGAUGCUGUUACAUUAGUAUCUCUAGACAAUGAACUAGUUGGCAAAUAAAUUAGGAUUUCGAUUACAAAUAAUGCAAUUUGUAAUAUUUAACAGAUUAAAAAUCAUUCAAGUCUUGACUACAUGGCACAAAUUUUAAUUUUGAUAUUUGACUUAUCCUAAUUGUUAUCAUUUUUAGUGAUAAAUGCAUGAAAGUAUUUGCAGUGUCUGUUUGAACCGGAACAUAUCCCCUCUGGAUCCGAACCAUCCGGAUCCUCCGGACCUCAUAAUCUUGGCCGUUCACAUAAAAUCGUGCGGCUGAGGUCACUCUUCCUCUUCAACCUUUCGCCAUCUCUUUCUCUUCAACAUCGUUGCCUUCUUCUUCAACGGCGAUCAACGAAGCAAAAUUGUAGAGCGAAAGAAGAAGAAAAUGGGAAGGGGAGGGGGAGGGGGAGGGGGAGAGGGAAGUGAGUGAUUGUAGGGAGGUCCGCUUGAUCCGGAUGGUUCGGAUCCGAAGAACUAUUCCCGUUUCGACCUCAUCUUCAUCUGUUUUUUUUUUUUUUUUUUUUUUGAUAUAUGCUAUGGAAAAAAGGUCUUUUUUGCGUGAAUAAAGUGAGCUUUAUCUAAUUUUUGAGAGCUGGACACAGCAAAACUUCCGUAAUCUUCUAUGCAUUCACACAGCUGGUAUCACUAUAUUUGCAUAAAAUAUGUAUUUAUUUUUGUGAAUGCCCUAAUUUUAUUUUCAGCAAAAACAGAUUAUAUUCCAAUCUUCUUCUAAAUGCUUCACACUUUAUUUAUUUAUUUUUGUCACACUCUUUGUGACGUGUGCUGAUGAUUCAGGUAUGCAAAUACAAACAAACAUCCAGUAACAUCCGAGUCCUAUCCACUCCUCACAAUGAAUAUAAUUGGUUGAAUUAAAAUAUAGUACAAUUUAUUAAAAAACAUACAAUUAAAAUUUUAAUAACUUUUUAAUUUGUCAAGUAAAUUAAUAAUAAAAUCAAAAUAAAGUAUUCACAAAACUGAAACAUUGUAAAUUGGUGAAUCAAAACAGAGUUUUAAACCGUUAAGUUUUUGAACUUUUGAUCAAAUAAAAAAAAUAAAAAUCUUGACCUUUCAUUAUUCGAUGCAGACCAUACACCGUAUGUCUGGAGCAUAGUAAAAUUUUUGUAAACUACAAAACCAAAACAUAUUAAAUUGGUGGUAAUGAAAUCAAGACUACAUGCAUAGUAUUUGGAUGGGUUGUUUGUUUAAAUGGUCAAAUUUUUAAGAUGGGGGGAGAAUUAUUACAGAAAAAGUUAAAGAAAAGCUAAAACGGCCUACCUAAGUUGCCUUCCAUUCAACGUUUCUUGCUCUUCAAAAGCACCAGUGUUUAGGGGCUUCUGCUUCCCAUAGUGCUUUUCUUUCUCUUAACGUCUGAAUCCAUCUUUCAGCUUAUACAACAACUUGUUCCCAUGGCUUCUUUUCUUUUAUUCCUCUGUUUCCAAUCACCCGUUCCUUUUCCUUAAGCUUUAUUUCUCUUUUGCUCCUUAGAAAAGCACGUUUUGCAUGAGUCUUUUCUGGUUCUGCUUUCUAUAUAAGGUGUUUUAAGAUUUGGGAGUUGAAGCUGUUGGUUGGAAGAAGCCAUAGAAGUUUGAGAGUUUGUGAGGAGGCUACCGAAGGUGGAUUGCGAAUCAAGGGUUUUAGACAAGAAUCAUUGGGGUUUUAGGGUAUCAUAAAAGGAAGAAAUGGAAAACGUUCCAGCUGGGAUUGUUGAGGAGGAGGAUCAUAUCGAUUUGCCGCCAGGAUUCCGAUUCCAUCCAACCGAUGAAGAGCUUAUUUCUCACUACUUGCACAAGAAGGUGAUCGAUACCAGCUUCUCUUGUAAAGCAAUUGGGGAGGUGGACUUGAACAAGUCGGAGCCUUGGGAAUUGCCUUGUAAGCUUCCUAGAACAAAAACUUUAAUUUUGUUUUGUUUCUUUAACAUAAUCCUUUUUUAUCAAAUUUGUUUGGAUUUUGUUUGUUUCGAUUUGAUUUACUUUUUUUUGCCAUUUUUCAAAUGAAGGGAAAGCGAAAAUGGGAGAAAAGAAGUGGUACUUUUUUUGUGUGAGAGACAGAAAGUACCCAACUGGUCUGAGGACAAACAGGGCGACAGAAGCCGGAUACUGGAAAGCUACAGGGAAGGAUAAGGAGAUUUACAGAGGAAAAUUUCUGGUUGGGAUGAAGAAAACCUUGGUUUUCUACAAAGGAAGAGCUCCCAAAGGAGAAAAAAGUAACUGGGUGAUCCAUGAAUAUAGAUUGGAUGGUAAAUUCUCUGUCCACAACCUCCCCAAAACUGCAAAGGUAUAGUCAUUCCCCUAUUUUCUCCUGUUUUUUGGAGUUGGAUCUCCCUGCAACGGGGAUGUCACUGUGACGGUAUCUCAAUUCAAGCACGUGCUGCUCUAUGAGAAAAUUAAAACGCAUGGCAGUGUGUAAUUGACUUGGAAUACUGCCUUAGUAACAUCCCUGGUGUAGGUAAAUUUCUCUCCGGAUUUUGCUUUUUUAAUUUGUUCAUGUAUUUUGAUGGUAAUGGUAGUUGUGCCUUUUUUUGUGUUGCACUAUGCAGAAUGAAUGGGUGAUCUGCAGGGUUUUUGAAAAGAAUUCUGGUGGCAAGAAAAUCCAUAUUUCUGGAUUUGUGAGUGUGGGUUCUCUCGGAAAUGAAAUCGGUCCUUCUGGCUUACCGCCAUUGAUGGAUUCUUCGCCCUAUAGCGCCGCCAAGGCCAAACCUGCUUCCGAGUCCCAUUACGUGCCCUGCUUCUCCAACCCUGAUCCCACUGAUGUUCAAAGAAACCAAGGGAAUAUUUUUGAUUACAUGAACAACAAUACUCUCUUUGGUGUUUCUUCAAACACUUCCAACUCUUUCCCAAUAAUCCCAUUUCCCAAUUCAUUCUACUCUGCUCAUAAUGCUCCAAUUUCGCCGAAUUUUCAGUUCCCGUGUUCAAAUUUACUGCAAGAUCAGUCCAUCUUGCGGGCCUUGUUUGAAAACAAUGCAGCAAACAUGAGGCAGCAUAGCUUCAAAACAGAGAGAGAAAUGGUGAGUGUGUCCCAAGAAACCGGCCUCACAAGCGAUAUGAACACUGAAAUCUCUUCAGUCAUGUCAAAUCUUGACAUGUCAAGAAGGCCAUUUGGUGAUCAAGAUCCUCCAGCUGCAGCAGCAGGCCUGGAUAAUUUUUGGAAUUAUUAAUAAUUUCAAACCAGCAAAAUAAGGCUAAUAUAUAGUUUUAUUAUUAAAAAAAAGAAGGAAAAAAAAAAGCAGCUUCAGCUAGUAUUAUUGGUGUGAGUUGAUAGUGUACAGAUAUUCUGAAUUUAAAGUGAAUAUUGAAUGAAAGUGAAGCAUAUAAUUAUGUAAUGCAAGAAAUUAUAUGAUGUAUUUGUUUUUCUAUUUAAUUUUUGUGUAAAAACAAUAUUGGUGACAUAUGAGAAUGAGAUUCAGUUGGUGGUUAUGAUUUUAUUCGUGUAUUUUAGUCAUUAAAAGUUUGUAUCCUUUCUUAAAGUUUUCUGGAUUUUAACAAAUGCUUACAUCACGAUUUUAUAAUCUAAUUUUAUUUAAACUACGGAAGAAAGAUUUUAAUUUGAACACAAUAAAUGAGCAUACUACCCUAAUUAACUUCGCUGCAUCGAAUCAAGAUUUGAACUUAAAUAUAAAUAAAUAAGUAUAUUGCCCUAAUUAACUUCGCUACAUCGAAUCUCCCUAUUGAGUUUUAGUAUUCUAUUCCAUUAGUUUAUGGUGGGGACUCAGAUAAGUAUGCUAUUGAAAAUUUCAUUGUCUUUCUUUCAACCUCUCUCCUUCUCUCUAUCACACACACACACACACACACACAUGUGCAUGUCACACUCAAACACAACCGUGGUAUUUAUAAAAUUAAAAUGUUAGUUAUCCAGGUAAAAUCAUUGGACUAAGGCUUGACAUAAAGUAAUUCUGUCAUUUUAUAAACUAUAACUUUCGUUGAUUAAUUAACUUUGACUUGCAUGCUAUGAAAUUUGAAUUCAUAUAUUUUGUGAUGUUGAAAUGCCAAAAAUCCUAAUCCUCUAUUUUAUUGACCAUGUUUUCUAAACAACUUCAUUAGAAAAUAAAGCAUAAUCAGUUCAUAAACAAAAUUUGGGAUGUUUAUAUAUAGUGCUAUUACUACAUGUCUCAAUUUUUGAUCGUCGAAUCGAAUGAAAUAAAGAAGAUUAAUGGCAAAAAAUUAACAAGGGUGUGUGGAAGGUAAAAAUGUGUGUGUCAAUAGAAUAGCACUUCUCUAUAUAUAUUCACAUAAUCAUUUUUACCUCCCACAUACCUUUGUUAAGUUUUUGUUAUUGAUUUUCUUCAACUCAUUCGAUAGCUGAAAAUUGAGAAGAAUGUGUGAAAAGUAAAAAAGAGUGUAGAUAGCACUACCCAAUAUAUUAUUGUUGAACUGCUAAUUUGAAACACACAUUUUAAACAAAAAUUCCUCUAAUACGUAAUUUAGGUUGAUAAUGUGACAACAAAGGAUAAAGUACGAUUUUUAGUCAAAAUGAUCUAUGAGAUUGAGAUAACUUCUUACUUUUGUCCCUUAUAAAGAAAAUUGAUAAAUAGAGUGGUCCAUGAAUUUGUCUAACGUGAAUCAUUAUGGUUUUUCCUUGAAAAAUCUAUCAACAUCUUUGUUAAGUGAAGGGGUUGGUUUGACAAAAAUAUCCUUAAAAAGGUAGUCACGUGGUCGUUCACGUGACAAUUUAAUGAGAAUAUUUACAUAUUUUUCAUGAAAUGACCAUAAUGAUUUAUGGUUGACAAAGUAAAAAGUUAUCUCAAUCUCAUGAACUAUUUUAGCUAAGAAGGCAAUAACCAUGUCAAAUUGUUUGGUGAAAGAACAAUAGUCCUCUUAAUUAGUCGGUGAUUAAGAGAUGUUGAAUUAUUAAUUCCAUGACUAUUUGACUAAUCGAAUUUCUUACUUUCUUGCUCAAGAGAUAUUGAACCAAACCGCAGGAAAUAUGCAAUUAAAUGAAGUAUUGAACUGACAUAUAUUGCUAGAGAACAAACUUACUCACUACCCUUAAUUAUUAUGGAUUACCACCAAGUCAUAGUUGAAUGAGUGAGAUUUAAUUUACCCGCACCUGAACUUUGAAAUUUAAAUUCACCGAAUGCACAUAAUGUAAUGGUAGCUCACUCCCAAAUUAGAGACGAUGAACAAAUUUAUUCUACGUAUUAAAAUCAUGGAAGUCUAGUGGAAAAUGGACAUUUGAGAAACUAUUGUAGCUCGUUUACAAAUGCUUUUUAAAUGACUGAAAGCGUUUUUUGUGGAAAUGCUUUUGAAACUAAUUCUUAGUUAAAAUCCAAGUGGAUUCUUAAAAAACACUUUAAGUGCUUCCUAUAAGAAGCAUAUAUUUGAUGUUUCUUAAAAAAAUCAUUUAAAGUGAUUUUAAAUGUUUUGAAAUCCAACAUCAAUUUCACCAAACACACUUUUAAUUAUUUUAAAAAUACUUAUGAACCACCCCCUUAAUUAUGAGAGUUCUAACAAAAAGCCCGCGGUACUGUUCACUUUAACGAAAAACCAAAUUUUUACACUAAAAAGUCAAACAUGGUACUAUUCAUUUUACCUUUUAUUUUGUCCUCAUCAUUAAAACUCAAAGUUUUCAAGUCAUUUUCAUUAAUUUUCCUUUUAAUUAUAGGAAAAUAAAAAGGAAAACAGCUGUCCAGAUUCAUCAAGUUCUUAUCUCAGGAUAAGAAUUCUAAAAAAUCCAGAAAAAGUCUUGUCACAAAUAUAUUUUUUGGUAACAAAAUCUUAUUAUAAUAAUAUGAAGGAAAACUAGGUCUUAUGUAAAUAUUUAUUAUCUUUCAUUUUCGUGGAGUCUUUCAACCGCAGAAUUCGUUAAUAUUGGACUAUUCGCAUCUUCAAAUCUGUCUUUUCUAAUAUUUUAUGAAUUGUGAUGCAUGCAAUCCGUUUAUCAAGCUGUAAACCCUGACGUAUUAAGGUACGAGCAUUUACCAUUAUUAUUUAUUUAAUUAUUUAUUUAUUAUUAAGUAAUAUUUUUGUAACAUGUGAAGUUUUAUUUUUAUCACAUAUGCACGAGCAAAUCUCCAACAACGAAUGAAUUUGAGUCCUGCACGACAAGUUUCAUUCUCAUCAGUAAACUUGUAUUUUUAUCUAUAAAAAAUGGAGCUAUUCCCAAAAGUAAUCACCCAAUAGAAUCAAGUUCCCCCAUAUACCGAACAAUAUUUUCUCAGGCUACCCUUCAUCGACACAAUGUUAUUAUCUAUACUUUCAAAGUGUCACAUAAACUCAUUAUCCAAAUAUAUUAAUUAACACGGAGUGGUUCAAUAGUUGAUGACGAAUUUCAGACUCGUAUUCUAUACGGCACGUCCUGAGUCGAUUUUUGACUUUGGUAAAUCACAUAAUGGUAGUCAAGGGAGGCUGAAAUGCCUCUGUGAGUUUUUUCUGUCCCAAAAAAGUGGAUUGGUAUGGUGAAACCACCAUCUAGCCCCUUUUAGAAAAACAUAGGCCUAUUGAAUUGGAUUAUUAUCAUUCAUGUGGUUAAACAUUUUAUAUAUACACAUCAAGUAUUGAGCUCCUAUAAGAAAUAUAAUCUUUAGGGCCUAAAUUAAAAUGGAUUUGUCUAGCCCAUUGUUUGUUAUGUCAAAAUGUGAGAUGGAUGAGAUUGGAUAUAAUGAGUUAUGAAUAUAGAGUAGGUUAUCUAACCUAUGGAUAUGCAUAGGUUACAAGUCCUGCCUAACCAAUCCCAGCAAAUCCAAUCAUAUCCCUAAAGUCAAAUCUCAUCCAGCAUACUAAACAUGCCCUUAAAGAACAAGAAAUUUAAAUUACAAUUAAUUACAGUACUUGUGGGGCAAGAUAUCGCAACUAGAAUUGUAUGUGUGUAUUUUGUUUUCUAGAUCUAGACGUGGAUCUAGCCACAAAAAUUGAGGUGUAUUAAGCCUUCUUGGUGGUAAGGUUUGCGACGAGAUUAAACUAAGGAUUAAUAUAUUAUUGGAGAUAUUUUCAAAUAUAGAAUCACAUGUAGCAUAUUCCAGUUAAAAUUACCAUACUUAUACCAAUGAAAAAAAAAGGAACCUUGGCAUCUCUUCGUAUUCUUAAUGUGUAUUAAGGGAAAUAUUUCUAUAUUUUUAUGUUAGCUAACCUAGUUUUUUUAGAUCGAAUAUAUUUGAUUGUUAAUUUUUAAUUAGUUUGUCUACCAAACAUCUGAUAAUUGAACCUUGUGACAGUGAACCCAUAUUUCUAGGGCAUUUUGUUCCAUGCCACCUAGGCUCUAUUUUCUAAUUGUGUACAUCAUGUAUGGGGUGGUGGUUUUUUCUUCAUGAAAGUAUUUUGGGUGCGUUUGUUGCACUGAAUUAUCUUGAGCUGAACUUGCUUUAGGGACUAAGCUAGACUGAUUUAGAAUAGAAUAAGUUAGACUAACUUAAUGAAACGUUUGGUACAGUGUCAGAUUAAGAAACGAGACUAACUUCUAAUUCUAGAUCAAUUCUAGCCUUCCAAUUAAAUUAACAAUUUUCCUCUAUCUUUGCACAAAAUUUUCCACAAAUUUCUUGAAGAUUUCAAUAUUCAAACAAGAACAAAUUUGUGUAGAAGAUAAUAAUGAAGCAGGGAUAAAAAAACAUUGACAAACAUUUCUAUCAUUGCCGUUCGCUGGAAACCUCAAUCUUUAAAUUGAUGGAGAGAUUAGCCAAUCUUAAGUGGCAUCUCUUUUGCGCAGGACAAUCAGUUACCUAGAUUUUGUUCAGACAAGGAAAUGCCCGAGAUUAGGCACCGAAAUCAGCAACUUCACGAAGCUGCAGACAAAAAGAAGAACAAGAAUUGAAUUUAAUAUCCAUUAAGAUUUAGAAUCCAGUCAUACAAUUUCUGCUUCUUCAAAGUUAUAAACUUUUGAUUGAAUUUGUUUUGAAUCAGAAAAAGAAGAAGAGGAGGUGGAAGUGAUAACCUUGAGUCGAAGAUAGGCUGGACUGGAGAAAUAGAGCUUGUUCUUUGCCGUCGAUCGAGCAAGGCGAGGAGUCGAGCGGGACGACGCAAGAGAGAGGUAGUCUUAGCAGUCCGCUGGUAUUUUGGGGGCUUCGCUAAGACCAGCUAGCAAGCUCCUUAGUCCAUGCGAGUUUAAUCCCACUAAAGCUAGUCCUUUCCUUUAACAAACAUGGGACUACACUAAUUCUUAAUCUAGUCAAGUCCAGUGAGACCUAGUGAAGGCAAACAAAUAGGUUGAGUAAAAAACUUAUUUAAAUUUAAGGGCUUAAAUAAGAUUAGUUUUUUUAUUAUAACCUGUAUGGUUUUACAAAUCUGAUUUUACGUCCAAAAUUUAUAAUUCAUUACCGCAUCAUGUUCAAUACAUUUGCCCAUGUUUAUUACUUUUGAAUUUUUCCAUCUAGAAUUCAGUACUUAAUCAAAUCAAAUUCAGCAAUUUAAAUUGGAAGAUUUUAAAUGAACAUUAUUAAUGAGAAACUAUAUAUAGCAUACAGAUACAAUCAACUAUAAAAUAUUUAUAAGUACAUAAAUAUAUACAUAUAUAUAUAUAUAUGUUAAUGUGUAUAGUAGUUUAGGUAAACAAAGUAUAUACAUAGGUGCAAUAUAUCUGUACAUAAAUAUAUACAGGUUCAUAUGUAUAGGUACUCAACUAUAUGUGAAAAAAGAAGUGUAGAGAUAAAAAGAGGAUCUUAGAUUGGUUCCCAAAAAAAAAAAAAGAUCUUAUACAAAAAUAUUGCAAUGUAUAUCAUUACUAUGGUACCGGUAUACACGUUAAUGUAAUUAUUUAUCGAAUUUGAAUACAAAUUAAAGUAAAAAUCUUCUUUCAUUUCAUACUCAUUUUUUUUUUAACAAACAAUAUUAUUUACACUAAAGGAGAGAAGGGUGGGUGAAGCCUCACAAUAUGCUAACAAUAAUGCGGUUCAAAUUUGGCUUUGCGAGAAUCGAACAUAAGAUUUCUAACUUAUAAAUGAAGAUGAAUACUAUUAGACUGUAAUAAUACAUGACUUUUUAUACACAAAACUAAACAAACCAAAAGUCAAUAACACUAGUAGCUAGAUUUUAGGUGGUAUAUAGAAAAAGUUGAGUUGGAUAUAAAAGCAAAGGACCAAAAUCAAUAUUUAAUCUUAUCCAUAACUUUUGUGAAAAAAAAGAAGAUCUUAAUUAAGGAUUAUAAGCCUCUUGCCACACAAUUACCUAUGUGAUUUGAUAUUUUGAUAUCUUCUUUGGAGUUUCGGUCCCUUUACCUAGAUAUAAUAUAGAUAAACUCAUUUCAUGUAAUAAAAAACUGCCAUGGGAAACAACGUUGGCAGAAUAUCAUGGUAAAUUCUUGAAGAACACAGCAGGUAUUUGUGUCAAUCUAAAACUUGAAGCGCGUCACCAGGUAGCCCUCAAUACAACGGUUUCCGCCACUAUAAGUGCGUCACGUGGCAUUAGGUGUUGUGCGGCAGUCUAACAGUACUCUUCGGCCAUUUAGUACUGCAAUUUAGUUGUAUUUUUCUUUAUUUAUAAGAGGAAUGUUUUAUGUUUGAUUCUCAUCAAAGAUGAAUUUGAAUCACAUUAUUACUAGUUCAUUAUGAGGCUAAAUUCACCUCAUCCCCGUUAGUGUAGAUAAUAUCAUUUACUCUCCUGAAUUCAUCACAAUCCCCCAACCCCCAUCACACACUCAAAACAAAAUUGUAUAUAUAGUAUUUAGAUGUGUAAUGGUAUAAAUUAAUUAAUUUUCUUUGCUUUCCAUUUUUUAAAAUAAAAAGUUAGGUGUCCCAUACCUAAACUACGUAUUAAUAGAACUCUAAUUAUCGACUAAAAUCUCAAGAAAUUAUCAUUCUAACACUCUAAUUAAAACUGAACAGAAAUAAAAAUUAUAGGCAAUUUAGUAAUUACAACAACACAAUUUUUUUAUUUUAUUAAAGCAUCCGACACAUGUGAUAUAUUAAAAAAUAAAAAAUAAAAUAAAAGCAUCUCUCCCCUCUCUCCCAACUGGAAAUCUGCAAAUCUGCACUGGAAGAAAUCUGCAAAUGAAUACGAACUGGAACAAAUCUGCAAAUGAAAACGAAAAUUACAAUAUAAAAUCCCAAAUCCCAACAAAUCUGCAAAGAUUAUAACAUGCAAAAUCCCAACUAAUAAUUAAAAGAAAAACCCAUUUUAAUUCAGUAAAUCACAAUAUAAAAUCCCAACAAAUCUGCAAAUGAAUACGAAAAUUACAAUAUAAAUUCCCAACAAAUCUGCAAAGAUUAUAACAUGCAAAUCCCAACAAAUAAUGAAAAGAAAAACCCAUUUUAAUUCAGUAAAUCACAAUAUAAAAUUAUAAAUCAUAUUAGUUUUGAUUCGAAAAUUACCUGUGAGAGAUCGGAAAACCCGGAUUCGAAUCUUCCAAUUUAGAGGGGGUUCUGAUUCGAAAGGGGCGAGGGAAAAUCAUGGUUUGGAAGAAGAAAUCCGUGAGGACAUGAGAAGACUGGAGAGAGAGUGAUUUGGAGGAAGAGAGGAAGGAGAGAGAGAGAGAGAGAGAGAGAGAGAGAGAGAGGGGCUGAGGAAGCAAAAGGCAGAGAGAGGACGCAGCGGAGGAGUGUUUGAAAUCUGAAAUGGGAAGUGAGAUAAAGUGUGAGACGGCUAGGGUUUGUAAAGUUUAAGAAAUUUUAUAAAGCAUUAAAUACAAGAAGCCUAUAAAUAUUGUACUGGUACAAUAAUAACAACUCAAAGCCCACAGUCAAGUUGGCUUGCAGCAACUAAUCCUAAGCUAUAGGGAAGGGGUUCAAACCCCGGCGCCUACAUGUCUUUUUAGAAUUUAUAUAUGAUUUUUUUUUUCGGUUCGGUUCGGUCCGGUUCGGUUUCCGGACCUCAAAAACCGAAACCGAACCAACCAGAUUCGGUUCGGUUUGGCAGUUUCGGUUCGGUUUUUUUUCGGUUCGGUUUUUUUCGGCUUCGGUUCGGUUUGGUUUUCGGUUUUUUUCGGUUUUCGGUUUUUUGAACCCACCCCUAACUCCCAUGUUCUCACACACUCUCUCCCUCUCUUUCUCUCCUCAUUUAAAAAAAAAAAAUAUUUAGACACACAAUAGGCAUAUGCUAGUUAUUAUUUAUCAAGUCAUGAUGUUAAUUAUAUUCCUAAUAUUGAUCAAUUUUAUUAUGUCGUACACUUAAACGGUAAGAGUUGAAUUAGUUCAUAUAUGGUUACGUUGUCUACAAACUCUUGGUUAGUUGGACAAAAAUUGGUCACCACAUAGACUAUCAUAAAUAUGGUAAGGACUUCUGGAUGGAAAAAAAUUGUAAAAGUGAUUAGGGAUGAAUGGCAAAAAAAAAAUGCAGUAAUUUAUUUGGAUAGUAUUAUUCACGCACAUAUUUUUACCUCUCACACAGCCCUCUCAAUUUCUAGCCGUCCGAUCAAAUGAUUUAAAGAAGAAUAACAAAAAAUUAACAAAGGUGUAUAGAAUAUAAAAAUGACUACGUGAAUAACACUAUUUAUUUAUUUUUGGUACAUAAAAUGGGUGAUAUAUGCCCUAUUGGGUUCUCAAAAUAGUAACCAGUUUGUGAUGUGGUUAAUGGGGGAAUGAAUUUGGAGACGAUUUACGGUUGGUUCGGAUAGGGUAUGAUGUGGGUUGAUCUCAUCCUUAUUAACCUUUUAUGUAAAGUCCAGUGUUUUGCUCCAAGGCUAGAUAAAGAAUUAGAGAUAAGAUGGAGGCUUUCGUACUAUUUAUGCUUUGGUUUACUUUUUAAGAACGGGUUUGGAGUCAUUAUUCUUUUCUGUUUUGUUUCAAAUUUCACUGCCUUAAUAUUUGCUGUUUUUGUGAAAAUUGCGAUUGGCAAUUGUUCUAACGUUCACAAUAGAAGGCCUAAGUUGAAAUGCAAAAUUAUAGCCCACAUUUUGCUAAUUUAACUGCAUGAGCCAACCCAAAACCCUAGUAGGGAUAUGGAGCAUAUUUGUUGGGUUUGGCAUGUUUGACAGUGUUGCUUUCACUUGGUUAAAAAAGUCAACAUAUUUUUGGAUGGGUUUGGUUCAAUAUUUUUUAUUUUAUUGCAUAAUUUCACAAAAGAAGUAACCAUCGUCGUAGAAAAAAACAUAAACUAAAAAACAAAAAAUAAUUACAAUAAUAAUGCAACCCGAAACUUUGAUUAACCACCAUUGGAUGACCUAGUGGUUAGAGAUGAAUUCCAUGCCUGUAUUUUAUAUGGCACGUCAUGUGACGGAUUCCUAGUUCUGGUAAAUCAUACGAUGGUGGACAAGGGGUGGCUGAAAUGCCUUUGUGAGUCUUUCUGGUCCUCGGAAGGAUGGACAGUCAUGGUGAAGCCACCAACUAGUUCUUUUAUUUUUUUUUUUAAAUUUGAUUUUUAUUUUUCCAUAAUUCUUAUUCUUGUGAUCAUUUAAAUAAGCAUAGAUGGAAUCACUUAAACAAAUACUGAAAUGAAACCCUUUUUAAUAAUGUGGCUAACAAUUUAAUUGUGUAUGUGGAGUCUGCCUUUAACACUUGCAAGUAUUUAUUAUAAUUAUCAUGAUGUAUUUGUAUUAAAUUUAUAUACGUUUUGUAGUCAAAUCCGUUACAAAUUUUCAUGGUUAUAUUUUAGUGAUUACCAUCAACUGAAGUCCAUUUAAAGGAACUAACCCAUUUCAUUUUUUGUUUCAUUUUCUUUUAGAGGAUUAAGAUAACUCAACCAUUAAAGGAAUGUCUGGUACGUGCAUGUCACGGUCAAAGAAUGCAACAAACGACCUCAAAACAUUGCGUUAAUGAACUCUUCAACUGAGAAUGCAUGGGCAGGUAGCCACAUACAUAUUAUCAUACUUCAACAACAUGGAUCAAGCAUUAAUCAAUUAGUAGUUAAGCCUAUUCACUAAUCCCCUCAAGAACAAAGGGUUGAGUUUCUUUUCAAAAGAUUUCAUAAUUAACUUUAGAAACUUUGGUUUAGGUCAAUGAAUAAUUUCUUAUUUCAAUAUAUGUCAAUUGUCAUUUAUUUACUAGCAUAUAUAGGUCAAUAGAAACAAUUACUCCCAAAAAUAGCUUUGCAUUUCUCUUUAUUGGGUAAGUGCGAUUAUGUCUAUGUUUAUGAGAGAGAGAUGGUGCGAGAAUUACUUGACACACAAAUUAAACCCUCUUUUUGACAAUUGUAGUAUAGAUGUAAGUAGGGUAUCGUUCUAGGCCGGGGAUUAGGAGGGAUUGCUAAUCUAUUCUAAAUUAAUUUAAAAAUAUUAAAUAAGACUCAAGGACACAAAACUAGGCUAAAACUCUAAUAACUCGAAACACACUUAGGAUAACUCAAAAUAAUGAAAACAAUCAAAUUAGACACUAGGAACUGCAAUGGAUGGAAAUUAAAUUAAAAGACUAACAAUAAAGAAAACUAAAUAAAUAAUAUAAUUUAAUAAUGGAUGGGUGUUUGGUUUUGAUGAAAAGUAAAUUAAACUUAAUUAAAUUACAGAAUUGACAAAAACAUAAAAUUAAGGUAAAAUGAUAAAUGACGGACUAGCUAGAGGGUUCUUCUCCACACAUGUUAUACUUGCAUACAAAAUGAUUUCCAGUUGUUCAUUUAAUAAAUUUUGAAUCUCAAUACUCCAGAUUAACAUUGAAUAGCACUUUUUUAAUCUUCAAGUUUUCCUUAAGUUAUUGAAUUGGACGGAAAAACGCAUACAACAAUUCAAAACAUUCUUCAAAAGUCCCCUACGUGAAAAGCACAAUAGCGAUACAAUCAAAGAUCAUUAAACUUUGUGAAAACUAUAAGCAUUGACGAGGCAUUCGUAACUAUGAAAAGCAUGAUACUCUUGCCAAGAAUUUACUUAACGUGAUUGUGACUAGCAACCUUUACUACUUGUGAAAAUAAGUUCAUAACGAUUAGGUGAAAUUCACUUAUAUUCUAGCAUCAAAUUCAUGCAUGUAAAUUAAGCGUGCACUCUCAACCAACAUACACAAAUCAGUUUUUAUACGAACGGAUAAGUAAAUUGAAAUCACAACUUAUGAAAUCACAACUGAAGGUAAUCAAUUCAUAUUACAAAUAUAUUCAUGGUUUCGAAUUAACCUCUAGCCAAAAUAAAUUUAAUUACACAUUAUUAAAACAAAAAUAAAAUAGAAGUUUGGAAAGAGUUAACCGAGAAAAUAGAUUGAAGCCUUCUGCUCUCUGUGCUCUGAUGCUUCUUCUGCUGUGCUUCUCAUCUCCCUCCCGCUGCCUCUCACUCCUCUCUUCUCUGACUUUUCUUCUGCUGCCAAGGCAGCCUCUCCUCGCGGACUCCCCUUGCUUGCGUCUGUCUCCCUUUGCUAUUCUUUGCGCCACCUGGACUCCUUCCUUUCCGCCUUCUUUCCAGCUGCCAAAGGCAGCUUUGCUGCUUCUCUCUCUGACCUCCCCUUUCGUCCUCACAAACUCUCCUUUUGCCAGCUGCCAAGGGCAGCUGUUAUUAUUCCAUACCCCUGCUGUCUCCCCGUGUUCUGUCCCCCAUGUUCUCUACUAUUUUAUUCUUUUGAUCUCUGCACAUGCCCUUCACGUUCCUUUCCGCCUUUUCUAUUCUUUUAUUCUUUCUUUUCUGCUGUCCUCCUGCCUUUCUUCUUAUUUUAUAUUUUCUUUUCCUUGCUGGUUUCAUGCUUUGCAAACAUCAUAAUAAUGAGAGGGACAAACAUUGUUUAUAAAAUGUAAAUUAGUAUUAUCAUGUGACAAUAAAAGGUAAAUUUGCAUAACAGAUCCUAUAAACACAAAAAUAACGUAAAUAGCUCAAAAAUAUAAGGAACUAACUAAGAAAAGACGAGUGAAUUCGAAGUAAAAAUAUAUAUAAAUAUGAUCCGAUCAAAUACCCCCACACUUAACUUUUGUUAGUCCUCGAGCAAAACAAAGAAAACAAGAACAAGAAGUAACAAGAAAAACAUUAGCUUCCCUCUAUGUGACCCUCAUAGAAAUUUAUUUAAGAAAACAAAUCAUCAAGAACCGUAGCUAGCAUCAAGGAACUAAUCCAAGUUCAUCUUCCUUAUUCAAAUAUUAGCAGUAAUCUUUGAAUCAUCCUUGAAGUGUAGUGUGUGAGAUAGCCAUGCUAAUGCAAUUUCAAGUUUUUAUUCUUAAAAUCAUCAUAUGCAAACUAGUGACAUUCUCACUGAAUAUUCACUCAAUCACACAUGUGUUUAGUUUUAAUGUGUUUCGCUCAAAGAAACAAAUGUGAAAUUUCUACCAUAAGCUUGCAUAAAGAUCACUUCUCCACAGUCAUAAUUGCAAAACUUAAAUCAAGAGGACUUUUAUUGGAUGUAAUGAGGCUUAGGGAUAGGGUUAUUGAAACGAAAGAAUAGGAAAACACAAGUUCCAAGCUACAUUUCAAGCAAUUCUUUUCUUUAGAUUUAUAAGAACUCAAGCUCUCCAGCAAUUCUUCUAGCACCUCCAACCAUACUCUUAAACUGAACUUUAAAAACUUUUUAUUUUCUUUUUAUACAAUCUUUCUUCUUUUUUUUUUUUUUUUUUUUUUUUUUUUUAAUCACAAAACAUGAAAUACCCCCACACUUAUUCUUUUGCCAAACAUCUUCACAGUACUUCACAAACGUUUCUCAUAAGACAAUUUCGCAUUGCUCACUUGGAAAGGGUAAGGAAAAAUGUUUCAGGUAUAAGGGUAGACAUAUCUGGUGAUAAGAAAUAAAAGCUCAACAUACACGGCUCAAAUUGGCAAUCUAAUGAUAUCAUUUUUCUUUGGGAAACAUGGUUAUUUGGGCCAUGGUGGUAAACCUAAUGCCUCUAUCAUUUUCAAGUUCAUGCAAUCAAUGACAAACAAUUCGAAAGAUCGUUACGCAAGUUCUAGAGAUGUAUCUCACAUAAGUUCAUCACACAUAAAAAAAAAUAGGAGUGUAUGAAAAAUGCACACACUUUCAAUAGGCUCAAAAACUCACAUAGGAUGUAUAUGGUCACUAAAUUCACAUAUGAAGCUUUAAGUCAUACUUUAGUUUCACAUUAACAAGGCUAUGUGCAUUUGGUUUUUCAAAGAUGGUCAAACAUGUACAAAACUAACAAGAGAAUUAGGAAUUUCACCAAACACAUGUUAACUAAGUUCUUGAUGAUCAUGGUUCAAAUUUUUGAUCCAAUUAUAUCAUUGGGUCGGGAAACUAACAAAAAUCUGAUUCAGAACAAUAAGGGAAACAAGACAAUAUUUUUGGAUUUUUAAAUUUUCCGAUUUUUUUUUUUAUUUUUUUUUAAUUUUAUUUUAUUUUUUUAAGAAAACAAAAACUAACAACACAGAAACAAAUGAAAUUCUAGAGAUUUCUACCCCCACACUUAAACUUGACAUUGUCCCCAAUGUCAGAAAACACUAUAACGCAAAAUAAAAAUAAAAUAAAAUAAAUAAAUAAUAAGAAACAAAAUAAAGCAAUUGGACUGAAAACUUCCCUAGUUUGCAGUAAAAUCAAGCGAUGACCCCCAAGCUAAAAUUCUGCAAUCAACUUCAAGGGUGGAAAUAACCAAAAGUUCCUGCAAAGAAAAGAAAUAAUUCAGUUAAGAGUAACGCAAGAAAAUUAAUUAAAAAAAAAUUGCAAACGAAAAAUUGAAAAUUACGAUAAAAGAUAAUGAAUAAAACUAAUAAGUAAUCAUUAGUCGUGCUUGUUGACUUUCCACAGCGUUCCUCUUGAACAGGGUGACACUUAGCUUUUUACUUGCAAGUGAUGAUUUGAUGAUAUUGUACGGCGAAGCUUUGCUCUUUGGUUAUGUUGCAGUUCCUUAUUUGUUCUCCAAGCAGAUGUGGCAGCUUCUCUAGUUCCUCAGUUCGGACUCCUUCCGCUGGAUGAUGAUUGUGCAAGCUGCAUUCUUCUCUGCUUGUUUCUUCUGCACAACGGGCAGGCACGAGGGAAAGGUGUUGGUCCUU
rnacentral:lncRNA from 1 species